AUUGGGCUGGCAUUUCUUGCAACUCUGAAACAGGCAGAGUUGUAGAAAUUAAUCUCCCUGGUUACUAUGACGCUGGCGAUGAUUUUGCUCCAUAUUUUGUAUCAAAUACUAUGAGUGGCUCAAUCUCUCCUUCAAUUACACUUCUCACCUCUCUAGAAUCCAUUGAUCUUAGUAGACUAAUUGGAUUAACAGGCCAAAUUCCUUCAUCAAUUGGUGUUCUCAAAAAUCUUAAAAAACUAACCUUACAAAACAAUCAACUCUCUGGUGCAUUACCUGAGUCCAUUUCAAACUUGACUAGUUUGGAAUUCUUGAAUCUUGAAAAUAAUCUAUUGACAGGGAGUAUUCCAGAAAAUAUUGGGAAUUUGCAAGUACUACAGGAGCUUUAUUUGUCGAAUAAUUCAUUAACGGGGAAAAUCCCAUUUUCAAUUACAAAACUACAUUCCAUUUCAGGUCUUUUCCUAGCACAAAAUCAGCUUGUAGGAGAAAUACCAUUGCCUUUAAAUCCAGGCCAAUGGUCUACACUACAACAUUUGAGACUCGAAAAUAAUCGGCUCACUGGAAUCAUACCUUCAUCAGUUGGCUAUUUGACAUCACUUUUGAGAUUUUCUGUAGCAAAUAAUCAGCUAACAGGGCCUAUUCCUUCAACUUUAGGGAACUUAAAAUAUUUGCAACAAUUGAUGGUCAAUAACAACCAGUUAUCUGUUGUGUUACCAAACUCCGUAUGUGGACUUAGUGAACUUUCUGUCAUGUUUGUUUCUCAUAACAAGAUUUUAGGAUCAUUGCCUGAUUGUUUUUCUUCCUUUAAACAUCUUCGAGAAGUCGAUGUACCAUUCAAACGUUUGAAUUAACCGAAUUCUACCACAGGACAUAUGUAAGAAAGAUGUAACUACAGGAGCCAGAAUCACUGGCCAGUAUGAAAAAUCUAUUAAGCUUUGACCACAUGUAUUGUUUCUUGAACAACAUAAUAUAAAGAGUUGUAACUUUUGCUUCUUUUAUUUUCUUUACUUAUUUUUCAUCCCUUUGCAUUUACAAUUUAAUUUGGGCAUAUUUACAGCAACUUGCCAUAUGAAAAGCUAUCCACUGCAUGUUUUCUUUCACCACAAAAGCAAAUUAAAUUCAGUUGAUUAAUCAAUAUGUGCAUCAAACUUUCCCUCUUACUUCCAAAGGAUAGUGUGAUUUCCAUAUUGUGAAACAUAUUGGAGUAGUACUUUUAAAUGUUAAAAGAACUAAUUAUAUGCACAUAUACUUAACUUUCUUCGCGUUGUUUAUCUUUAACCAAAGGUUUUGGGUUCAUAAGCGUUUUUUAAUAGGAGCGUUUUAUCCUCGAAAACUGAGAUUUUUCGAUGCAAAUUCGAAUUAAUCGGGCUCUAAAUCGGAUACCGAACACGGUGAAGAAAAAGCAAUCUUCCUUUGAGCUAAGCAUAUUGAACGUGUAUGCUUUAUACAAAACUAAUUAGCUAACCAGUGCAGCUCGCUAUCGUCUUCGUCUCGUAAUGAUCGAUGGCAGGCAGAACCAAAAAAAGAAUGACGUUAUCAAAAGUGCUGGCUGUGGGGUUCGAACCCCACAGCCACAUGUAUUGUUUCUUGAACAACAUAAUAUAAAGAGUUGUAACUUUUGCUUCUUUUAUUUUCUUUACUUAUUUUUCAUCCCUUUNNNNNNNNNNNNNNNNNNNNNNNNNNNNNNNNNNNNNNNNNNNNNNNNNNNNNNNNNNNNNNNNNNNNNNNNNNNNNNNNNNNNNNNNNNNNNNNNNNNNNNNNNNNNNNNNNNNNNNNNNNNNNNNNNNNNNNNNNNNNNNNNNNNNNNNCACUUGAAAAAUAUUUUCAUAAUUUUUUUGAUUUUUACAAUUCUUAUGUCCAAACGCCUAUUUAAGAGCAAGGAGUUUCGCAUGAGUGUGAUUCAGAACUCUCAUAGUGCAACAAAAUACCAAGAUCCAAUCUCCGUUAUGAUUCUUGAAGACUCCGCCUACUCCAUCGAUACUAGUAAUUAGGGGUGGCAAAAUAAUUAAAAGAAAACAGUUAAUCACCCAUGUUAUCCACUAAAAAAUGGGUUGGAUGAUGAACUUUUUAAAAACGGGUCAAAUAUGGAUAAGAACCAUAUUAUCCAUUUAGAAAAUGAAUAACGAAUGGGUAACCAAUGGAUAACCAAUGUGUCUAACUUUUACAUUUGUAAAGCCUCAAAUUGGGGAUUCCUCAAGUUUGGGAGACUAAAAAUUCUCUCAAAAGUGAUCAUAUGUAAGAAGUCAUGGAUAAUAUGGUUACCCAUAUUAUCCGCGGUUAAUCAGUUUUUUAUCCGUAUUAAAUAUGAGGUGGGUCAGAUAAUUUAUCCGUUUUCUAAUAUUAUCCAUUUCCGACCCGACCCGCUCGUUUGCCACUAGUACUAGUAAUGCUUGACAAAGCUCCUUAAAGCAGUUAUGACGUGGGAAUGCCAUUUAAUAUGCACAAUUUUGAGAGUCUCCGGACUAGUAGAAAUAUUUGCUUAUAAAUCAAACUCGUUAAUGCACAUGCAAACUAGGUUCUUAGACAGAUCAUUAGAAAACUUGUUUAUAUUAUUAUUGUUUCUAUUGAUCCAAAGGUUCUAAAGACUAAAAGCAUAGAGUCGUAAAUCUUAUUUACAAGUUAAUGAAGAUAGCUAUGCUCGCAACAAUACCUCUCUAACAAGUGGCUAGAUUUAACUAUCUUAUGACUACAUCUGUUUCAUUUUUCAGUAAUUAAAAAAAACUAUUCCGCUUAUACUAAUUAAAAAUAAAGAAAAGCAUCAUGCAAGCCAGAUAUUACUAUUAUCUUCACUACUAUGGAAUAUUCUAAUAGAUUAUAGUUUAUCUUUGAUAGCAUUUGAUUAGAUCUUUGAUUUAUUCAACGUACGCUAAUAGAUCUAAUUAUUUACUAAUCUUUAUUUAUUCUUAAUUUUUUUUUGCUAAUGACGGGAGUAAUAUUUGAUUAAAAUUCAAAAGUUUAAUGGGUGCAAAGAUACUCAAUUCUAAAUAGUAUGAGACAAAUUUAACCUUUUACUCAAUUAGAGAAGUUAUAAAUAUCAAAAUAUAUCUUUCGACAUCGUGUUAGAUGCAUUCUACACUAUGAAUUGAAAGUUUAAGCAUUUCCAAGCUCAUAAUAUAAACUUAUAUUUUCCAUAUAAUAGAAAGUUAUAAAAUCAAUAAUUUUGUAAAAUUAAUUAGAAUAAUGUUCCAUUAUAAAGAAGAAGAAAAGCAACUUCUACUACCAAAUAGCAGAUCAUAGCGUUACACUUGUUUUAGAAUUUGCAAAUUUAAUUUUUUUGAAUUUUUGGAGAACUAUUUAUUUGAUCUCUUUUUGAAGAUUUUCAAAGUCAUUUUUUUUUUGACCAUCACAUGGUUCGUUACUGAUAGUUUUCUUUAAUCUAAAGGGAUAACUUCAGAUUAAAUUAUAUGGAGCGUAACAUCAGAACGACGCCGCAGUAUACCUCAAAACUAUUUCAACAUGGAGCACGAAAUGGAUCACGCACGAAUCAGAUUCAUAUUUUAAUUAAUUAUUUUUUAAAGCAGCUUAAAUAAAUAUCACCCGCAAAAAUCCCCUCACGCAAACAAAGGAAAGAAGAUGAAGUUCCAACCAAGUCAAUUCUUCGAAGCUUCUUCUUUUACUUCAUUCAACUAAAUACAAGUCAGUUCAAAGAAUAAUUUAUCGCCGUGCAAGUAAUUUCUCCGGUUCCGGUGAGAUCGACAAGAAGUUUCAGAAUGGCCGGAGGAGGAUGGAGAGGAUCUAGAUCGGGACCGAUACUUAAUCGUAUUUCAUCUUCUCGAAGCAUUCGUCUUGGUAGUGUACAACCUCAAGCACCCGGUCAUCGUACUGUCUUCGUUAAUGAUCGUGAAGCUAAUGCCCUUGCCAAAUUCAAGGUACUGAUAUUUCCUACUUAAGUUACUGGAUACGGACUAGUAGUGACUGUGCAGCGACUUAGUAUUAAUAUUUAUAUUUUUAAAUUUUUUAUUUUUAUGAGCAUAAUGAAUAGUGAGGAACAACCCGAUAGUGUAGAAAAAUCUUAAUUUUGUUAAUACAUGUAAGUUAAACCCUUUAUAUUUGGGUUUAAUUUAUGUGAACUGACAGAGUAGAAAGAUUGUAUACACUAUUAAUGUACUUUUACGGGUCAGUAUAGUAGCUAUAAUGUGCAUGAUUAUAAUGAAGUAAAAUAGUCCUUGUUUUGUUUUGCAAGAGGAUCUCUUAUUUCCGUGUCUUAAGUGUGUUUUGGGUGUGUGCUUAUUUCCACACACAAAGAAUUAAUAAGAAAGAAGAAAUGAUAUUCCUGAUUUUCAUUUAAUUUCCUUAAAUCCCUAGUGUCCAAUAUAGUCUUAAACUUUUGGUUAUGUAAGUUAGCUGUUUGGUCAACUGAUUAAGGGAGAAGGAAAAAGGAAAAAGGAAAAAGGAAAAAUAGAAAAGAGAAAGUUCAGUUUCUUUUUCUGUCAAUCUAUUUAGAUGGAUUAGUAAAGUGUAAUCAAAUGUAAAUAUGCCUUGUGCUGACAAGGUGCAGGUAAAUGAUUUAUUAAGGAAAAUGUCAAGUGGUAGCUAUUGUCCCUCUUUGAUAAAUUGUGUUCCUCGGACGCCACCAAGUCUGUUCUACACAUAUUUUAGCUUUCAUCUGAUUAGUUGCAAUGCUUUUGUUUUCAGGGAAAUUCUGUUUCAACUACGAAGUAUGAUGUCAUAACAUUCCUGCCAAAGGGGUUAUUUGAACAGGUAAAUUGGUUUUGCUCUUAUCCUGUGCCCUUUUUAGGCAUGUUAUUUUGCUUAGUUAAGCUUUCUGCAUUUAUGCCGACUUAAACAGUUAGUUUUGUUCUCUUCAUAAAAAACAGUUAAUUUUAUUCUUCCAAUGGAAAGCAACACAGUAUUAGCAUAUAAUUUAGAGGGCACACUUUUACCUUUUCAUCAAAAAAAUAAUUUAGAGGACACAUACACAGGGUUUGUAGUUUCUUUAGUAACUAAUGAGCGAGAGAAGUUCCUUUAGUAACUAAUGAGACUUUUUGAGGGUGUUUAUUUUAUACGCUAUCAGGUGAUAAAAAUCCAUCUAAAAAAAAAACUAUUUUCGUCCCUAAUUUUUUUUCCGUUGGGUAGCAGCUUAGUGUCCUUUCUAGUGGCAAAUCGUCGAGUCAAUUCCCUUUCAUUUUCAUUCCUUCAUUUUAAUCCUUGUAGCUUGUGAAAUGGAUUUAGACAAAGUUUGUAUUUUGAAUUGUUUCUGUUUGGUAGGAAGGGAGCCACAAGUGAUAGCUUUUAUAUCCCUUUUUUUGGAAAGGUAAAUAAGACUUUUGUUGCGGCAAAAGAUACCAGCACUAGCAAGUCCGUACAGAAGUAGUGAUUCCAUUUACAAAAUAAAAUUCAAGCUGAUACAGUGCUGAUACAUUCUACCAUUUCAUCUACUUCACAUACAUUUUGUAACCUAUACCAGAGCGCUAACAAGUAAAGGCAUCUAUUUUCUAGUAUAUGUACAGUUUAAGCUUUCCCUUGAAAGCACCUGCAGUUCCUUUCUGUCCAUAUGAUCCAGCAUAUGCAGGAAUUGUUUUUCACAACAUCUUCAGUUCUUUUCUGCCAGCAUCCUGGAUUGGAGACUUAACAGACUUAGGUAUCACUCAUAUGACCCCAAAAUUAUUCAGCAAAACCUCCCAGAGUUGCCUUGUGGUUGAGCAAUACAAAACAAGUGUUAUAGUCUCAUGCUUCCUGUUCAAGCCAACAUUAAAAAAGAAGAAAAACAUUUACUACAUAUUUGAAGUCACAUUCUCUACCUAACAAAAACAUGGCUCCAUAUAGGUGCUUUUUAGUUCCCAGAUGAACUUUAAAUAACUGGGACCUGUGCUCCUAGUUAAGUGACUGCCUCAAGUAUAUCCAAAUUUAGUUUCCUCAAGAGUAGGACAUUGGGCAUUUCACUUGGAUUUAAUAUUUUUAGGUUCAAUGUACCCCAAAAGAACCAUAAUCCGUAAAAAAAUAUAGAGGAAAAAUGAAGUGUAUAUCUUAUCAAAGUGAUCAUAUUUGUUUUAGUAAAUAUGCUCUUCAGACGCUUGAACCUGCUUGGAUGCUUCAAAUAGAUCUAGAUGAAUUGUCGAUUUAAAUAGAAGACAUAUGCAUUAGCUCGACCGGUAAUGCGCUUAGUCGUGGAUACCUGUUGAUGGUGGAAGGUCGUGAACCUAAGUUUAUGGUUUCCCAAGAAACACAAUAAAGAAAAAAUUUCCUAAGAAGAUACUUGAUGUGUAGAUUUCAGCAUAAGGUCAGAUAACUGAACGCCAUUUCUGGAUGGGCUACGGAGGCAUGGGAAUAGCACGUGGGCGGAAAGUCUUUUUAUUGGGGGAGUCUAACUUUCCUGUUUUGUUUAUCAUUUAAAGAUGAAGCUAUCAUGGUGCUCCAUGAAGGCACUCAACGGAUAUGAGAGGCCUAUUUUUGGUUGGGGAGGCGGACAAAUAUUUCGGGAUGUCGAGAUAAGAGAAGAAGGGGAGAUGAUUGCCAAUCUAGCUAGGUUGAAUAUUCAUUAGUUGCCAUGAUUUGUCGAAAAAACUUGCGCAUUUAUGUGGAGGUUUUGUAAAAGCGUAGUGCAGUAUGAUGGACGUGACUAUAAUGAGAACUCUUGUCAAGAAAGGAAGCAAAUUUUUCGCCAACAAUUUUAGCAGAUGAGGGUGACUCAUUCUUCAAGAUCUGGUCAAUGUUGGAGUUCACACUAAUGGUGAUUGGAGUGGGGUGGAAGGAAGAACAGAGGAGGGAGGUAAAAAGGGAGAAAGGGAAGGUGGAGAUCGAGGUGGAGUAGAGGAGGAGAAGAGAUGCCACGAUCGCUUGAAAUGACGAUGUACCAUAACAAAUAGUUGUAGAUCAAGUCACAAAAAUAAGUUAUAAAAGGAGACGAUGACACAAGGAGCUUCUUAGGCCAAUUUGUCCAUAGGCCAGGGUGAUUGGUGGCCUCUAGUCGUGCAAACGAAGGAUAAUCGUUGCUCAAAGAUGGAAUUGGGUUCAAAUCUCAGCCUUAAAUGGAUCUAAAAUAGGCUCGGACUCUCAGCCCUCACGGUGAAAGACACUAGAUAUGGAGAUUUGGGGUUGGGGAGCAUGUUGUAUCAAAAACUGUGAUAGCAAAAACUUAUAGAAUUGUGAAGGGGUUUGGAAGCCUAAAAACACUACUCUUCAUUUUCGGUGCGGCAUAUAGAGGAAUUAUCAUGAAGGGAUGUAAUGAGUUCAAUGGCUACAUAGUUGCUACAUUGUAUUCAGGGUUGAGGAUGGAAAAAUGUUCGGUUUUUCGGAGCACAAUUGGUGUGGAAGAGUACGUUAAGGCCUACAUUUUUAACAUCUACAGAGUUUGUGCUAGAAAGUGAUGAUCGUACAACAUAGAAAGAGGAUACGGGGUCAUUGGGAUUUAGAGUUUAAGAGGAAUCUCUAAGAUGGGGGCAUAACGAAAUUCCAAAGCCUAGUUGAAAUGGUCUACAAGCAAAACAUAAUGUUAGCCAAUCAAGACUUGUGUAGAUGGCAAUGUUGUCAAAGGCGAAAAAAGUUAAAAGUGCUCUAGGUCUAUCGGGGCUUUAAAAGAUGCGAGGACUUCAGUGGAAAAAGAUGCAACGAAGAAAUAGAAUAAAAACAUAUAUGUAAUGCAAAAACAGAGCAGCGACUUCAUUUAUACUGAUUUCCUUAACAAUUGACAUAUAUUUGGCCAAUCAUAUUUAUUGUUAAGUACCGCUCUAUUCAAAGUAGAACUUAUGGGUAAUAAGACGCAUGGCUUAGUGCCUUGCCUACGCUGAAGCACAACCUAAGCGAGGCGAAGCGCCUACCUUGAGCUUCUCUGCGCUUGGGCCUUAAGCGUACCUCAAAUGAUCCUUUGACAACACUGGUACAUGGGGGUUGGAAUGCGACAAAAUGUUCUAUAUUAAGUCAUAUUACCAUAAGCUUUUGGUCGUAGAAGGAUCUGCCUUCUCAAACCUUUUCUUUAUAAGGAAAAUAUUUUUAUUAACGACCUGCAUUUUCAAACCUAUCGGUUUGGAUUUAUAGGGGACUAGAAAAUGUGUGCUUUUUGCUUGUCCGGCGGCAGAUGGAGUGAUCUUGACAACAAAAAAUUGAGAAAGAGGUUUACAUAUGUCAAUUGGUGUUUUGUGUGUAAAAAUUCGGCGAAGACGUAGAUCAUCUCCUUUUGCGCUAGCGGCAAAGGGAGUGAUUAUGACAACAAAAAAAUUAAUAAAGAGGUUUACAUAUGUCAAUUGGUGUUUUGUGUGUAAAAAUUCGGCGAAGACAUAGAUCAUCUCCUUUUUCCCUGUUAGUAGUAUCUCGACUGUGGUGAGAUAUUUUGAAAUGGUCUGGUUUACAAUGGACGAUGGCAGACUUAGUGAUUGGGGAACCAUUUAGCUGGACCUUUAAAAGAAGAAGAAAAGAUGAAGAGCUUAGGAUGUUGCUUCACUAGCCUUGAUGUGUAUCUUUGGAAGGAGAGAAAUAAGAGGGUUUUUGAAGGGAUAGAACACUAGAGCAUGAUUUUAUAUUUGUGAAGAAUAUAUUUUUAUCCCUAGUUUCUUUUUGAGCACCCAUGAGGUUUCAGUUUGUAUAGAAAAUAAAGUGUCUCUUGUAGAGUCUCACUUUUUUUUCUUUUUUUGUAGAUUCUCUACCUUUGGUAUACAAUUUUUAUACCGGAGAUUUUCCCAUCAUUAAUAAAGUUGUUUAACCUUAUUGAACAACGACUGGCGUUGUAGUCUAUUAGUGUGUUAGACUGUUAAAUCAUUUUAUCUAUAGCGAGUGGAUUCAAUUUGAAUUAGGCAUGACUUUUUGAUAAGGUAUUUGACAUGAAAUUUUUUCAUGAGGCCAUACAUCCGUAUUGUUCAAUCUGUCUUUCUGUAACCUUCAUCUUAUUUCUGUACCAUUCUUCUUAUACUGACAGUUCAGGCGGGUGGCUAAUCUCUACUUCCUUAUGAUCUCAAUUUUGUCAUGCACUCCAAUAAGGUAUAAAUUACUACUAUGUAAUGUUUUUAUGUGGCUUACCCUUAUUAUCUCUCUCUCCGAUUAUGCAUUAUUUGUGCUGAAAAUGAGAGAAGAGUCUAGUUUAGAGAGAGUGGGGUUAUUGUUUUUUGUUAAGCAUCUAAACUAGAUUAGAGUUCAAUGAUGCGUGAUGCUAUUGGAGGUUGUUUGGCCGUUGACACUAAGUAAUGAAAUUUCCCUUUAUUUAUUUUUUGUCUUGGUCUAUAAGUCAUCUUGCAAGCUAUUUCAAGAAAUUAAUUUAUACCUGAAUGACAUUUGCUAUGUUUUUUCAUGAUUUGCACCUGAAAAAAGAAUCUUGUUUGAAUGCAGUCCCGUAAGUCCAAUAACAAAUGUGCUUCCUUUGAGCAUGGUGCUUCUUGUUUCUCUAAUUAAGGAGGCUUGGGAGGACUGGGUGAGUACUAUCUACUUCAUUGCCUUCUUUCUCCUUUGGUUCUUAAACUGACUGUUAUAUGGACUAUAUUCGUUAAAUAGAGUAAAAUUCUAUUGACACCUUUAUCCUUUUCCCCUUUUGAUUCGGAGCUAUGUGCUUAUGCUUUCCUUUCUUGUUCCUUCCUUUAUUAUUUGUAACAGAAGCGUUUUCAGAAUGACAUGUCUAUCAAUAACUCCCCCAUAGACAUGUUGCAAGACCAGAAAUGGGUAAAUGUACCAUGGAAGAAGCUGCAGGCUGGAGAUAUCGUGAGAGUAAGUAUAAGUGUGUAACGGGGUCUUUGAACUUUGCUUCUUCUUCUGCAUCGUGUCUUGUAAAGUGGAUUAUCAGGAUAUGGUUUUGCCAUUUCAUAUCUAUUGUUUUGGUACUCAUUAUUAACAUCCAUUUACAUGUUUUGUAACUUUCUCUAGGAUCUUUAUUUAGCUUGUUUUGUCAACUGCUAUAUGUUAUAUGAGCAAGGGUGUGAGUCUAAGGCACAAGUGUGUUACCAGAGUGGAAAACGCUUUUUGUAUAUUUUGGGGAGUUCAUUUGAAGUAUGUCACUGUCCACCCCUACUGACACAGUUCCAGCGGGCAGUCUUGGUAACCUAGGUAACUGGAACUGUUGCAUCACAAGACAAGAAGUUUAGCUCAUAGUUCAAAUUGGCUAUUGUGGAUAAUUGGCAAAAGUUAAAAUACAGAAGUGGCUGUUCUGGGUUUGCUUCUUUGGUUAAUUUAUAUAGAAGCCAAAAUUUACCAUGGCGUUUUAGGAGCUGGAUGUCUGGUCAUGACACCAGUUAGUGUGAUUAUAUCUCCUUCUAAAUUCUGGCUUUGAGCCCACAGCAAUUGGGAUGGGGAAGAUGAUCUAUGGUAACUUACUAAUAUGUGCAGAAGUCAUUUAACCUUACCUUCCCUCCUUGGUGGAGGUAAAGUGCAUUUGCAGAAGAAGCUAUACAAUUAAUAUUCACUUUUGAUUAUGCAAAAUUGCUAGAGUAUUUAUUUUUACUUUUCUGUUAAUUGCACAUCUCUAGCAAAUCACUACUUGGUGCAGUUCUGUGCUGCAGACCAUCUGUUCAUUUCAUGGAUAAAUUCCAAAGCUGUUUUAAAUAAACAAGGGAAUACUUAUUCAAGAAGUCCAUCCCAAUAAUAAAGUAGUGGCUGUGGCUCCUCAUGGUAUUAAAUUGGUAGCAACGACUCAAUAAAGCUGUCUUAUUAUAAAACAAGGGAUAAGCCUGGGCUAUUUAAUUCAUUUGAACUAUGGGUUAAGCUCUAGAAUUUGAGGCGCGUGGACCACCAGUUAUUUAGAAUCUUACAGUUUUGAAUAUUGUUGAAUCUGAAGAGUUGCAAGAUCAAUGCAGUCUGCUUGUUCAGCUUGCUUUGUCCUUUCAGCGCGGGGAUAGUCCAUCACUGAUGUGGUUGACAUUCUGGAUGCACACUUCACAAAUGGAAAAUGCUUUCCACCCACUCCUCCCUAACUAUUGAUUUAGGAAUGAUUUCAGUUCGGUUAUUCAAAAGUAGUUUUUGCACUUUGAAGGAACUCUUAUACAGCCUUCUGAAGAAAAUUGCUCGAAGAAUGUAAGGUUGUACAAGAAGCCUUUUUCUUGCAGGUUAAGCAGGAUGAGUUCUUCCCCGCAGAUCUUAUCUUUCUUGCCAGCACAAACCCAGACGGAGUCUGCUAUAUUGAGGUUGUACUUGAUCCUUAUCUGAUUUCUUUUUUACUUGUGAUAAAAGAUAGGUUGCUCUAAAGUAUUUGGAAAAGAGGUACUUGGAUAAUGUCACAAAUAAAUGUAUUGGUUUUCGUCUCUUCCAUCAUGCUCUCUACUAACUGGUACAUGGAUUUCCUCAGACGGCGAAUUUGGAUGGUGAAACUAAUUUAAAGAUCAGAAAGGCACUGGAGAAGACCUGGGAUUAUGUGUCUCCUGAGAAAGUAUCUGAAUUCAGAGGUUUGGUUUCUCUACUGCUAUUGACCAAUCAAAUAUAUCUGCAUGAUAAUGCAUGUAAUAUUGACAUUUGGUUGUACAAGUGCAAUGAAAUUACUUCAAGUCCAGUGGAAGAUCUAGUUGUACUGUUGUAGCAUAUAGCCUCUGAAAUAGAUGUGUGGAAUUCCUUAUUUCCAGCUUUUCAAAUGCUUGCUGCUUGAUAUCCUUCGACGUGUCAGAUUUAUGUUCAGUCCAUGAAAAGUUAUUCCAAUGAUUAGCGGGACAAAUCCUAUAGCUGGUUCUUUCGUAAAAUGCACUUCAUAACGUUAGUAGUUGCAGUUUAGUUACAACUACUUCACAUCUAAGUUCAUAUAUGGUUGAUAAAUGUUCAGAUCUCAGCAUGAAGUGCACAAGUCAAGCCAUUGCUCACAUGCUAUUACAUUUGAUGAAAAUGUAUACUCACUUUUCUAAAUGUGUUAAUGAAGGAUGCUAUUUAAACACAUUUAAGAUGUGCAACCAUGUGUAUCAUGAUCUCCCGCAGAUGCUUCCCAGAAGAGAUGUUAUUGUUUAUUUUAUAUCAGAAUUAUGAUGACGAAUAUCAAAUGCUUCUUCCAUAGAAGCCUGACCUAUCUGAUUGCAACUUUAGGAAGAUCUUGCCCUGAUAAUAUUACGUGUUUGAUGUUCUCUUGCAUUUUACUUUAACCAGGCGAAGUACAAUGUGAGCAGCCUAAUAACUCAUUGUACACAUUCACUGGCAAUUUGAUUAUUCAAAAGCAAACCUUGCCACUCAGUCCAAAUCAACUUCUUUUACGGGUAUGUAUUUCUUAUGUUGUUUCCCCAUUUGUUUAUUUUAUGUUUCUGGUUUUAAAUAUUGUGUGGUAUAUACUGAUUAAGGGAAAAAAAUAUAGUUCACGGUAAAUGCAUCUUCGAGCAGAUAUCCUAGCUGACUAUGAUCUGUUCUUUGCCAUUUAUUCACCUGCUAUUCUUGUCCAUUCCCUUUUAUGACUUAUCUUUGAAUUUUUGUCUGCUAAGUUGUGAUAUCUCUAAUUCAUAGUACAUUUGGUGAAUUUUAGUUUCAUGUUUUCUUCUUGAUAUCGCUGUAUUUCUUCCAGGGGUGCAGUCUGAGAAACACUGAGUACAUUGUCGGGGCUGUCAUUUUCACUGGGCAUGAAACAAAGGUAUUGAGUCUGAAUUUAACUUAUAAGUUACCCUUUUCUCUUCCCUUUGCUUCUUCCUGUUCUUUUUUCUUUUUGAGGGUGCAGCAUACCUUUUUAUUUAUUUAUAGCAUCCUUGUCAAGAAUGUUUCAAGGAAGUAGGUUUAAUGUCAUGAUCUAUUCAGUAAUGAUGUUUUCUCCAACUAUUUUGCUGCAUUCUUGUGUUAUAAAGUUACAGUAGCAACCUUGUUUUAUGUGAUAUUCUAUAUUGCUGUUUCUACAUCGCUUUGCUUUGCGGCCAUUGCUACUUGGCUUUUCACUUUGGUUCUUAUUCUCAGUUGCUUCUGCCAACCAUGGUUUAAUACAGGUUAUGAUGAAUUCUAUGAAAAUUCCUUCCAAAAGAAGCACUUUGGAGAAGAAACUUGACAAACUUAUUAUCGCUCUCUUUAGUGCUCUUCUAUGUAUGUGUCUCUUGGGAGCCAUAGGCAGGUUUGAUCAAUUGCUAUACCCUUCCUGCUAUUUUGGAACUUCUGUUACGUUUUCCUCCAUGCUGAAAAUUUUGGAUUGGCUUGGAAUUUUGCAGUGGUAUCUUCAUAAACGAGAAGUACUAUUAUUUGCGGUUUGAAAGUAGCAAAAAUUCAGACCCACAAUCCAACCCUGACAAUAGAUUUGUGGUAAUUGUGUAGAUUCUGACAUGUUUAUCUUUCCACUUGUCUGUGCAGCACUUCUCCCUAUUUGUGUCUCCAAUUACUCUUUUGCUGUCUGCUCAGGUUGCAGUUCUGACCAUGUUCACUUUAAUCACUCUCUAUUCACCGAUUAUUCCGAUCUCUCUCUAUGUCUCCGUUGAGGUAGAUUAAUGGCAGUUUCUUUGUUUUUUGUUUUGGUGCUUUGCAGAUUUUGAUUUUAAUGUUCUGUGUGCUUUCAUCUUACUUUCUUUUGUCACUUUCAGAUGAUUAAAUUUAUACAGUCCAAUAAGUUUAUCAACAAUGACUUGCACAUGUACCAUGCUGAGAGCAACACCCCCGCACAGGCUAGGACAUCUAAUUUGAACGAGGAACUUGGGCAGGUAAAUGUUUAUGCUGUUACGAAGGGGUUGAAAUUAAUUUGUUUAGACGAUCUCUAUGUGCGCUAACAUAAACAGUGAUUUUGCACAACAAGGAAACAAGAGUGGUUGCUUCAAUUUUUACCCUCUGCUCUAGUGUAUGUUCUUAACAAAUGAGUUCAUGAGCCACUGGCUACUUCUCUAUGGACAGGUGGAAUACAUAUUUUCUGACAAAACUGGAACUCUUACGAGGAACUUGAUGGAGUUUUUUAAGUGUUCAAUCGGUGGAGAGAUAUAUGGCACUGGUGUCAGUGAAAUUGAGAUGGGAACUGCUCAGCGAAUUGGGCUGAAAGUUGAGGUAAAUAUACUCUUGGGCAAGAUAAAGACAGAUUCAUGACUCUGUCUUGCGUUGAUUUUGAGAAUUGUUACAGGCUAAGAAAUCAUCAACUGAAGCGCGAGAGAAAGGUUUCAAUUUUGAUGAUGCUCGACUGAUGCGAGGUGCCUGGAGGAAUGAGCCUAAUCCUUAUUCAUGCAGGGUAAAUAUAUGAUUAUUAUUUUUGGAAUAAAAGGAGAACAUGAGUUUUUUUUAUAGUAAUAAUUGUCACGUUUGAACAAUCAAAUGCCAUAGGUUUUCUUUUGAAAAGAAAAAAGGAAAAGAAAAUUGCUGUCUUUGAACUAUCUUUUUUUUAAAAAAUAAAAUAAAAAAUUCAAUCAUAAGAGUUUUCACUUCUUGCUUAUGAAGUUUUUGGUAUCAAAUUCAGUCAAAUCUUUAAUCAACACUAGACUAGUAAUGAAAAUCUUAUUUUCUUAUUAUCUUGCUUUCUUCUCUGUCGUUCUUCUUUUUGAGGUUAGUUAUCCCUGUAUAAACUUAAAACAGAUAAAUAAAAUAUCCCUCUCUGACCUUAAAACCUUUAGAAGAGGCAGAUCACAAAGUUCAACGUGAUACCAGAGCGCACACAGAUUCUAGGGACUAGGUUGCUUCUUACCACUGUCCAUUGACAAAAUAUUUGCCACAUGCUUGGUACAAGAAAAAACAAUUAGGUCAUAGUGUGAGGCGGCGUAUACAAAUCUAAAGAUGUCCCCUUGCUGUUAGAUGAAGUAGUUCCCACAAUUCUAACCUAAAGCCUUCAAUUAAUAGUCUAGUACUUUGUGGUGUGAACUUCCAUUUCUUUUCCAAGUUCAGUGUCUACGUUUGAAUUUGUAUGAUUGUUAAGAGAAGUUGAAAUAUGUGUUGUUUGGUUUCAGAAGGGGGAAAAUGUGAGCUCAUAGUUGCUUUUUUGAUUGUUUAGUAUCAGAAUAGAGAAAAUUACAAUACGUGAGUUGAAGUGGGUCCAAUGUAACUUUUUCUAUCAUAUAAUCUAUCAUAGAACUCUUUCUUGGGAAAGUGAAAUUUAUUUGCAAAAGGAAAGGUGAAUUUUAUGUAGGGAAUGAAGGGAGUUUAAACUCACAAGGGUAUAUUUUGUGUGUGAACUAUCACCUUCAUAUUGAGUUGUCCUUGUAAAACAACUGUCACAUGGGUGCACUAACACUUACUUAUCUAGCACUUAUAGAUGGCUAGUUUAAUGAGGCUAGGGUUGUUUGUUCAGGAAUUUUUCAGAUGCCUUGCUAUAUGCCAUACGGUGCUGCCUGAAGGUGAAGAAACCCCAGAAAAAAUACGAUAUCAAGCGGCAUCCCCGGACGAGUCUGCUUUGGUUGUAGCAGCAAAAAAUUUUGGCUUCUUCUUUUACAAGUGUGUGCCUCUUUAGAAUUACUGUUACAUUUAUGUUGUCUUCUGCCAUAAGGUUCCGUUUAUUGAAACUUAGCCUAUGAAAUAAAUGUUGAAGGUUACUAACAUACACCACUAGGUUUGAAGAUUUUGGAAUAUGGUUAUCUACAUAUCAUAGUAGUGAAAGUAGUCAUAAUAUAAUGGGAGAGCACUCAUCAUAGGGACGCUAUUUUAUUCAGGAGAAGAGAAUAAGCGCCGAUAUGGAGUCAUUAUCUGAUAGGAGAAUAGUUUUCAUCGGAAAGCUACUGUAGAUCCAGUUCCUGUUAUUAUUUACUUAUUUUAUUGAAGCAUGUGAGAAGAGAAUAAAAUCACAACACAUUUUCAGCAGGAUGCCGUUCCUGGUGCCAGCUCCAUAGGAGGUAUAAAUGGAUGAAAGUACUAUAUUGGGUGAUAAUUAUCGCUGAUAUUCAGAUAUAUAUAGUCAUUUUGGGCUACCUCUGAGUUGCAUGCUUUAUUUUCUCAACAACGGUUGAACUUAGUAGGCUUUUUGGUGAGUGAUUGAUCAACUUAAAACAAAAAAAGAAAAAUUAGUUGUGCAAUUGUUAUCAAGAGGGCAUUUUCUAUCAGAAGGGGCCAUUGUGUAAUUAGAACUAGAAUUAAUUAAUAAAUAUCUGCGAGGUCUAAGAUUCUGGAAAGAGUUAAUCAUACUGCUUUUUGGCACUAUUUCUGUUUUAGCUGGGUCACUGGUAACCAUGAAUAUAAAUUUUCUGCAGACGUACACCAACUAUGAUUUAUGUACGCGAGUCACAUGUUGAGAAGAUGGGGAAGAUUCAAGAUGUUCCCUAUGAGAUUCUAAAUGUUCUCGAAUUCAACAGGUGUCAGCACAUUCUAACUUGUAUAUUAGCUUGGAUUACCUGCGUGAUGCCUAACGAGGUUGACUAUUAUCCUUCCGUUUUGUGUUUAGUACGAGAAAGCGCCAGUCUGUUGUAUGUCGUUAUCCUGAAGGCAGAUUGGUUCUCUACUGCAAGGUAGGCACUUUAUGUGGAACGAUGCAUUUGAGGAGAUUCCUUUAGUACGAAGUUAUCAUAAAGACUACUUAUUUCAGGGUGCAGAUAAUGUAAUUUAUGAGAGGUUGCAAGAUGGAGACAAUGAUUUGAGGAAAAGAACUAGGGAACACUUGGAGCAAUUUGGGGCUGCUGGACUUCGGACACUUUGCUUGGCUUAUAGAGAUUUAACCCCUGAUAUGUAUGAAAAAUGGAAUGAGAAAUUCAUUCAAGCUAAAUCUUCUCUCCGAGACCGUGAGAAGAAAUUGGAUGAGGUGAGCAUAAUGUAAACUAUUGCCCUUUAAGUUUAUAUCAUCUUUCCAGAUUUCCAGCUUUUCAGUUGUUCUGAUUUUGCUUUCUUUCUGGGAUUGACUUUUGUCUUGACUUAUUCAUCCGUUUUGUUGUGAUGUCAUUUUAGUUUGAGGGGUAGAAUGCAAUUAUUUCCAUACGCAUUUAAGUUCUUAUUUCCAUUGGAUUUGCUCGUUCUAGCGUUAUUAUGCUCAUCUUUUAAUUUAAGAGAGGUGGUUUUCUUUUGCCAGUUUGUGAUGCCAAACACACUGCUUCUGUGUUGAACUGUCUAGUCCAGAUUAUCCAAAGCUUCUUGGAAUUCCUGUUCUGGGCCCUGGUUCCUGACUUGAAUAACACAUCUGAAAUUGAUUUGCCAACUGUGAUCAUUCUAGAGACUGGAUAAUAUAGCUUUCACCUGCGUAAAACCUGACUAUUUAAUGGUUUAUCCGUGUCUUAGAUUACAAUAUUCUUGAAUACACAGAAUAUAAAUGGAUGGAAGUGGUAUAUUGGGUGAUUAUUAUUGAUAUUUUUAUAAUUGUGGUUACUCUCACAAUUGUGUGCUUUAGCUUGGAAAUCUUCUCUUGUCAUUGUUAAUGCCAAGGUUUUAUUGGUGGUCGAAAGAGUGUAAGCAUUUAGCAUUUUACAGGUGGCAGAGCUGAUAGAAAAGGAUCUUGUCUUGAUUGGAUGCACUGCUAUAGAAGACAAGCUUCAAGAAGGUGUACCUGAGUGCAUAGAGACGCUUUCAAGGGCUGGAAUUAAGAUUUGGGUGCUUACCGGUGACAAAUUGGAAACAGCAAUAAAUAUAGCUUAUGGUUAGCAUUGAUGACAGGCAGUUUAUCAUUUGUUAAUCUUGAUUCAACUUGCACCAUCUUAUCCUAGUCUCAUUUGCAUAUGUUGCAGCGUGCAAGUUGAUCAAUAACAGCAUGAAACAAUUUAUCAUUAGUUCAGAAACUGAUGCAAUCAGAGAAGUGGAAGAUAGAGUGAGCAGUACUUCUCAAUCUUCCUGUUUGUCAGUUACAAAAUACACAUUAUUUAACAAUUCUUUUUGUGUUCAUUCACAGGGUGAUCAGGUGGAGCUUGCUCGUUUUAUGCAAGAAACAGUGCAGAACGAGCUUAAAAGGUGUUAUGAGGACGCGCAGGAGCAUCUUCGUUCUGUAUCUGGACCAAAAUUAGCACUAAUAAUUGACGGGAAGUGUUUGAUGUAUGCAUUAGACCCGAGUCUUCGUGUAAUGCUGUUGAAUUUAAGUUUGAAUUGCAGUUCAGUGGUUUGCUGCCGUGUUUCUCCGUUGCAGAAAGCACAGGUGAGGUCAUGUAGGUGGUUUUCCUUGAAUGGUUACUAACUGAACUUUUCUGUCUGUUGAAUAUGGGUGACUUAAUAUGGAUGAUCACUUCAUUUAUUCCUGUUGCAGUUUCGUUAGUCUUGGAAUUGUCAAGCUGACUUGUGGUUUCUUCAAAUUAAGCUGUUUAUGUUUGGUUAAUAAACAUAUGGGGUGGAGUCAUCCAUCUUUUCCCCUGUUAUCCCAUCAUGCAAUUCUAGGCAGAAAACAGAAGUUAUUUUAAUCUAUGCAUCUGUUUCUCUUUCAAGACUUAAUAUAAAAAUACACCAUCUCAAUGUCGCUUGUUACCUUUCUCAAAAUAUUGUUGCUAUAUGACUUCAUAGUAAGAGCUCAUUAUUCUCAAAUAACUUAUCCAAAAAGAAAGAAGAGAAGAGGUCGUUAAUCUCAGAUAUUUAAUGUUUUGAAAUUCUUUUUCGUGGUUCCAGUUUCAAGUUUAGGUUUCUUCAGGUUUCACUGUGAUUUUUUCUAAUUUCAACAGUGUAAUUCUUCAAGUUAAAAACAUUGUAAUUUCUCUUCAAGUUAGGAUGAGCUUUUUGAUUGUAAUGAUACAGGUUUUAGCAACUUCUUCCACUGUUUUUCAGGUGACAAGCUUGGUUAGGAAGGGGGCAAACAGAAUAACUCUCAGCAUUGGUGAUGGAGCUAAUGAUGUGAGUAUGAUUCAAGCUGCUCAUGUUGGUGUUGGAAUAAGUGGACAGGAGGGAAUGCAAGCAGUGAUGGCUAGUGAUUUUGCAGUAGCUCAGUUCCGUUUUCUCGCUGAUUUACUGCUUGUCCAUGGACGCUGGUCAUAUCUGAGAAUAUGCAAGGUUUAAAAGUUUAUAUGAUCUUUGUGCACAAAACUGCAUGAUCUCUGUUAGGGUAAUUAUGUGAUCUAGAACUUUUACAUGCAGGUCGUCACAUAUUUCUACUACAAGAAUCUGACAUUUACCCUGACUCAGUUUUGGUUUACCUUCCAAACUGGAUUCUCUGGUCAAAGGUUCUAUGAUGAUUGGUUCCAGUCUCUGUAUAAUGUGAUGUUCACAGCUCUCCCUGUUAUUGUUCUCGGGCUUUUUGAGAAGGUAUAUGAUGUGUUAUAGUUUGUUAGUUCUAAGCAACAUAUGAUGGCAAAUAAGUCAGCCAGCUUUUUCUCUAAUUGUUAUGUUAUUCCUUUUUUGGCUAUUGCUACACCUCUUUUGUGUAUUUAGGACGUCAGUGCUUCCCUCUCCAAGAAAUAUCCUGAGUUAUACAAGGAAGGAAUAAGAAAUACUUUCUUCAAAUGGAGAGUUGUGAUUAUCUGGGCUUUCUUUGCAAUAUAUCAAUCAUUGGUGUUGUAUUAUUUUGUUACUGCUUCAAGUACGAAGGGCAUGAAUUCAUCUGGCAAGAUGUUUGGCCUGUGGGAUGUUAGUACAAUGGCUUUCACUUGUGUUGUUGUAACUGUCAAUUUGCGUCUGCUUAUGAUGUGCAACACAAUUACAAGAUGGCAUCACAUCACUGUUGGAGGGAGCAUAAUAUUGUGGUUCAUAUUUGUCUUCAUUUACUCGGGUAUUUCCUUGCCAAAGGAGCAGGUGAGUUUGGUCACUUAUUUACUGUAUUCUUGUGAGUAUUCAUAUGCUAAUAUGUCCGAUAUUCCUACUCACUGCAGAAGAAUAUCUAUUUGGUCAUCUAUGUCUUGAUGAGCACAUUUUAUUUCUACAUUGUUCUGCUUCUCGUACCUGUUGCUGCUCUUUUUGGCGACUUCAUUUAUCAGGGGUAAGUUUCUUUAGUUAAUUUUCAAGUCCUCGUACCUAAUAUCACGAUAGGUAUUUUAUUCGCCCAAAAAAUAUUAUUGCACCCAUUUCAGAAUUGUGGAUUUGUCUGGACUUUGUUUCUAAAUUUUGUCAAAUCCAGCUAAAUAUGGUUCGUUUGAAGGAAACAUUAUUGUCUAGUGGUAAUAAAAUCUGUUUGUGCAUGAAAACAGCGGAUCCCAUUUGUGGAACCUUCCUGCCAAUUUGAUUAAGCAUGAAUAUACAUGCAAUUGAACCAUUUGCAAGUGGCUUGGGCCAACGCUAGUUUUUUAUUGAUUACCACAAAAAUUGUUUUUCACUUGGAUUCUUCCAGCUGUAUAAACUUUUCACUGCUAAUUCCUUGGUGUGUCAUCUGCAUAUAUUAUAUGUGAAACAACCAAACUGUUCUCUCCAUUUCCUUCUNNNNNNNNNNNNNNNNNNNNNNNNNNNNNNNNNNNNNNNNNNNNNNNNNNNNNNNUUUCAGCCCCCGUCUUUGAAAUAAUUUAUAAAAACUCUCACGCUAACUUAUUGGUCUGAGAUCUUUAAUUUAAGUGGCGCCUUUUUUCUUGGGAAUGAGAGCAAUGAAGUUAGCAUGGAUGCUCCUUUCAAAUGUACCUUCAUGGUAGAAAUACUCAAUAGCCUUCAUGAUAUCUUUCUUUAGAAUAUGCCUACACUUCUGAUGGAAAAGCAUAUUGAAACCAUCAGGCCCAGGGGCCUUUUAUUACCCAUUAAAUUUGUUUGACAGCAGCUUCAGCUUCUUCAGAAAAAGGUCUUUGUAGCCAGUGUCUUCUGUCAAUAUAGCCACAUGUUCAUCAUGCCACAUGCGUCUCAAUUUCUCCUUUUCCGUAAACAAGUCUUCAUAAAAGCUCAAAAUAUGACCUCUGAUCACCUUUUUGCUCUUGCCUUUAAUAUUUAUUUAUUUGUUUAUAUUAUUUAAAAAUCGAUGGUCUACUCUUGCUUAACAAUAUUAGCUGCUUUUUUUCAGGGUUCAAAGAUGGUUCUUCCCUUAUGAUUAUCAGAUUGUUCAGGAAAUCCACAGGUAUGAGAUCGACAGUAGGAUGGGGGUCCUGGAGAUUGGAAAUGAGCUUACACCAGAAGAAGAAAGGAGCUAUGCAAUAAGGCAACUACCUGGACAGAAAUCAAAACACACUGGUUUUGCCUUUGAUUCACCCGGCUACGAGUCAUUUUUUGCAUCUCAGGCUGGCGUCUCAAUCCCCCAAAAGGCGUGGGAUGUAGCUCGGAGAGCAAGUAUGAAACCACGGUCAAAGAUGCCUCGGGAUAACUGACUUCCAGAUAGUACAGUUUUUCUUCCCUUUACACUGUACUUCUCUUUUGACCUAGUCAAUUUAGCUAAUACGUAGAAUUAGCUGUGUAAUAUCUCGUCAUGUAGUCUUAUUCUUUUACCACCUGCCUCGCCCUCUUAUGAUUGUUUGGGUUAUAGUUAUAAUUAGGUUUAGUGAGCACUGUAGCAAAUUUAGUUCAGAAGAAAACGAUACAGAUGUAACACUAUCUGGAAGUUGGAGCAGCUAAUAGUUAAGCUUGUAUCUGUUUAUUGAUAGUUUGGAUAUUCCCAAGGAACAUGAUUAAUAGAUCAGUCUUUUUGCAGUGGUAAUUCAAAUGAGUUGUAUUUUGUUAUUUCAGCUGAUUACAGCAAUAUGGCUCAGGGGAGAGCUCUUUUAACCUACCAAAUCUCUUUUCCACACCUGUUCUUUCGUUGUGCUACUGUCAAGGUGAUUCUGUUGUAAAAUGAUAUUCACCAGAUACUCAUCUUCUACCGUGGUAGAUUCAUCGACUAGUAGUGUUUCAAUUUCAGUUCCUUGACUCUUGCUCGUCGUAUUAGCUAAGAAUAUUCAUAUGGAAGAUGGCUAAUCGGACUCCCUUGCAUAUCGGACUCCGGAUUCGCGCCGCGUAGGGCCCCAUUCGAGGUGAAACAUUCCCUACCAAGGAUUUUUCCAUACCCAGGGCUCGAACCCGAGGCCUCUGGUCAAGGGAAGAGCAACCCCAUCCGUUGCACCACAUCCUUUGGUGGUAACGCAGCUCUAUCUUAUUCGUUUAGCAAUUGUUGGAACCUUUUUAUGCUGCAAUAGGAUUCGUUUCUGGGUCAUGUUUUUAGAAGUAUUGGUUCUGAUAUAUUUUUAGAUAAUAUUACAUCCAUUGUUUAUACGAUCUGCUUUACAUUUGGGAAUAUUGUUUGGGUUUUCGGAGUAGUUUUAAGCUUAGGAUUUAUAUACUGCUUAUAUGGAAGUAUUGUUUAUAUGAUGCCUCCGAAAUGAAACAUAAGAAAUUUCAACCUCUGAAAUUCCAUAGUGUAUUUCAGAGGCGUAGUGUUAUAGAAGUAGCAGUAAAAGAUGCUAAGACUAUUUUCUUUUCUUGUUUGAUUUUUUUCAAGUGAGUUCAAAUAAAAAAUAAGAAACUAAGAAGCUUGUUAUACAAGCAAAAGAGAACGGAGAAGGGACUAUUCACUAUUAUGCUUCUUUAGUAAGAGCCGAAGAGAGUGAUUAGACAUAAAAGUUCCUACUUUUUAUUCUUCACUAAAAAGGCACAGAAUCGUGGGUCUAAGACCACCUUUUUCACACAUGUUCUCUUAAUAUUAUUGCCUUUUAAGCCCUCGAAUUUUAGUUGUGCUAAAAGUUGUCAUGUACGAAUCACCAAAAGAGGAUAAGAUUUCUUAGUAUCAUGUGAUGAUUUUUAAGCAAUAAAAUGGAUUCCCCACAACUCUUGUUCUCUUAGAUAGACAGUGCAUGUGGAUACUUAGGCAAUUAACACCGUAAAGAUAAUAACGAACAUAAUAUCAUUACUUAAAAUUAAUUAAGUUAGCUGCCAUGACGACACUUGCAUAGUUUAAGUGAAGUAUAUAUAUACUCUCUCCUUUUUAAUUUAUUUGACAUAGUUUAACUCGAUAAGGACCUUAAGAAAGAGAGGAAAACUUUUAGCAGUUUACUGUGCCUUCAAACUUGAAACAGAAGCCUUUGAGAAGCUAGAAGAAUUAGAUUCUCCGACACAAGUUAAUUUUUUAUUAUAAGUGUUUGUGUUGGAUACGCUAUGGCAAAGGACUAAAUAAAAAUGGGCUUUAUGCUCAUUUCAAAUGGAAUUAAGAAGGUAUGCGAUAUUCCAUAUAGAAGCCUAUGUUCCAAGGAUCCAGCCAUUCCUAUUUAAGACAACUCUACUUUAUAUAUAUUUGAUGGAUUUGCUCACCUUUAUGUUUGUAUGUAUGUAUAAAUUUUUAAUCUUAAAGAGAGCAUAUCUUCAUUUAAAGAUUAUUGGAACUGCCAACAAGGAGUGGUUCAAGUUAUUUGAGGCAUAUACGUCAACCACCAGCAGCCGUAAUCACAAUAGAAAGUGGAAUUGGCACCAAAACAUACGAAGCACAAUUAAAAUAAGUUAGAAAUUGGCAUAUAUGUCUGCUUUAAUUUAAUGCAAUUUUCAGCUUUAAUAAAGACAAAGGCAGAUUCAUAUUUUCAAGUCAGUGUAUUUACUAUGUACUCUAAUGUUUACUCGUAAAAUGAUACAAUUAAAUUUGUAACGUGGUUUAUAAACACAUGAAUUAAUUUUAUCCGAGAAUAUAAAAUAACGAAGAACAUAGAUAAAUAAAUUAAAAAACUUAAAGAAAAUACAAGCCUGAGCUUCUCCGAAAGUAAGAAUAAGAACAAUGUAUAAAACAGAAAGAGAGAAUAUUGUCAAUUGAGUAAACAUAGCUUUUUGUGAGUACAUAUAUUUCUUGUGUACAAUGAGUACAAAUUCUUCUAUUUAUAGUUCAUCCUGCUUUUUUCAACCGAUAUCUUUCUUUCAAACUUUCGUCCCCGGUUCCAGCGCCUUGCCGCCUCCAGAAGUCACUCAGCACCGAUCACAUGUUCGUAACGGUGCCAGCUAUUUGCUGACUCAUAUCCUAUUUGUCUUCACUGCCACGUGUCAACUCGACGAGCAUCCACAUGUCCUUCUUCAAUUUUACCCCAUACAGAUAGUCCCCCUUCUUUUCGGUGACUAAACUUUAUAUUACCGGGAAGUAGAUAAGACUUCUUUUCUUGACGUGAAAGUUCCUGAACGAUUUCUAACAUUUGAAAGGACGCAUAUCUCCUUGCAUUUAAUGAGUCGAACACGUGUUAUCCUACAACUCGACAAAUACUUUCGCUAGUUACCUAAGUAAUGAUAGCCUUGUAUUCUGCCGCCUAUAAACUUCUCCACUUCUCAUCAUUUUUACCUUCACUUUUAUCAAUUCCUCUACUUCGAAUUUCCUUAGAGCUUUUCUGCAAACCUCUCUUUCUCAAUAAAACUUUCAUAUUCACAUUCUCUAUCACCAUGUCUUGAACUAUCUCUUCCCCCGGUUACUCAAGCACUUUCAUCGGUGGCGGUCCAUCCAAGAAAAAUAAAUCUAAGAAAAUCGAUGCCGGACCUCCUACUACUUGCUCAAUCAUCUCCUCUUAACUAAAUUCUAAGACUGAUCUCCAGAUUCAACAUGAACACCUUAACGCUAAAAAUGACAGGAACAAGCCCGUCAAUAGAUUUCUUUCUUCCAUUCGUCCUACUAGUAUCCCUAUUAUGAAAGAAGAUUGUGGCUGGGUCAAUAUUGAAGUUUUAUCCCCUAAUGAAGUGGAAAGGGUCACCUUCAGUAAACCAUGGUACAUAUAUAUAUAUAUAUAUAUAUAUAUAUAUAUAUUUACAUGUACCCUUUCACUUUAAGAAUGGGCCAAGAAAUCGAUUCCAUCAUUUUAGAGUUUUUCCACAACUACCAAAUUUGCUUGGCUCAGGUAGGUCUUUGAAUAUGGCGAACGGUAGCUUGUCUUCAGUUUCUGUGCUCCCGGGACGGUGAAACCCUCACUCUUGCUCAUUUGAUCAAACCUUUACUCCCCAAAUAUUUUUCAUGGAGGCAUGAUCAAACUCAGCAAACGCGGUCACCAUGCUAUCGUCACCAGUCACCAGUGUUGAUGAUGAUAAUGACCGUGGUUGGAUGGAGAGGUUCGUUAUCAUUGCUACCGCAGACAUUCCACCGUCGACAACACCUCCUAUACCUGAAUCCUGAAACUUCACCCGUAAGGUUUUUGAAUAUCCCUCUUUCACUGCGUUAAAGAAAAAUCUUUCCUUUACUAACUUUCCCUUCUCCCAUUUGAGCUACCCGUUGGGUUCCUCCAAUGGUUCAGAACCUAACCCAAUGGGUACAAUUUUUUUUAGAUGUUUCCACACCGGACUCUCGUAGGUGGAAAGAAAUUUUACCCAAAUUCAACUGGAAGGCCAAGAACCAUGGUAAGUAAAACUUCCUCUUUUCCUUUCUAAUCUUUAAUGUGAUGCAGUAUAAAUUUCUUGAAUUCCUUUCAAUAUAUGUAGGCCUUCCGAAGGGGCCUUUUGUCUGCCCUCCUAUCGAGGUUUCCCAUGACCCCAAGGAUAGCUCAUCAACAAAUUCAAGAAGCCCUUGACCGAUAGAGGGCUCGUGAUCCCCCUCUUGCUUUCGGAGAAGGCUCUUCUUCCUUGAGUCCCCAGCCUAAGGAGAAAAAACCAAAAGAAGACGUACCUUCAAGGCUGAGACUCAGGAGAAGUCUCCAAUAAAAGAAACCCUAGUAGGACCGACCACAAUGGUCCUUGAUAAAGAUGAAACUAAGGACGAUGAUGAAGCGGUUUCUCUUCAAAGAAAGAGAAGAAAAGGAACUUCUCCAGCUCAACCAAAUACACAACUGGACGACAUCCAAAGACUCUUUACAGUGUGAGAAAUGGUUAAAAACGCUGAGUCUCGUUUCUAGACCCCAUAUGUCGCUUCCAGUUAGAGGAGUUACACCUCUGAUAUUCCUCCACUUGCAACUUCAACACUAGCUGCCCUACCACCAGCUUUUACCUUACCACCAGCCCCAAUUGAACAAAUGGAAGAUGUUCGUUCCCCUUGGUCACCCGAUCAUGGGAACAUUGAGAAUACUUUCCCGACACCCAUCCAAAACCCCGAUAGUAAACGUAGUAUCACUCUUUCUGUUUCGAAUGAGUGUCACUUACUUUCCAAGCCAGUGGGAGUUUCCAAUUAGUUGAAGCCUCUGGCUUUGAACAAGGACCGACAGAAGAUGGAGGCUCUUUUUGCGGAACAACAUACACUUUGCUGCUCAGGUAUCAUAUUACCCUUCUCUUUCCUAUUUUUUUACUAAACCAUUAUCUCCAAUAACGUUAAUUUUUGACUUUUCAGGCUAACCUCCUUGCCUCCGAAGGCUUGCAGAAGAUGGUCCAAGCCAAAGAAGAACUUGCUGUCGAGCGGGAUCAGAUUUGCAGCUGAACGAGAUCAACUCGCUAAGCGCCUCUUGGCUUUAGAGGCAAGACUUGCUCGAUGGGCGAGCUAGAAGCCCGGUUGGAGCAAUUCGAGCAGGAAAGAAUGGUUCAUAGCCAAGAGGCCACUCAACUGCAUACAGAACUUGAGGAGUUGAAGGUCAAGUGGGCUAAGCUAUAUGAUGCUGUGACUAUAGCGGCGGAACGUGAUUCUGUUCCAUGGAACAAAUAAACAACCUGGAAGUAAACUUGCGUUCCAAAUUUGAAGAAGUUGUUGUGGUCAAGGAGAAGAGAGCAAAAAUGGAGGAAAGGCUCAAAAUGAUCAUAGAGCAAAAUUGCGAAUACGCGAAUACAAAUACUGACCUUUGCCGGACCUAUGACAACGUGAGGGCUGAAAAUGACCAGUUGCAGUCUAAAAUCAAAAAGCUCAAAGCCAAAAUCCAGGAUCAAGAGGAUUAUUUCCUUUUAAAGAAAACUUAUGCAAUUGAUCACAUGAGGAUUGAGACAUUAGAGGAUGCUAAAAAAGACGUUCCUAACAUAGACGACUGCAUUGCUGAAGCUCUCAAUUUAGAGAAAACCGCCUACGAUAACAUUCAUGCCCGACCCAAUGCUUCAUGCUCCUCGAGCACUUAUUCUGAGUUCUUGAAAACCGAGAAGGAAGCUAAAGAAAAAGAAAAUAAGGACAAGGAUGAAGGUGUUGGACCGGAUGCGGAACAACCUUCAUCAUCAAAAGAUAUAGCAUAGACUUCUCGUCCUUCGGACUCUGCUGAUAGAACAAAUUAAUGUAUUUUUUUUUAUUGUAAUUAUGCCGAAACCUCUAUUGAGUUCCACAUUUUGAGCAAUAAAAGACAUCUUUUACUUAACUUUUGUGCAAAGACAUCUUUCCAGUGAUAAAGCUUGGAAAUUUUUUGCAUUCGAUAACUUUAUUACCGGGUAUUCAUACUUCCGAUUUUUUAUCCUUUAACUAUGAGGGUUUCAUAAGAGAGGUCCCUUAUAUUUAUGAUGCUAUUGAAGAGGAUGUCUCAUGUUCAUUACGACACUACCAUUUGAAGUUUAACUAACUUUCAAAUGAAAAAGACCAUAUCAUAUCAUUUGGACAAGAAAUAAGAUAAAAACAAAAGGAAUUUAAUUUUUUCCUUCCAUUUCUAAAAGUAUAUUUAUAUGAGCAAAAAUUCGCUUAAGUAAAUAAAACUGCCAAUACAUGUAGCUAACUUGUACUGCUUAUUCCUAUGAGGCUAAUCAUGUAGUCCCCGGUCAUGACAAGAUACAACUUCCGGUUCUAGCAGACCCGAAUGUUAAUGACACUUUUAGUGAUCUAAUAUACAAUAGUUCCCCCCUAGUGUUCUAAUGCGAAGUAUGAGAAUUCGAACACUGGAGUUUUUGUUAUUGUCGACGAUCCUUCUUCGUAGUAUGCUUUACGCUGUUGCCUUAUUAAAUAACUUGCUAGAAAAACCCAAUUGGGACAGAAACUAGACGAAAGAAAAAAGAGUACAACACAUAAUUUCAGUAUCUUCAAGGAUCUUCAACAGUAAUACCUUUUGAGGUGAGUCACAUUCCAAUUGCUUGGUAAUUUCACUCUAUCUUGAUUUUUUAAUUGAUAUGAACCUUUACCGGUUAUAGUUGAAAUCCGGUAAGGUCCUUCCCAUGUUGGUCCUAGCUUUUUAGCAUUGACUUCUCGAGUACUUUGAGUCACCAACUUAAUCAAACUUAAAUCAGUAUUGCUUCAUUAUUCUCCUCACAUAUGUGAGUACCUCAAGUAAAUCCAACUUAACUAGUAUUGCUCCAUUAAUUUCCUCCAAGUUUGCCCAGGAGUACCUUAUGAUCGGUUCCCCAAUCACCACCGGAAUCAAAGCUUUCGCACCGUACACAAGGUAAAAAGGUGUUUCACCUGUGCUUGACUUUGCCGUUGUUUGAUAUGCCCAUAGCACUCCUGGCAACUCUUCUUGCCAACUGCAUUUAGCAUCCUCUAAUUUCUUUUUAAGGUUUUGAAUUAUCACCUUGUUGGUUGACUCCGCUUGACCGUUAGCAAUUGGAUGAUAUGGGGAAGAUGUGCUUUUGAUCUUCAAUCCUUCCAAAACAUUUGUGACUUUGGAGCCCAUAAAUUGUGGCCCAUUAUCACAAACAAUUUCUUUUGGUACUCCAAACCGACAAAUGAUAUGAUCCUAAAUGAAAUCAAUCACUUCUCGCUCUCCAAUCUUUUUAAAAGCACCUAUUUCAACCCACCUAGUGAAAUAAUCAAUUAAAACUAAAAGAAACUUUACAUGCCCCGACCCUUGAGGUAAAGGAACAACUAUAUCCAUCCCCCAUUUCAUGAAUGGCCAUGGUGACACCAUUGAAUACAAAGGUUCUGCCGGAUGAUGCACUAAUUGCGCAUGACGCUGACACUUGUCACAUUUUUAUACAAAUGCCUUUGUGUCUUGUUCCAUCCGGGACCAAUAGUAACCAACCCUUAUUAAUUUAAGAACCAACGAGUCCGCACCGGAGUGAUUUCUACAAAACCCUUAGUGAACUUAUCUCAUCACAUAAUCAGCCUCUGAUGUCCCUAAACAUCAAGCCAACGAUCCUGUGAAAGAUCUUCAGUAUAAUUGACCAUCAAUAAGGUAAUAAUGAGCAUCUUUAUUCCGUAGUGCUCGGGAGGCUUUGGAAUCUUAAGGCAAUAUUUCAUGCCCUAAAUAUUCUAUAAACUCGUUUCUCCAAUCCUAGAUUCGGUUGGUCGAGUUAACUUCGCAAUAUCCAUCCACGUCUAGGACUGAAUGCAACAGCUGCACAAAUGCACCAGAAUUAACUCCUUUCAUUUUUGUGGACGAUCCUAAAUUAGCAAACGUGUCUGUCUCCACGUUCUCUUCCCUUAGGAUGCUGUAUCGACCACUCCCUGAACCGAGAAAUCAAAACUUGAACUUUAUUCAAGUACUGCUGCAUGCGCUCUUCUUUGGUGUCACAGACUUCAUAUAUCUGAUUCACUAUCAUCUAGGAGUCAUAUUUUAUUUCAAUCACCUCGGAGCCUAGUCCCCAGGCUAAUUCAAGUCCUACAACCAAAGCCUCAUACCCGGCUUCAUUGUUAGUCAAAGAAACUAUUCUAACGGCCUAUCUCAGGGUCUCUCUCGAAGGAGUGAUUAGUACUAUCCUAAGAGCAGACCCUUUUACGUUGGAAGCUCCAUCCGUAAACAAAGUGCAUACACCGAAGACGGUUCCCGAUACCAGAACUGCUUCUUUAGCAGCUAAAAACAUCAUUCCCGGACUAAAGUCAGCCAAAACUUGUGACUUAAUAGCAGUCCGAGAUUUAUAUUUUAUAUCAAAUUCACUAAUUUCAACUGCCCAUUUAGCCAGUCGACCCGAUAAUUCAGGUUUAUGAAGGAUAUUCCUUAAGGGAAAGGUUGUCAUAACAGUUAUUGGGUGAUAUUGAAAGUAAGGUCUAAGCUUUCGACAGGCAACUACAAGAGCCAGACCCAACUUUUCCAGGUGCGGAUAAUGUGUCUCCGCUCCCUAUUGUAUUUUACUAACAUAAUAAAUAGGGAAUUGCGUACUUUCUUCCUCCCGGACCAGGAUUUCACUCACCGCAAUUUUUGAGACUGCUAAAUAAAUUAUUAAUUGUUUUCCCUCCUUCGGUUUAGACAUUAGCGGAGGACUGUACAAGUACCUUUUCAAGUCUCUCAACUCUUGCUGGCAUUCCGGAGUCCAUGAAAAGUCAUUCUUCUUUUUCAAAAGUGAAAAUAAAUAAUGAUAUUUUUCUGAUGACCUUGAUAUGUGUUACGACCCAAAACAAACCUGUCGUGAUGGCGCCUAUCAUGGUACUAAGCCGACUACUUAGACAUUUCCAACACUCGAAAGCUUUGAAAGAUACAGAAGCAGUUAAAAUUAAGGAAAACCUUUUAAAAACAGAGUAAGAAAUUAUAAUUCAAUACAAAAUCUCUCCCAAAAUCGGGGUGUCACCGAGUACAUGAGCAUCUACAUAAGAAAACACAGUCUAAUACACCGUCUAGGAAAUAAAAACUAAAACAUAAAAUGGAAGAUAAGGAGGGAGAGUCAAGGUCUACGAACGCCAAGCAACUACCUCGAUAGUCUCCGAAAAUCUGAACUCCACAACUCAGCAACCGCCUUAACCGGAAGCACAUGGAUCUGCACACGAGGUGUAGGGUAUAGCGUGAGUACAACCAACUCAAUAAGUAACAAAUCUAACCUUUGGAAUGAAAGGUAGUGACGAACUCAGCAUGUACAGUUCAAUAUAGAAAUAACAGUACAGAAAUGUAGGCAUACUUUCAAGUUCAACAGUUAAAUUCAAUUCAAGUAAAAUAGAUCAGAUUCUGAAUGAUAUGAGGAGUAUGACCUCUCUAUAUCUACAUGCCAAUGCACAUGCUGUAUGUGAUGCACCACGCUGAAAGCCUCAUGUACUCUCACUCUCAGAAUAUCGAUCCGAAAACCAUCCGAAAUCAACCCGAGGCCCCCGAGACCUCAACCAAACAUACCAACAAGUCCUAAAACAUGAUACAAAGUUAGUCGAGCCCUCAAAUAACCUUAAGCAACAUCAAAAACACAAAUCGCACUCCAAUUCAAGCAUAUUGAAACUAAGGAAUUCCAACUUCUACAAACGACGCCGAAACCUAUCAAAUCUCGCCCGAUUGACCCCAAAUUUUGCACACAAGUCACAUUUGAUACUACAGACCUACUCCAACUUUCGGAAUCAGAAUCCGACCCCAAUAUCAAAAAGUUCACUCCCGGUCAAACUUUUCAAAAUUUAAUUUUCGCCAUUUUAAGCCUAAUUUCACUACGGACCUCCUAAUCACAAUCCGAAAAAAUCCAUUCUAUUUCUCUGAUGCGCAUGUCGCGGAGCGAGCCUGGGGAGAGGAGUAGAGUCCAGCAAUAUUAAGCCCCAAAAUAUAGUUUCUAUUAAAAUCUCAUGCUCCUAAGUCCAAAAUCACCCAACGGAGCUAACAGAACCAUCAAAACUCAAUCCCGGAGUCAUUUAUACAUAAGUCAACAUCCGUUCACCCUUUUCAACUUAAGCUUUCAACUUUGAGACUAAGUAUCUAAAUUUAUUCUAAAACAUCACCGGACCCGAACCAACUACCCCGGCAAGUCACAUAACAGUUAUAAAGUACAAAAAGGAGCAGUAAAUGAGGGAACAUGGCUACAAUUCUCAAAACAACCAGCCGAGUCGUUACAAUAUGAAUCUUAAGGGCUGCCAACCUGCCAGUCAACCUUUGAACUUCCUUCACACUUGUCAGUUGGUCAUGGAUAUUUUUUAUGGCCUUAAUCUUGUCGGAUUUUACUUCAAAUCCUCUUUGAGAAAUCAAGAAGCCAAGAAACUUCCCGGACCCAACUCCAAAAGCACAUUUUUCAGGGUUGAGUUUCAUGUUGUAUUUUCUCAAGAUAUUAAAUAUCUCUUGUAGGUGAGUCAAAUAAUUUCCUACACUAAGAGACUUAACCAACAUGUCAUCAAUAUAAACUUCUAUGGUUUUACCAAUUUGACGUUCAAACAUCUUAUUAACGAGCCUCUGAUAAGUGGCUCUGACAUUUUUAAGCCAAAAAGGCGUAACAUUAUAACAAUAAGUGCCACAAUUUAUGAUAAAUGAGGUUUUUUAUUGAUCCUCCAGGGCAUUUUAAUUUGAUUAUAUUCACAAUACGCAUCAAGAAAAUUUAUCAAUUCAUGCUCGGUUGUAACAUCGAUCAUUUGAUCAAUGUUUGGUAGGGGGAAAGAAUCUUUAGGGCAUGCCUUAUUUAGAUCUUUAUAAUCUAUACACAUUCUAAACUUAUUAUUCUUUUAGGCACAACCACUACAUUAGCUAACUAAUCAAGGUAAUUAAUUUCACGAAUUGAACUUAUAUUUAGUAACUGGGUUACCUCCUCUUUAACAAACCUGUUUCUGUCUUUUUGACCUUAGCUAUCGACCAUUUCUUUUGCUUCACCGGAGGAAAAUUAGGGUCCAAACUUAACUAGUGUACAACCACAUCCAUUGGAAUACCUGUCAUAUCAGAAUGAGACCAUGCGAAAAAGUUAGCUUUAAAAUUUCAAUAAUUUUAAACCUGAGUUUGGGACUCAGCCUCGUUCCCAGGUAAACCUUUCUAUCUGAAAAUUCUGUGAAUAAAGCACUUUGUUCAAGUUCCUCUGCAAUUGACUUUGUUGCAUCAGCUUCUCCCGGUUCCUAGAAGAAUCUAGGCAUCUGAUAGUAAUCCAAUGUUUCCUCAUCUCUAUCAACUUCAACCGAGUUUGGAAGGGAAAUAGACAUUGGUUCCUGUAGUUUCUAUUUGCUCGUUCCUUCUGCUUUGCUGCUAGAUAAGGUCACUGCAUUCAUUUCUCUCGCAGCAGGUUGAUCACCUCUAAUUUUCUGGAUCCUAACUGGUGUAGUUAAUUUCAGCAAUUGAUGGUAAGUUGAUGGCACAACCUUCAUUUCAUGGAUCCAUGGUCUGCUAAGGAUUACGUUGUAGCCCAUAUCGCCAUCCACAACCUCGAACAAGGUGGAUUUUGACACUCUUUCGGCAUGGGUCGGUAACACAAUCUCUCCCCGGGUCAUUAUGCUUGUUAGGUUAAACUUGACCAGAUGCUUUGUUGCCAGAACUAUAUUUUCGGUUAAAUUUGGUUGUUCCAAAACACUCAAUUGGAUGAUAUCAGCUGAAUUACCUGGAUCAAUCAACACACAUUUAAUUUUAAAAUCUAAAAUAUGAAGUGUAUUACUAGAGCAUUAUUGUGCGUAUAAUAAGGCCAUCAAUGUCUUCUUUCGUGAAUGUAAUUUCAUAAUCUUCUGAUGCUUCUCAGAUUCUUUAUUGCCGAAAACGUCACCCCAUUUACUUCAAACCCACCAAAAAUCAUGUUUAUUGUUAAACGGGGUGACCCUGCAGUUGGUUUUACUGAUUCUAUUGUAUCUCGAUUACUCUCAUAAUUGUUCUUGGCCUAGUCACUUUGAAAUUCAUUAUGAUGACCAGUUUUCAACAACGUCGCAACUUCUUCACGAAGAUACCGUCAGUCCCCUGUCAUGUGGCCAUGCGUUCUGUGGAAUUCACACCACAAACUAGGAUCCUUUUGACUAGGAUCUGAUCAAAUUGGCUUUAAAAAUAUUGCCUCCUUGAUAUUUCUCAUAGCUGAAACCAAUUCUACCAAACUAAUGUUGAAGUUAUAAUCUGAAAACCGAGGAUACCCUGACUCCCGGGACCUUGGCGGUUCUUUAUCUUGCAAAGCCCUACUACUCCGACCACGAUACGUUCUUCUAUCCGAUACAAAUGUUUUCGAGGCUGAAAAUCUUUAGUUCCAAGCCCAUCGGCUCUUUCAUAAGGCUGGAAAUGACUUAUGGAUGACCUCUGAUCUGCAUCAAAAUCACUUUUGAACUUUUCCUAAUUCCAAUCACAAUUACGAACUUUGGAUGACACCGAAGAACUCAAUUGAUCAUCUUCAAUUUUAAUUUUUGAUUUAUAGCGAUUAUGGACAUCUGCCCAUGUGGUUUCCUGAAACUCCAAUAGGUUUUCCUUCAAUUUCCUGGAGGCAUCGGAGCUUAGAGGAUUGAGACCUUUGGUGAACACUUCAGCUGCCCACUCAUCCGGUACUGCCGACAACAACAUCCUCUCCUUUUGAAACCGAAUUACAAACUCUCGUAACAAUUCAGAUUCUCCUUGAGCAAUUAUGAAUAUAUCUGCUUUCCUACCUUGGACUUUACUAACCCUAGCAUGGGCUUUAAUAAUAGAAUAUGAAAGCAUUUUAAUAGAGUCAAUCGAAUGUUCAGGUAAAAGAGAGUACCAUGUUAAAGCACCCUUUGUUAGCGUUUUGCCAAAUUUCUUCAGCAGGACAAACUCGAUCUCAUGCGGGGCCAAAUCAUUUCCCUUUAGAGAUAUAGUGUAAGGUGUGAUAUAUUCUUAUGGAUCCGAAGUUCCAUCAUACUUCGGAAUAUCUGGCAUCUUGAAUCUCUUUGGAAUCAACUCUAGGGCUACACUUGGUUCGAACGGCAACUGCGUAUACUUCUUCGAAUCUGACCCCUUCAAUACCGGUGGUGCCCUUGGGAUUUGAUCUAUCAGAGCAUGGAAUUCUUUAGCAUUUUGAUCCAUUCGAUCAUUCAUUUCCCUCAUGAAUCCCAUGAGCUCGGUUUUAAAAGGGAUAAUUUGUGUUAUUGUCAUUCCCGGAUCCACUACCUGCACCACCUACUUAGUUUUCAUUAAAUCCAAACUCCUCCCUCGAAGCGAUGUUACCGGUUCUUUAGCUGUUUAAUUUGCAGGAAUGCUGGGAGGGGCUCGAACUCCUCCAUAGGAAUUAUUAGAGGCAACCAAAAGAGCUUUCUAGAGCUUAGUCAUUAUCGAGUCCUUUCUUGAGAGAUGAUUCAUGAUUUCCCUUUGUUGUGCUCUCAAAAUUUUCACCAUUUUGAAAAUAGGUUCAUCGUCCAUAUCAUCAGGAGCUGAGCUUCUCAUACACGGAGGAUUUCAUUUUUUGUGAACCGGAGUUGUCUCAUCUCCAUCGUUACGAGUUUCGCUGGUGGAAUCAUCACGUUGAUCCCCGUCACAGAACAUAUCCUCAUGCUUGUUGUUCGUUCCCACAUUGAAGGAGUUGUUUACAUCAUUAGUUUUCAUAUCUGUUUUCAGUUUACAAAAUAAAAACGUCAAAAUGCAUUAAAAACAGAUGAAUGGAUCAUAGUAAUUCCACAGUUGUCUAUGCCCCAUGGUGGACGCCAAACUGUUUACCCGUAAAACGGUAAAAUUAAAUUUAUAACGUGAUUUAUAGACAUGUGAAUUAAUUUGAUUCGAGAAUAUAAAAUAACGAAGAACGAAGAUAAAUUAAUUAAAGAUGCUUGAAGAAAAUACAAGCCUGACUGUCAAAUAAGCUUUUUCAGAAGCAAGAAUAAGAACAAUGUAUAGAGAAGAAAGAGAGAAUAUUGUUAAUAGAGAUAUUUCCUGUGUACAAUGAGUAAAAAUUCUACUAUUUAUAGCUCAAUUCAGGGAGACAAGAUCCCCAAAUCAAGCUCUUUUUUUUAUUAUGAAUAAAUACCCCUCUUGAUGGCUGCAUAACAGUUGAGUAUAAAUGCAAAGAUUCUUUGUAAUGACUGCUCAUUGAAUGCUGCUUUUUUCAAUCGAUAUCUUCCUUUCAAACUUUCGUCACCGGUUCCAGCGCCUUCGGAACUCACUCAGCACCGGUCACAUGUUCGUAACCGGUGCCAGCUAUUUGCUAACUUAUAUCCUAUUUGUAUUCACUGCCACAUGUCAACUCAAUGAGCAUCCACAUGUCUUUCAUCAAUUUUACCCAUACAUCUAAUUUUGUGAUAAUGUUUCUAACUUAAGGCGUGUUUGGUAUGAACGGAAAAUAUUUUCCUGAAAAAUAAGUAAUUUAAUUUCUUAUUCAUUUUCUAGUUUUCGGUUAGUAAGUAAAAAAUAUUAUACCAUGAGCACUUAUAUAUAUGAGGGUGCGGUAGGGCGGGGGUUCAGGGUCGGGGAUCGUGAUUCAAGAUUUGACGAUCAGGGGUUCAAAGAUUAGAGGUUAGGGUCGAAGUUUGAGGGGUGGGCCUAGUUGUUGCCGGUAGGGGGUAGGGUUUGGGGUUGGGUCGGGUUGUCAGAGGUGGGGGUCGAGGUCAAGGGUUGGGGUAGGGUUGAGGUCAGGGUCGGAUUCCGGAGGUUGUGUCGGGGGUGAAUUAAAAAUGGAGAUGGGAGGAUUGAAACUGUCAAUUGAAUAGAUUUGAUUAAUAUUUUUCCUUCUCUUGGUAGAAAAAUAAAUUUUCAAGGAAAAUAUUUUUCAUCUUACCAAGAAACACUUUAAUAUACACUUAUAUUUUUAAAAACGUUAUUUACUAUAUAUGGUUCAAUUUGAAUGCAAUAAAUGCACUACCCACACCGUCGCGAUUGUAAAAGCAGGUCACGACCCCAAUUUUCCUCCUUAGGAUGUCGUGAUGACACCUAAUCUUUAAGACUAGGUAAGCCUUCCAUUUUACAAUAACUUAACAAGAAUAAUCAACAUGAAUACUAAAAUAGAACUACAAAACUCAUAUAGUCUCCCAAAACAUAAUCUUAACAACAACUUUUCCACAAACAAUGGAACUAAGUCAUAAGAUCUACAGAGUAAACUAAAAUGUCUACUACAUCACUGUCUGAAUGAAAAUACAACAGGAAGUAAAGAUAAAGGAAGGUGACUCCGAGUCCUGUGGACGCCGAGCAGUCAUACCUCAAAGUCUCUGUAAAGUAGCUAACAGUCGCUCACUAACGUUCGGCACGAGCAGACAUACAUGGAUCUGCACAAAAAGAUGUGUAGAGGUGUAGUAUGAUUAAAACACAAUAGUACCCAAUAAGUAUCAAGCCUAACCUCGGUAGAGUAGUGACAAGGCCAGGUCAAAACACCUACUAGGACAUAAAAACAUAAUGAAAACGUAAUAACAAGAGGUAACGGAAAGCGGAGCAAUAAGUAAUAUGAAGCAAGUUAAUAACAUAGACUAAUGAAAAGAUGUAAGAAUAAAGAUAACAUAAGGGAAGCAAUUGAAAAGAACCACAAUGUUCAUAUACAGACAAUAACUGAUGGAACCAGGAAGAACAAAACAACAAGAAGCGUUCCCACCAAAUAACUCUUUGCAACAUGAGAUAAACAAGAAACAUCACAACGAAGUCCUCGUGCACAAUAAGAAUCACAACCAAGGUAUCGCCUGGUAUUCACAUUUCUCAAUUUCAAUCACAAUCUUUCCUUAUACCGCCGCGUGAGCCUUACAUUUAAAUGGUUUUGAAAAUAUUUUUUUUUCGAAGUAGCUACACGCACUUUAGACCACCUUAUGACGCCACGUGGCUUCACGUAAUUCACUUACAAGCAACAUGCACAUAAGUCUCACCUUAUGCCACCGUAUACACAUUAACCUCUAUCCUUAUACCGCCACAUGCACAUCAAUAUCACAUCACAAUAAUGUAAUGAUCCGAUCGAUCGUUUUUGAGCUUUAGCAUUCCAUUCAUUGGUUUGAGAUUGUGAGUAGCUUCAUAUUAUGUAUUAUGACUUAUGUGUAUUGUUGGUUUCAAUUUUUGAGAGGUUCGGGAUUGAUUUGGAAGGAUGAUUCUCAUUUUCGAAGCUUUAAGUUAGAAGAGUUGAACAAGAUUUGACUUUUGGGUAUACGAAAUCGGGUUUUGAUUGUUCCGAUAGGUUCGUAUGAUGAUUUUGGACUUGUACGUAUGUUCGAAUUUGGUUUCGGAGUUUCCUAGAAGAAUUCGACACUAUUUGUUGGAAGUUGCCAAUUUGAAAAACUUGAGAGUUCAUAAGUUUGACCAAGAGUUGACUUUGAUGUUAUUAGACCCCAAUUGAUAUUUCGAGACUGUAACGACCCGACCGAUCAUUUUGAGUAAUUGCACUUAGCUCAGUGGUUUGAGGGAAUGAGUAUCAUCGUAUGAUGUAUUAUGACAUGUGUGAAUCAUCGGUUUUGAUUUUCAGGUAAGUCGGAAGUGAUUUGGAAGAAUGAAUUUCAUGAUUGAAGCUUUAAAGUUGGAAGAGUUGACCAAAUUUGAUUUUUUAGUAUUUGAACUCGGAUUGGAGUUUUGAUGGUUCCGUUAGGUCUGGAUGGUGAUUUUGGACUCGGACGUAUGCCCGGAUUUGCAUUUGGAUAUUUCUAGAAGGUUUCGGCGCUAAUUGGCGAAAGUUGGAAAUUUGAAGGAUUGGAAAGUUCAUAAGUUUGAUCGAGAGUUGACCUUGAGGAUAUCAGAUUUGGAUUGUAGUUUCAGGAAUUAUAAUAGCUUUGUUAUGUCAUUUGGGACUUGCGUCCAAAAUUUGAGUUCAUUCCGAUUUGAUUUGAUAACGUUCGGGCCGAGUUUUGGAAGUUGAAAGUUCAAAGUUCAUUAAGUUCGAUUUGAGGUGCGAUUCGUGGUUUUGAUGUUGUUAUGCAUGAUUUGAGGCCUCGAGUAAGUUCGUGUUAUGUUAUGGGACUUUUUGGUGUAUUUGGACGGGGUCCCGAAGGGCUCGGGUAAGUUUCGAACGUGGUUCGGAUCAUUUUGUCACAUGUUGCAUUGCUGAAGGAGUGCUGGUUCUAGUGUUGCGCACCUGCGAUUGGUUUUGCGCAGGUGCUGUGUUCGCAGAAGCGUUAAUAUGGUUGCAUCUGCGAUGAAGGCUGAGUUGGGCUACCUCAGCAGAAGCGGGAUUUUUAGCGCACUUGCGUCAUCGCAGAUGCGGGGAAUUAGUCACAGAAGCAAAGUGUGUCACAGAAGCGGGAGCUAUUGUCGCACAUGCGUGUGCGUAGAAGACGGUCUCUUUCCGUAAGUGUGAUGGGAGAGUUUCAGUGGUUUUUUGGCAGAAGUGCGUUUUGGUCGCAAAAGCGACGCCGCAUAAGCGGCUAUGUGUGUAGCAGAUGCGAUGAUGUCUGGGUAGAAGCUCUAUAUCGAGGGCUUGACUAUUUUAUUCACAUUUUGAGUUGGGGAGCUCAGAUUUGAGCGAUGUUGGAGGCAAAUAUCACCACAUGGAUUGGGGUAAGCAUUCUAUACUCAAUUUUUAUUAUAUUUCAUGAAUCUAUCCUCGUUUUUGGUAUUUGGUUGAUGAUUUUAAAAGAGAAAUUGGGGUUUUUGUCUAAAGUUUUAUAGAGUGAAUUUUUGAGUUUUGAAUAUCGAUUCGGAGUCGGAUUUGAGUGAAACUAGUAUGGUUGGACUCGUAAUUGAAUGAAUUUUUGGAAAUUUAUGAGUUUUGUCGGGUUCCGAUAUGUGGGCCCUAGUUUGACUUUUGAUUGACUUUGCGCUUUUGAUUAAGGAUUUCACCUUUAUCGAUUGGGUUUGUUUCCUUCAGCAUUAUUUGAUGUUCUUGAGUUGCUUUUGGCUAGUUUCAAGCUGUUCGAAGGUCGGUACAUGCGAGAUGACAUUUUUUGGAGCAUCAUUUGGUUUGCUCGGUAUUAGAUUUGGCUUGUCGAAGUAAGUAACACUUCGAAAGUUGGUGCUGAGGGCAUGAAUCCCUGAAUAUACGUGUUAUGUGUUCGGUGUUGAGGUGACGCGCAUGCGAGGUGUCGGGCGUGUGGGCAUACACCAUGUGAAGUAUGACUCGGUUGAUUCUGUGAUACUGUGUGGCUACCUAACCUUAUUUUUAUCCAUGAAAUUUCUACGUGCUAGAGUAAUUGAGCUGUGAUCCAUGUUAGAAACUAUGUUUAGGCUAUAUACUUAUUUUGUUGGGACCCACUGAGGUCAUUCCUGUUGUUGAGUUAUUUGCUUAAAUUGCAUUUACAUACUCAGUCAUAUUCAUUCAUUUACAUAUCAUAUCCCAGUCUCUGCUCUCAUUUGUUGUCAUAUCAUGUUGUUAUCAUUAUUUAGGUUGUUUGGCAUAAUAUUUGUGAGCCCGAGAGACUGGAGAGAUUGAUGAUUGAGUUGGGGCUUGAGAGCCGUGUUAUGAGUGAGAUAUGUGGAUCGGGUUGCACGCCGCAAUAUGCAUUAUGGCUAUAUGUGGAUCGGGUUGUACGCCGCAACUGGCCUUAUGGCUAUAUGUGGAUCGGGCUGCACUCCACAACAGGUAGUAUUGAUUCUUGAUGGGAUCGGGCUACACACCGCAGAAAGUACUAUUGAUUCAUGAUGGGAUUGGGCUACACGCUGCAGCAAGUUAUAUUAGCGCUUGGGCAAGAUCCGCCCCUCCGGAGUCUGCACACCCACAGUGAGUGCAAUUACUAUUGAUUCAUGAUGGGAUUGGGCUGCACGCCGCAACGGGUACCAUACAGUGCUGAGUGAUUGAGAGUAACUGAGUGUGCUGAGUGAUUGAGCGUGAUGAGUGGGAGUGUGAGACUGUGAUAUUGAGUACUCUGAGAGUGUGAGUACAUGAGUUCAUCACUGUGACGCAUUGCACCUGACAUGAAUACUUGACAUACAUGCAUAGUGAUGCAUUUCCUCAUGUUACAUGGUUUUGUGACAUUUAUGACUUCACAUGCACAUUGAUAUGUAGGCAUAGAGAUGUACUUUCCUCAUGCUAUCUGAAAUUGAAUCAUCUUAUCUGUUGUUAAAAGUUUUUGAGAAAGAUCAAAGGUUUCUGACUUACUCAUAUUUUGGUGAUUUCGGUGAAGAAUUUAGGUUUUACUGUUAUACUUGAAAAGCAUGACUAUAUUCCGUAACUGUGAACUAGCUGAGUAUCAUAUCUCUGAGUUAUUUCUUGUACCAAUUUUAUUAUGUUGUUAUGAGCCGUUGUUGGCUAUUGGUGUUGGACUCUGACCUUUGUCCCAGCUCGUCACAACUUUCAACCUAAGGUUAGGUUUGUCACUUAUUGAGUACAUGGGGUCGGUUGUACUCAUACUACACUUCUGCACCUUGCGUGCAGAUUUUGGAUGCUGAUGUUGCUGUGUAUGGCGGGAGCUGUAGUUGAAGAUGUAAUUGCGUUCCGGUCAUAGCUGCCUCUUGUUCUUGGUAGCUUUAGAAUUUUUAAUAUGUUCAUGUAUAUUUCAAACAGAUGUAUUUAUUUCAUACUCGCUUAGUAAACUCUAAAUCUUAGAAGAUCAUGAUUUGUACUACCAGUCCUUGGAAUUUUGUAUAUAAGUUCAGUUAUUUCAUCACUUAUUUUUUCAGUAAAUCUCAUUUGAAUUGGAUUGUUGCUAAUUGCCUUACCUAGCAUGUUGGGCUAGGUGCCAUCACGACUAGUUGAAUUUUGGGUCGUGACAGAGACUUUGGAUAUGUUGAUAUAGUUGAAUUAAACUUGUGUGAAAAGUUUGAAAGUAAUCCGAAGUGUUUUAGUGUGAUUUGGACACUCUUUUGAAAGAAUGAAGAUUUAACAACUUAAGAGAAAUUGUAUUCGGUCUGAGUCUCGAUUCUUUGUUGUGAUGUUCCCGUGGGUAUUUUGAGGCUUUGCAUAAGUUUGGAUGAUAUAUUUGUACUUGUUGGUAUGAUUGGAUGGGGUCCCGAGGGCCUCGCGUGUGUUUCGGAUCAUUGGUUGAGAAACUAGUUAUGUUAAAGAUUUGAAGUUUGACCAUGGUCAAUAUCGGGUCAAGAUGACCUUUUUUCGGUGUUUUGAAUGCGCGAGCAGGUUUGUAGUGUACUUUAUGAUUGAAUUGUAUAUAUGAUUUGUGUCCGGGAGGUUUCGAAUGAGUUUUGGGUGCUAAAACAAAGAUUUUCACAUUGCUGCCUUUUUUUUUCCUGGUGUAAGUAAUUAAAAAAAUGCCAUUUAUAUCCUUGAAAUUUUCAGAUGGCUUUUAAAACUUCAAAAUAUCAUACCACCCUCAUUUUAAGCCAAAUUGGGUGAUUCAAGAGGCUAUCUUGGGUGUAAUCUCGCGAGGAUCAUGUUGGGCUUAUUAAACGUGCGUUCGGGAUCAUCUAGGACCUGAUUCGAGCUGGGACAACUGUUACAUUUUUUUCUUGUUUCAUAAUUGAAGUUGCUAUUAUUUGUCCUAUCUUUCGUUGUCAAGUUUAUUCCUACAUGCCUUAGCUAAAGUUUCUAUCACAUGUUCUAUUACAUUUUUCGAGGUUUCUCUUAUAUGCAUUUAGUGGUAGUUGUUAUACAUGCUAUUUCACCCAUUGUUGAGUUAUUCUCAUGCAUUUAUUUGUAGUUGCUAGUUCAUGCUAUCUCUUUCCUUGUCGAUCCUAAGUUAUGCAUUUGAUUUGAAGUUGUUAUUUCAUGGAAAUACCUUCAUUGUUGAGUUAUUGAAGUUGAAGUUGUUGAAAGCUAUUAACAGGGUUGUGGUUGAAAUUGUUGGUUGUUGGAAUAUCUUACUUUGUUGAGCUGUUUCUCAUUUGUUUUGUUAUUAUUGAGAUUCUUGUACACAUUGUAGUUGAGCCGUGGGCUAUGUAUUGUGGUAACCUUAUUAUUGUUGAUUUGGUAAUAUUGUGGCAUAUGGGCACGUGUGGUGCGAGUUGAUUAUUGUGUUGUGAUAUUGAUACGUAUGCGGCAGUAUAAGGAUAAGGGUUAAUGUGCAUGCGGCGACAUAAGGUGGGAUUUAUGUGCGUGUUUCUAGUAAGAAAAUUACUUGAAGCCUCACGGCGACAUAAGGGGGCUAAAGUGCGUGUAGUUAUUUUGGAAAAAAUAUUUUCAAAAAUAUCUAAAUGUAAGGCUCACACGGCGGUAUAAGGAAAGGUUGUGGUUUUGAAUUCUGAAAUGUUGAAUAUGAGGCGUGGUACCUCGAUGUGAUUUUCUUGUACAUUCUUUAUUUGAAAGGAUUAUUUUUUGAACGGUUAUUGUUUUUCCUUGAAUCAUCUCACUUGUAUUUUGAUUGUAUUUGGUUAUUGGUUGUUAUUUUUGUGUGGGAACGAUUGUGACUUCUUAUAUGAGUCAUGCAUUCUAUGUGAUUUGCUGUGUUGCUUUAAUGUGCCAACCUGUGCCUCCAUGUUACUUGAUUGUAUUUGGUUAUUUGUUGUUAUUUUUGUGUGUGAACGAUUGUGAAUUCUUAUGUGAGUCAUGCAUUCUAUGUGAUUUGCGUGUUGCUUUAGUGUGCUAACCUGUGCCUCCAUGCUACUUGGUGAAUUGAUUGUUAAGAUGAAUUUACUUGCGUGAAGUCAUCAUCUCAUACUUUGUUGAGUUGUUGGUAAUAUAACUAUUUUAGAUAAAAGAAUUAUUAACAUGCUUUAUGUUGUGUGACUCUUAAUAUAGAACUCGUUAUCUCGCUCGGUGCUUUGCUAUUUUUAAAUGAUUAUCACAUUUUACUUUAAUUGGGUUCUCAAAUUAAACUCAUUACCAUAUUUGAUGUUUUACUUUGCGUGAAAUUAUUAUCACACCUUACUUUAACAAAUUCUAUAUUUAAUUCGUUAACUUAUCUGAUAUUUUUCUUAAUUUAAAAACACUAUUUUACUUUACUUUAUUGAUUUCUAAACUAAACUCAUUUGAUACUCUAUUUUGCAUAAAUUGUACUUUACUUUAUUUGUUUUCUAAAAUAAACUCAUUAUCUCAUUCGAUGCCUUACUUUAUUGAAGAUUGUUAUUAUGCCUUAUUGUAUUUAAAUAAACCUCUCGAACAUUUUAUUUGGCAUUUGAUACGGAUACAAUGUAGAUGGUAGCACGUAGACUUUGCCAUGCAAAGUUGAUUGAUAAUGUGGGUACGAGGUGCCAUGCGUGUAAGAUUCAGAAUUGUGGCUUAUUAUUUGUGGUUACGAGGUGUGGUGCCUCGGAGUAAUUCUUGUUGUAAGUCAUGCAUUGGGAACGAUUUGAUUACUUGAAUUGUCAUCUGUUUUCCUAAUUUGAGUUCAUUCAUAUUUCAUCUGUGUUCUGAUUAUGUUGCUGCUUUAUUACCCGUUUACUUCUUGUUGCCAAUUGUGUUUCUAUUAUUCCUUUGUUGGUUUUAUAUUAAUAAUAUUUAUGCUGUUAGCCUUACAUUAACGUUCUUUGCAUUUCUAUUUUAUGUUAAUAUCUUGCACAUGUUUUAUGUGUAGUGAGUGUCUCGACUUACCUCAUCACUACUCUAUUGAGGUUAGUCUUGAUACUUACUGGGUACUGCUGUGGUGUACUCAUGAUACGCUUUUACACAUUUUUGUGCAGAUCCAGAUACUUAUGAUCUUGUUGGAUCUUGAGUGUUGUGUCUACGCGGAUGGAGACUUCAAGGUAUACCUGCUUGACGUUCGCAGGCCUUGGAGUCACCUUCGGAUAUUAUCUUUACUACUGUUUAUCUUAAUUUCAGAAUAAUAUUGUAUUUGGAAUUUCUAGUGUAAGUUAGUAGAGCUUAUGAAUAUGUACUACCGAUUUUGGGUAUUAUAUAGCAUAUGUUCAGUUUUAGUUACGUUAUCCCAUUUAUCAGUUUAAGUUUUAUAUAUUUAAGAGGGUUAUCUCUGUUAGAUCUCUUCAUGUGUUAGGCUUACCUAGUCUUAGAGACUAGGUACCAUCAUGAUUCCUAAGGUAAGAUUUUGGGUCGUAACAAGUUAUUAUCAGAGCUCUAGGUUCAUAGGUGCUACGAGUCAUAAGCAAGUUUAGUAGAGUUUUUCGGAGCUGUACGGAGACGUAUGUACUUAUCUUCGAGAGGCUACGAAACUAUUAGGAAACUCCACUUCUUUCAUUCUUUAUCAUGCGAUAUUGAUUCAGCUUGAAGAACAUAUCUUACAUUCCCUUGCAUCCACUCGUAUAGGAUAUUGCGCACUUAGUAUCAGCCAUGCACUGACGGUUUGUGAUGCUGUGGAUGGGCUACGAGAGGGUCCAUGGAUUCUCAAUCAUUGUCUCAACGUGUUGUCCAUAUUGAGGAUGGGGAUGUAUUAAUGGAUCUUUCAAUUAUUCACGUGUAGGGUGCAGCGGGGUCUGGUAUCUGGUUGAUGCUGUACGGCUUAUGAAGGUUGGUAUUGUGGAUCAUCGGAUGUUAGGUCCUAUGGCUUCGCUCCAAGUGGGGGAGUCACCUAUCAACGAUCAGAUUGCAUGGUCAUGUGUCAUAUCGAUUUUGGUGAGGUAUAUAUAUGUGGUAUUGAAGGGCUCCCAGGAAUUGUAUAUGGCUAAGAUAUGAAAUUUGCAUGGGAUAGUGCUGAGACUUGCGAUAUUUCUGCAUCAUUAUUAAUUCUACAUUUCAGUAUCAGAGAUGUUAGAUAAAAAACUUCAGAUUCACAGAAAGUCUAUUCAGAGUGGGUAUCUCGGUUGCGGCAUUAUUAGGUGUUUCAGAGGAAAUACAGUAGUUUAUGCACUUUCGAAUGAUGUGGUUCGUGCUAGGAUCUCUUGCGGUGAGCUUUGUUUUAGGAUCGUAGUGUUCCGUCAAGGAGAAGUUUUAAUUUGAAGGCAAGUCGAGAAGGAUUCGAAGAAAUGAGUCUACUUGGUGGUGUUGGGGUCAGCAUAGUAAUAAAGGUAAUUGGUUCCUUUGGUGUGGUAAUGCAUUACCGAUGUUUUGUGGUAAUACUCUUGGGUUUGACGGCUUGCGUGACUUGGUUGAGUUGGGGAAAUUCAGUUACGAUGGGUUGGUUAUUUGAGGACAGGUUUCAAAGAGUUCUUGAUAGUGUCGACCACUGCUUGAGCCAGAUUCUGCUACUGGCAUAAGGAACAUAUGGCGUGUUAUGAUCUUUUCUCCUAUAUGGGGACACACGUUCUAGAUAACAAGGACUAUUUCAGAUGCUUAAAAGGAUGCUAGUAUUAUUUGAUACCACUUGAGGAGGGUGCGCACAUCAGAAGGCGCACUGUGUUUUGACUUGCGGAUGCCUGAUUGGUAUUACGAUAAUCGCCUGGUUGAUAAAUCGUUGAUGUUCAGAUUUUGCUAAGGAUCUGAAGACUAAGAAGAUUCUCAAAGGCAUCUUAUUCCAUGGUUGCAGAUGGUGAAGGUAUGCUAAGAGGCUGGUGAUAGAUGGUAUAUGCUAUAGAUAUGUUAUUAUGGGCUUUUCGGAGGCUAUCUACCUAUUUCGAAAGGAUCGAAAUUGAUUCGGAGGCCACUGGUAGGCCUAAUGAGAAUGUGUAUUCUACAUUGGGUCAGAUUUGUUUACCCGGCACAACUGAUGUUAUUGGUGGUGUCAUCGAUUAGAGUUGAUCUUAUUCGUGUUGUGAUGUGUUCCAUGUGUUACUAUCCUAUGCUACGGUGAGUUGUGGACUAUUUGCUAGUUGCACACAUGAUGCAGUACUGUUUGGGCUUUGUGGAGGAAGUUGAGCGAGAUAGCUCCUGGGGUCUUAAAUGGUUGAUUGCGCUUAGUUGUGGUCUUCUUUUUUGUGGUGUAUAUAUAGUGAUAUCCGUUUCUCCAUGGCUAUGGUCAUGUGCCUCGCAUAUUUGUUGAAUAUUACGCAUAUGGUUAUUGAUUGUAAGACUCAUGCUUCGAGGUAUUCCAUAUGGACAGUUGUUUGGAUCGGGUAACGAAUCGAAACGGGGUUAUGUUGGGAUAUGAUCCUUUGUGCUCAUUUCGUGUGGUUUGUUUCUCAUUUGUGAGAUGGUUUCAUAAAAUUGUGCUUCGUGGUGGUAUAUGUUGAGCCGCGGGGCGGUUCUCUCAUUUGAUUCUCUUUCCAUCAUUUGGGUACAUCCGAUUUAUUGCUUGUUUGGUGUACGAAUUGCAUGGUAUAUGGCUCUAAAUAGGAACGAUGUACCAUGUUAGUAGAGUAGUUUGUAUUGGAAGAGGUGAGAUUAUUUGACCUGGAAUGAGUAUUAUCGGACUUGAUUAAGGUAUGUUGGAAGGAUAAUGUAACUAGCCGGCUUAGAUUUUUGGCUAUGGUUCUUGUCAGACAAGAGAGCUUCAUGACUUGUUGAUUUGAUUGGUGGUUAUGAGUUUCUACGUAUGUCACCCGAAAUCUGACCCAUCAUGAUGGCGCCUAUCUCAAUACUAGGCAAGCCGACAUCAACAAUAACCCACAAUUUCUUUUAAAUACGAAAAAUAUAAAAAUUAAGUUUAAGAGAAAAUCCCAUAAAUACUGGGUAAAAUAUAUUCCUAAAACCUAGUAUCACUGAGUACAUGAGCAUCUAUACGUUACAAAUAUGGAAAAACACGGUCUAUAAUAGUUUGAGGCCAAAUACAGUAAAUAGGGAGAUAGGGAAGGAGAGACAAGGUCUGCAAAAUACGGCAGCUACCUCUGAAUCUCUGAAAAAUCAACGGUGCGAAAGAAUCAACACCCACUAUGUUCGGGAUCACCUAGAUCUGCACACGGAGUGCAGGGUGUAGUAUGAGUACAACUAACUCAGUAAGUAACAAUAAUAAAUAAGAACUGAAGGUAGUGACGAGCUUCACAGCUAAGUCCAAAUACAGAAAUUUUCAACAUAAAAGGGUAGGCAUGCUCUCAAGUUCAACAUUUAAAAUUUCACAGUAAUUUCAUAUCAACUUCGACUGAAACAGAAGAAAGAUGUCUUUUAAAAAAUUUCCAAAACCGUGAUAUAUGAUAGCUGGAAUGCAGCAAUAAUAAAAGCAAUGCAUCCUCUCAGAGUGACAGUCACUCAGUCCUCCCAUUCACUCCAACCUCACAGUUAUUCUUUCCUCACAGUCACUCAUUCUUCACAAUCACUCAGCACUCGCACUCAAUAGUUACCUACGCUCACUGGGGUGUGUACAAACUCAGAGGGGUGUAAUGAUCCGACCGGUCGUUUUGAGUAUUACAGCCCCAUUCCCCCAUUUACUGCUCUAUUUGUGCUUUAUAGCGGUAUUAUGACCUAUCAGAUGAGUGAGUUUGGGUCCGGAGAGAUUUCAAACUGAAUUGAGACACUUAGUCUCAUAGUGGAAAGUUUAAGUUGGAAAAGUCGAUCGGAUAUUGAUUUAUAUGUAAACGACCUCGGAUUUGAAUUCUGAUAUUUUCAGUAGCUCCGUAUGGUGAUUUUGGAAUUAGAAACGUGUCCGGAAAAAUAUUUGGAGGUCUGUAGUGAAAUUUGGCUUGAAAUGGCAAAAAUUAAAUUUUUGGGAAGUUUGAAUGGGGGGGGGGUGACUUUUUGAUAUCGGAGUUGAAAUCCGAUUCUGGAAAUUGGAUAGCUUCAUUGUGCCAUUUAUGACUUGUGUUCAAAUUUUGAAGUCAUUCCGGCUUGAUUUGAUGUGUUUCGGCACAAGAUACAGAAUUUGAAAGUUCAAAGUUCAUAGAUUUUGAUUUGAGGUGCGAUUUAUCGUUUUGAUGUUGUUAGGUGUGAUUUGAGGCCUCGUGUAGGUCCGUAUUAUGUUAUAGGACUUGUUGGUAUGUUCGGACGGGGUCCCGAGGGGCUCGGGCGUGUUUCAGAUUGAUUUCAGAUCAUUUUUCUUCAUGUUGUUAUUGAGGGUUGUUGCUGGUUCUGGUGUGACUUUGCGCAGGUGCGAUGGUUGCAGAAGAGACAAAGGAGCCGCAGAAGCAUCCAGGGAGGCUUUGGACAGAGGCCGCAGAUGCGGACAUGCGGGCGCAGAAGCGCUUGCGCAGGAGCGGCCCAACGCGUGCAGAAGCACGACCGCAGAUGCGGUUUGCACGUCGCAGAAGCAUCCACAGUCGUAGAUGCGAGCUUCUUCCGCAGAAGCGGAGGUCGCAGAUGCGGCUAUGCUACCGCAGAUGCGGAAGACGCUGGGCAGAACCUUUAAGUUCGGGGUUUCACUAUUUUUAGCCAUUUUCGGAUUUUGGAGCUCGGUUUGGGCGAUUUUAGAGAGGAAUUUUUCCACACAACUUGGGAUAAGUGUUCUUGACUCCCUUGUAAUUAUAUUACAUAAGUUAAUCUUCAUUUUCGGUGUUAGAUUAUUGAUUUUUGAAGAGAAAUCAGAGGAGUUUUCUACAAUUUCAUAAAAUGAAAUUUUGAGAUUUGAACACCGAUUCAAAGUCAGAUUUGGGUAAAAUUAGUAUGGUUGAACUCAUAAUUUAAUGGGUUAUCGGAUUUUGUGAGUUUCGUCAGAUUCUGAUAUGUGGGCCCCACUGUCGAUUUUUCGAGCGUAGUUGGGAAUUUUCAUAAAUUGUUAAUUUGUAAUCAUUGGAGUAAAUUGUGAUUUAUUUACACGUUAUUUGAAUAGAGACAGAUCGUUUGGCUUGAAUUGAGGAGAUAGGAAGCGUUCAGAAGUUGAUACGCGCAGAAUAGAAAUUCUGGAGCAUUGUUUAGCUUGUUCGACAUUGGAUUCAGCUUGUUCGAGGUAAGUAACUCUUCUGAUCUUGGAGCUCAGGGUAUGAACCCUGACUAUACGUGUUAUGUGUUUGGUGUUGAGGUGACGCACAUGCUAGGUGACGGGCGUGUGGGCGUGCACCAUGUGAAUUGUGACUCCGUUAUUUCUGUGGUACUGUGUAGUUACGUGAACUUAUCUGUAAUCAUGAAAUCUCUACGUACUAGAGUUAUCGAGCUAUGAUUCGUAUUAUAAACCAUGGCUAGGCUACAUGCUUAUUCUGUUGGAACCCACUGAGGUCAUUAUUGUUGUUGAGUUAUUUGCUUACAUUGCAUUGUCAUACUCAGUCAUAUUCAUUCAUUGCAUAUCAUAUAUCAGUCUCUGUUGUUAUUUAUUGAUACAUCAUAUCAUCAUUGUGGGCUAGUUCAUGUCAUUAUGAGCCUGAGAGACUGGAGAGGUUGUUGACUGAGUGAGGCCGAGGGCCUGAUUUUGAGAUAUUGAUACUAUGGCACGUGAGUUGUCCGUGCGGUUUAUAGCGCUUGGGCUGAAGGAGCCCCUCAGGAGUCUGCACACAUCCCCAGUGAGCGCGGUUGAUUUAUAUUGAGGGAUUGAUCUUCCUUGGACAUGGAUCUUGUCUAAAGCAUUUAUACUUGGGGAUGGAUCUUCUUCAAGGGCUGGAUUGGCCCUACUCGGUACUGAGUGACUGAUGAUUAGUUGAUAUGUAUAUUUCGGGAUGGAUCUUCCCUGUGCCAGAUUGGCCAUAUACAGUACCGAGUGAUUGAGCAUGAUGAGUGAAAUGUGUGAGACAAUGAUAUUGAGUACUCUGAGAGUGCGAGUACAUGAGCUCAUCUCUGAGAUACAUUGCAUUGACAUGCACACAUGACAUACAUGCAUAAAGAUAUAUUUUCCUCAUGCUGUACGGUAUCACAUCAUUCGUGACUUCUCACAUAUAUUGGCCUACGGGCAUAGUGAUGCAUUUUUUCACUGGCUAUCUGGAAAGAAAAUGAAACAUCUUAUUUAUUGUUGAAAGGAUUUUUGGGAGAAUUACUGUUUUCAAACUUACUUAUAUUUUUGGCAACUUCGGUAAAUGACUUGGGAUUUUCACUGAUACACUUGAAAGGCAGAACUAUUUUCUGAUAUCAUGAUUUAGCUGAGCAUUUAUUCUUUGAGUUACUUCUUUUAUUACUUGCUUUAUGUUGUUAUGAAUUGUUGUUGGUUAUUGGAGUUGGACUCUGAUCUUGGUACACGCUCGUCAUUACUUUCAACCUAAGGUUAGGUUUGUUACUUAUUGAGUACAUGGGAUCGAUUGUACUCAUACUAUACUUCUGCACCUUGCGUGCAGAUGCUGCUGUGUUCGUUGGGAGCUGGUUCUGAAGAUGUACCUGCGUUCCGGUUGUAGCUGCCUCUUGUUCAUGGUAGCCUUAGAUUUAUAAAACUCUGUUUAUGCACUUUUCAAACAGAUGAUGUAUUUACUUCAUACCAGCUUUGUAAACUCUAUUCUUAGAAGCUCAUGAUUUGUACUACUAGUCCUUGGGGAAUAUGUAAGAUUUAGAUAUUUUCGUUUACUUAAUUGUCUUGUUAAAUUUCAUUGGAAUAGGAUAAUUGAUAACUGGCUUACCUAACGGGUUGAGUUAGGUGCCAUCACGACUAGUUGGAUUUUGAGUCGUGACAAGGGGCUCCUUCAGCCCAAGCACUAUAACAAGCCAAUAUGGCAUAAAUCAACAAAAUAUGCUACGACGUGCAGCCCGAUCCCAUAAAUAUUCUCACAAUUAGGCCCUCAGCCUCACUCAGUCAUCAACCUCUCCAGUCUCUCAGGCUCUCAGAAAUCAUGAUAAGCAGCCCAACAACAAUGAUAUGGUGAAUCAAUAAUGAAUAAGAGAGACUGAGAUGUAAUAUGCAAUUAAAAAUCGUGACUGAGUAUGAAACAACAAUUUAGCAGAUAAUUCAACAUGUACACGACCUAUAUGGGUCCCAACAAUGUCAACACAUAGUUUAAACAUGAUUUAUAGAUACAUUUCUCUAAAUACAUGGAAAAAUGUCCGGAUAUCAACAGAUUAUUCAACUACAUAGUUCCAUAGAAUUGUCCAAGUCAUAAUUCCUACGGUGCACGCCCACACGCCCGUCACCUAGCAUGUGCGUCACCUCAAACCAAUCACAUAUCACAUAUCACAUAAUCCGGGGAUUCGUAGCCUCAUGACCAAAUUUAGAACUGUUACUUAUCUCAAACCGUAUAAUUCUUUAUUCUGCUAUGCCCCUGCCUCGCGAAUUGGCCUCCAAACGCCUCGAAUCUAGCCACAAAUAAUCCGAUUCAGUCAUUAAAAUUUAUUAGAAUUAAUUUCAUAAGAAAAUACUAAUUUUCCAACAAAAUCCAAAAUUUAACUCAAAAUCGCUUGUGGGGCCCACGUCUCGGAACCCGAAAAAAGUUACAAAAUAUGAACACCAUUCAACCACGAGUCCAACGAUAUAAAUUUUACCAAAUUCUGAAAUCAACUCGACCCUCAAAUCUUCAGUUAAAGUCUUUGAAGAUUUUUACCAUUUUCAACUCAAUCUUUACCCACUUGAACUCAACAAUCUUUCCACAAACCUUAUUGGUAUGUGUAUGUAUAAAUAAUACUCUCACACCCAAGAAUCAUACUCCCAAUCACCCAUCUUUACCCAAACUCUAAAUUGAAGACUAGGGUUAGAAAUUCUUACCUCUUUGAAGCCCUAGCAAGAUCCUUGUGAAAUCUUCAAACCUUGAACAAGAAUUGAUAUACAAAUGACUAGGUCUUCACUUUCUCUCUCUAAGAUGCUCUCACCUCUCUCUAAAAUAUCAGAUGAAACCCUUCAAAAUGACCCCCAAUAGUGUUUUAUAAGAAUAGGGUCGGGUUUAUAAAACCAGAAAAAUGAAACUCCGAAACAUACUCUACGGUCGUUACACAUAAGUCAGCAUCCGGUCAACCUUUUCAACUUAAGUUCUAAACCUUGGAACUAAGUGUUCCAAAUUACUCCAAAACCUCAUCGGGCCCAAACCAAUUACCCCGGAAAGUCAAAUAACAACCGUAAACCAUCAUUUGAGCAGUAAAUGGGGAGACAGAGUUGUAAUAUUUGAAAUGACUGGCCGGGUCGUUAUAGCAUGUUUCUUUCACCAUUGGCAGUGUACGAAGAUUUGGAACAAGGUUUUUAUUAAUAAGAGGUUAGAUACCAGUAUCGGGUUUUCUAUUUGAGAAGCUAUUGUGGUCGGGAGCUAUUGCUAUAUGUAUCUAGGUUAUGUGUAAUAUCAUGUGAUUAUACUUGGGAUAUGGUUACGGCUUGAUGCAGCUUGAUUCAGACUUAUACAGUGUAUAGAUGCGAGAAUCGGGUAUUAUAAUGAAUUUCAGAAGAUCGAGAUUGGGUUCUAAGGGUUGUGAGCUAAGGUUGAGGUAAAGAUCUUUGGUAAGAUUGUGUUGUCGAACUUAUAUAGGUUGAGAUAAUAUGGGAUAACUCAUGGGUAUGUGUAUGACAAAUUUAUACAGCGAUUUGAUGGCUUUGGAACGACUCUUGGCACGUUCGAGGAUGAACGUAUGGUUAAGUGGGGGAGAAUGUAACGGUCCGAUCGGUCGUUUUUGAGCUUUAAUAUUCCAUUCAGUGGUUUGAGCCUGUGAGUACCUUCAUAUUAUGUAUUAUGACUUGCGUGUAUUAUUGGUUUCGAUUUUGAGCGGUUCGGGUUUGAUUAGGAAGAAUGGUUCUUGUUGUACAAGCUUUAAGUUAAAAGAGUUGAUCAAGGUUUGACUUUGGGUAAACAGACUCGGAAUUGGGUUUUGAUUGUUUUAAUAGAUUUGUAUUACGAUUUUGGACUUGUACGUAUGUUCGGAUUUGGUUUUGGAGGUUCCUAGAAGAAUUCGACACUAUUUGUCGAAAGUUGGCAAUUUAAAUAACUUAAGAGUUCAUAAGUUUGAGCAAGAGUUGACUUUGAUGUUAUUGGACUCCAAUUGGUAUUUCGAGACUUUGGAUAUGUCUAUAUAGUUGAAUUGAACUUGUGUACAAAGUUUGAAAGUAAUCCGAAGUGUUUAAGUGUGAUUUGGACACUCUUUUGAAAGUGAAGAUUUAACAACUUAAGAGAAAUUCUAUUUGGUUUGAGCCUCGAUUCUUUGUUGUGAUGUUCCCCUGGGGGUUUUGAGGCUUUGGAUAAGUUUGGAUGAUGUAUUUGUACUUGUUAGUAUGAUUGGAUGGGGUCCCGAGGGGCUCGGGUGUGUUUCAGAUCAUUGGUUGAGAAACUAGUUAUGCUAAAGAUUUGAAGUUUGACCACGGUCAUUAUCGGGUCAAGAUGACCUAUUUUUAGUGUUUUAAAUACGUGAGCAGGUUCGUAGUGUAUUUUAUGAUUGAAAUGCAUAUAUGGUUUGUGUCCGGGAUGUUCCGAAUGAGUUUUGGGGUGCUGAAACAAAGAUUUCCAUAUUGCUAGUUUUUUUCCUGGUGUAAGUAAUUACGAAAAUGCCAUUUAUAUCCCUGAAAUUUUCAGAUUGUUUUUAAAACUUCAAAAUAUCAUAUCUCCCUCGUUUUAAGCCAAAUUGGGUGAUUCAAGAAGCUAUCUUGGGUGUAAUAUCGCAAGGAUCCUGUGGGCUUAUUAAACGUGAGUUUUGGGAUCAUCUAGGACCUGAUUCGAGCUGGGACAACUGUUGCAUUUGUUUUUUUUAUAAUUUAGUUAGUUUUUCUCACGAGGUAUUGGAGCUCGGGUUUGGGCGAUUUUGAAGGGAAUUUUUACUACUUGGGUUGGGGUAAGUAUUUUUGACUUGAAUUUGUUAUUAUUUCAUGAUUCCAACCUUGAUUUUAGUGUUUGAUUAAUAAUUUGAUGAUUUGAAUUAGAAAAAUUGGGGAUUUGAGUAAAAACUUUCUAAAACAUAAAUUGAUGGGUUGAAGGACGAUUUGAGGUCGAAAUUGAAUGAUUUUGGUGUGGUUGGACUCGUACCGGAAUGGGUGGUCGAAUGUUUUGAGUUUUGUCACCGAGGUGGGGACCUGGGGUUGAAUUUUUGGGUUGACAUUUUGGUUUUCAUUAAAGAUCGAAGCUUUAUUAUCCAAAAUUAUUUCCUAUGGCUUUUAUUUUUGAUAUUAAGUUAUUUUGACAAGAUUCGAGCCGUUCGGAGGUUGUUUCACACAAGAAGGGCUUCUUAGAGUGUUGAUUUAGAUUCUUUGAGGUAAGUAUCUUACCUAACUUUGCGUGAGAGAAAUACCCCAUUGGAUUUAGGUUUAAUUGCUAUUUGAAUUGUGUGAAAAACGUGUAUACGAGGUGACGAAUGUGUACAUGGACUUAUAUGUGAACAAUUGGCCGAUUCAGACUCUUAGGUCACUUAUAUGCAUUUAAUUUAAGUUGAUAUUAUUUGUCCUAUCUUUCGUAGUCAAGUUUAUUCUUACAUGCCUUAGCUAAAGUUGCUAUCACAUGUUCUAUUUCAUUUGUCGAGGUUACUCUUAUAUGCAUUUAGUGGUAGCUGUUAUACAUGCUAUUUCACCUAUUGUUGAGUUAUUCUCAUGGAUUUAUUUGUAGUUUCUAGUUAGUGUUAUCUCUUUCCUUGUCGAGCCUAUCACGACCCAAUCCCACUAUAGGUCGUGAUGGCACCCAACAUUACCAUUAGGCAAGCUAAUGGUGAACUACCAACUCAAUUAUUCAUUUUAUUACUUUUGAAAUCAAAAGUUUUAUUAAAUAAAGAAUUUAAUAUAUUUGAAAUCAUGGAUACAUACAAUAUUAGUAAGAUAUUAAAAAAAAAUGACGAUAAUAAAGCAAAACCAUUAAUAUCAACUAGAAUAUCCCCAAAUCCGGUAUCACAAGUGUAUGAGCAUCUACUAGGAAGUGCAAUAACAAUACAACAUCUGUCUAGAAUACAAGAGAGACAGGAUAAAGUAAAUAAUUAUGAUGGAGACUCUGUGUGCUGCGAGUCGUAGGAUGGAGUAGAACUCACCAUAAAGUCCCCUCAGUAGCUGUGCCUACGCGCCCAAUGACCACCAAAUGUACCUGUCAGAUCCUGCACAUUUAGUUCAGAAGUGCAACAUGAGUACGCAAAUCAACACAUACUCAGUAAGUAUCUAGACUAACCCCGGAGAAGUAGUGACGAGGGGUCGAUAUCGACACUUACUAGUGGUCCAAUAAAAUAAUAUAAUAGAUUAUGAACAGGUAUGAAACACAACAAUAACCAUGAGGUAAAAACUGUAACCCACAUAAUUCUCCAAUAUUUCUUUUGACAAUAUAAAUCUCUCGAAUGCCGUAUGCUAUCUCAACAUAUCCAAAAUAUCAAAUGCAAUCCCAAACGGAUAAGGGAUACCAUAUAAAUGACAAGUCUUAAUGAAAGGGGCAUCUCACGAAUAUUCGAACUCCUAGCGGUAUUACACAUGAUUAUGCCGAGGUCAUACGGCCCGAUCCGGAGUAGUGUGUACAUUUUCGAGGGUCGAUCGGUACGAACCAAAGAUGCAUCGGCAAUCGUCCUGAUCUACAGGAAAGGAAGAAACUUAUCGAAUUACGAGUCACAUGCUUACAACACAGGUACAUGAGCAUAAAGUAAAUAUAACUUUUACCGUUUAUCAAAUAUCUUGCAAAACAACUCAAGAUGAUAAAGCAUAGUCUAAUAUAUUACCAAAUAAAUCUCAAUUAUAACUUCAAUUAAUUAAGCAAGCAAUUGAGUUCAAAUAAUUCGAAUAUUACAUGAUAAAGUCCUAAGUCUACCCGAACAUAAACAUGCUUUAGCUACGUACGGACUCUCGUCAUCUCGUGCGUAUGUAGCACCCACAACUAGUAGCACAUAACAAUUUGAUACCUACGGGGUAGUUUCUCCUCACAAGAUUAGACAGGAGACUUUCCUCGCUCCAAAAUUCCAAUAACCGGCUCCAAUGUCUCUCUAACUCCUCAAUUCAAAACCAAACGAUCCGAAACUAGUCAAACUGUCACGACCCAAAACUCACUAUAGGCCAUGAUGGCACCCAACGUCGCCGUUAGGCAAGCCAACGGUGAACUUCCAACUUGAUUAUGCAUUUUAUUAUUUUCGAAAUCGUGCAUUUUAUUAGAUGAAGAAAUCAACGCAUUAAAAUCAUGGAAACUUACACUUUAAAUAGAAUAGCUAAUAAAAGUGUAUAAAUGCUAAGUAAAAUCACCACAACAUCUAGAACAUCCCAAAAUCAGGUGUCACAAGUGCAUGAGUAUCUACUAAGGAGUACAAUAAUAAUACAACAUCCGUCUGGAAUACAAGUUAGACAGAAGAAUAUAAAUAACUCUGAUGGAGACUCUGUAUGUUACUGAUCGUAACAUGGAAUGCAGCUCACCGUAAAAUCCCCGCAUUAGCCGCGCCUCUGCGCCCAGAGGACCACCGGAAACAUAUAUAUACCUGCACAAUAAGUGCAACAAGUGUAGCAUGAGUACGUAAAUCAAUACGUACCCAGUAAAUGUCUAGCCUAACCCCAGAGAAGUAGUGACGAAGGGUCGACAUCGACACUUACUAGUGGUCCAAUAAGACAAGUACAGUAAGAUGUAAAAAAAUAUGGGGCGGAGUAGAUAAGCGGUAUGAAAUAUAAAUACGAGGUACAAUCCUCCUCUGAACGGUAAACGCAAGCUCUUACUAAGAAGUUACCUCCUCAACCAAAGUAUAUCUAGAAUGGACCUCACCAGAUAGGUCAUCACAACUCAAAUCAGGAAACAAAUAAUACACGAAUGUGUUGGUUUCUUGUCAGAUAUUACGUACGACACUGCCGAGGUGAACAACCCGAUCCACAAGAGUGUUUUAUAGAAAUGUUGCGGCGAACGACCCGAUCCCAUCAUACUGUGUGCACUGCCGAGGGUCGAAUGACACAAACCAUAGAUGCAUCUAUUAUACUGCCGAGGUGAAUGACCCACUCCCAUAAGAGUGUGGUACAUAAUCUUGCCGAGGCAAAUGGCCCGAUCCCAUUAGAAUGAGAAGCUUUAACGGGUCAUUGACCCCACUUAUGAAUAAACGUGUGAGUAAUGAAUUUUUAAGGAAAACCUUUCGAUGAAAACACAUAUCGCGGGAGAAAUCCGUAAGAGGAGCACAAUUAUUCCGCGGCUAAUCAUGAAGCUCGCCAAAUCUCUACAAUAGCAAGUCUAUCAACUACGCAAGUCUAGUCUAAAGUCGUAACGUAAAAUAAAGGAAUUUAAUAGGCAAGGGAUAACUCAAACAGUACAGUUAUAGCAUGACGGGAACCUAAGUCUACCCUGACAUAACAUGAAUCUAGCUACGUACGGACUCUCGUCACCUCAUGUGUACAUAGCCCUCGCAACAAGUAGCACAUAUCAAAUACAUCACCUAGGGGUAGUUUCCCCCUCACAAAGUUAGACAGGAGACUUACCUCGCUCCGAAGUUCCAUAACCGGCUCCAACGCCACUCAAACACCUCAAACCGAUGCUUGUUUCUCCAAAACUAGUCAAACAAUGUGCAAAUCCAUAAAUAUAUACUCUAUUACUUAGAAUUAAUCAAUUCAUAACAAUUCCUAACUCCGCUCGAAAAGUCGAUAAAGUCAACCCUUAGACCCGCAUGUCCGAAUUUCAAAAUUUUUCGAAGAUAAACAUUACCCAUAACAUUACGAACUCAAAUAUAUAAUUUAUUCCUAAUUCCAUGUCCAAUUUUGUAAUAAAAAUCCAAAAUACCAAAUUCUAGGUUUCUUUCAAAAUCCCCAAAUUUUUACUAAUUUCCAUGUUAAAAUUCCAUAUGAAAUCCUUGAAAUUAACUUACAAUACGUGGGAAGUACUUACCUUGUAAUAGACGAUGAGAAUCCCCUCUUCAAGAGCUCCAAAUAUCGCCCAAACCAAAUAAAAAUAUGGGGGAAAUGGGCUAAGCCUCGAAUUAAAAGCACCCCACUGCCCAGUGACUUUCGCAUCUACGGUCCAAUAGCCACUUCUUCGGCUCCGCUCCUGCGGAAAACCAUCGCAGGUGCGGCUCCGGCUCAAGCCAGCAUCCUCUGCUUUUGCGGCCCAAAUAGCGCAUCUGCGCUUUCGCUUCUGCGGACAACAAGUGCUUCUGCGCUCACCCACCUGCGUGACAAAGACCGCUCCUGCGUCCCCAGGCCUUCUUGGCCAAUUCCGCUUUUGCGAUCUCCUCUCCACAUCUGCGACCUUGCAGGUGUGGAAUAUUCCUCGCACCUGCGCUCCCCGGUCCCGUCCACAAAUUUCGCACGCUCGAAAAGUCAACAAAGUCAUCCCUCGGGACCACAUGCCUGGAUUACGAAACGUUUUGAAAAUAAACAUUACCCAUAACCCCACGAACCCAAAUAUAUAAUUUAUUCCUAAUUCCAUGUCCAAUUUUAUGGUUAAAAUCCAAAAAUACUAAAUUCUGUAUUUUUUCCUAAAAUCCCACAAUUUUCAUAAAGUUUUAUGUUUAAAUCCAUAUAUAAUCCAUGUAUUUAACUUACAACAAGUGGGAAUAACUUUCCUUACGAUAGAUGAUGAAAAUUGCCUCUUCAAGAGCAUCAACAGUCGCCCAACCAAGUGAAAAUGUGAGAGGAAUUGGCUAAGUCCCGAAAUAAAAGCUCACUUCUGCUUAGCGAUUAUCGCAUCUGCGGUCCAAAAGGUCGCACCUGCGACAACGCUCUUGCGGACAAACCAUCACAGGUGCGGAAGUUCAUUUAACUCCGACCAUGCGCACUUGCGGCCCAAAAUUCGCUCCUGCGGGACUGCUUAUGACAUUCAAAACCCCGUGCUUGCGCACAUGUAACGACAGAGCCCUUCUGCUUCUGUGACUCUAGCCCGUCCGAUUCAUUUCUGCUUCUGCGGAAUGUUCCUCGUAUCUGCGGACUCGCAGAUGCGGAGAUUACCUCGCAUCUACACCUUCCCAGGUCCAGUGAAACUGUGCUUCUGCUACCACUGGACCACUUCUUCGGUCUCGCACCUGAGGCAAAUUCCUCGCAAGUGAGAUUACACCAGACUUGAAGCCAUCAGCACUACCUCCAAGUGCAAACAUGCUACGCCAACCGUCUGAAUCAUUCCCGAGCCCCCGGGACACCAUCCUAAUACACCAACCCGGCCUAAAUCACCUUACGAACUUACUCGAAGCCUCAAAUCAUAUCAAACAACAUUAAAACUAUGAAUAGACAAUCAAAAUCCUUCUUUAAACUUUCCUACAUUUAAACUUCGCCGAAUGCGUCCGAAUCACACUUAAACGUUCCAUAAUUGACGCCAAACUUUACGUGCAAGUCACAAAUCAUGUUAUGAACCUAUUCCAAUUCUCAAAACUCCAAACAGACAUCAAUAACACCAAAGUCCACUUCAAAUCAAACUUUGGAACUUCUAAUACCUUCGAAAUGCCAACUUUUUACAUUGAGCGCCGAAAUGCUCCCGAGCUAUCCGAUACUCAACCCAAACAUACUUCCAAGUAUAAAAUUAUUAUAUGAACCUAUUAGAACCUUUAAAUCCCGAUUUCGAGGUCGUUUUCUCAAAAGUCAAAACUUGGUCAACACUUUCAACUUAAAGCUUCUGAAUUGAGAAGUUUCCUUCUGAAUCAACUCCAAACUUCCCGAAAUUCAAUUUCGACCACACGUACAAGUCAUAAAAUAUAAAGUGAAGCUGCUCAAGGCCUUAAAAUUCCAAGCGACACACUAGAUCUCAAAACAACCGGUUGGGUCAUUACAAAGCCUAAGUUAUGCAUUUGAUUUGAAGUUGCUAUUUCAUGGAAAUACCUUUAUUGUUGAAUUAUUGAAGUUGUAGUUGUUGAAAGCUAUUAACACGGUUGUGGUUGUUGGUUGUUGGAAUAUUACCUUGUUGAGAUAUUUCUCAUUUGUUUUGUUAUUAUUGAGAUUCUUGUACACAUUGUGGUUGAGCCGUAGGCUAUGUGUUGUGGUAACCUUAUUAUUAUUGAUUUGGUAAUGUUGUGGCAUAUGGGCAUGUGUGGUGCGAUUUGAUUAUUGUGUUGUGAUAUUGAUGCAUAUGCAGCGGUAUAAGGAUAGGGUUUAAUGUGCAUGCGGCGACAUAAGGUGGGAUUUAUGUGCGUGUUGCUAGUAAGAGAAUUACUUGAAGCCAAGCGACGACAUAAGGGGGUUAAAGUGCGUGUAGCUAUUUCGGAAAAAAUAUUUUCAAAAAUAUCUAAAUGUAAAGCUCACACGGAGGUAUAAGGAAAGGUUGUGGUUUUGAAUUGUGAAAUAUUGAUGUGAAAGGUGGUGCCUCGGUGUGAUUUUCUUGUACAUUCUUUAUUUGAAAGGCUUGUUGAUUUGAACGGUUAUUGUUUUUCCUUAAAUUAUCUCACUUGUAUUUUUAUUGUAUUUGGUUAUUUGUUGUUAUUUUUGUGUGGGAAAGAUCUGUCACGCCCCGAACAUGGGGGGCGAGACCGUCACCCGGUGCCUCACCUAUCCUUGCGUACCAACUUGNNNNNNNNNNNNNNNNNNNNNNNNNNNNNNNNNNNNNNNNNNNNNNNNNNNNNNNNNNNNNNNNNNNNNNNNNNNNNNNNNNNNNNNNNNNNNNNNNNNNNNNNNNNNNNNNNNNNNNNNNNNNNNNNNNNNNNNNNNNNNNNNNNNNNNNNNNNNNNNNNNNNNNNNNNNNNNNNNNNNNNNNNNNNNNNNNNNNNNNNNNNNNNNNNNNNNNNNNNNNNNNNNNNNNNNNNNNNNNNNNNNNNNNNNNNNNNNNNNNNNNNNNNNNNNNNNNNNNNNNNNNNNNNNNNNNNNNNNNNNNNNNNNNNNNNNNNNNNNNNNNNNNNNNNNNNNNNNNNNNNNNNNNNNNNNNNNNNNNNNNNNNNNNNNNNNNNNNNNNNNNNNNNNNNNNNNNNNNNNNNNNNNNNNNNNNNNNNNNNNNNNNNNNNNNNNNNNNNNNNNNNNNNNNNNNNNNNNNNNNNNNNNNNNNNNNNNNNNNNNNNNNNNNNNNNNNNNNNNNNNNNNNNNNNNNNNNNNNNNNNNNNNNNNNNNNNNNNNNNNNNNNNNNNNNNNNNNNNNNNNNNNNNNNNNNNNNNNNNNNNNNNNNNNNNNNNNNNNNNNNNNNNNNNNNNNNNNNNNNNNNNNNNNNNNNNNNNNNNNNNNNNNNNNNNNNNNNNNNNNNNNNNNNNNNNNNNNNNNNNNNNNNNNNNNNNNNNNNNNNNNNNNNNNNNNNNNNNNNNNNNNNNNNNNNNNNNNNNNNNNNNNNNNNNNNNNNNNNNNNNNNNNNNNNNNNNNNNNNNNNNNNNNNNNNNNNNNNNNNNNNNNNNNNNNNNNNNNNNNNNNNNNNNNNNNNNNNNNNNNNNNNNNNNNNNNNNNNNNNNNNNNNNNNNNNNNNNNNNNNNNNNNNNNNNNNNNNNNNNNNNNNNNNNNNNNNNNNNNNNNNNNNNNNNNNNNNNNNNNNNNNNNNNNNNNNNNNNNNNNNNNNNNNNNNNNNNNNNNNNNNNNNNNNNNNNNNNNNNNNNNNNNNNNNNNNNNNNNNNNNNNNNNNNNNNNNNNNNNNNNNNNNNNNNNNNNNNNNNNNNNNNNNNNNNNNNNNNNNNNNNNNNNNNNNNNNNNNNNNNNNNNNNNNNNNNNNNNNNNNNNNNNNNNNNNNNNNNNNNNNNNNNNNNNNNNNNNNNNNNNNNNNNNNNNNNNNNNNNNNNNNNNNNNNNNNNNNNNNNNNNNNNNNNNNNNNNNNNNNNNNNNNNNNNNNNNNNNNNNNNNNNNNNNNNNNNNNNNNNNNNNNNNNNNNNNNNNNNNNNNNNNNNNNNNNNNNNNNNNNNNNNNNNNNNNNNNNNNNNNNNNNNNNNNNNNNNNNNNNNNNNNNNNNNNNNNNNNNNNNNNNNNNNNNNNNNNNNNNNNNNNNNNNNNNNNNNNNNNNNNNNNNNNNNNNNNNNNNNNNNNNNNNNNNNNNNNNNNNNNNNNNNNNNNNNNNNNNNNNNNNNNNNNNNNNNNNNNNNNNNNNNNNNNNNNNNNNNNNNNNNNNNNNNNNNNNNNNNNNNNNNNNNNNNNNNNNNNNNNNNNNNNNNNNNNNNNNNNNNNNNNNNNNNNNNNNNNNNNNNNNNNNNNNNNNNNNNNNNNNNNNNNNNNNNNNNNNNNNNNNNNNNNNNNNNNNNNNNNNNNNNNNNNNNNNNNNNNNNNNNNNNNNNNNNNNNNNNNNNNNNNNNNNNNNNNNNNNNNNNNNNNNNNNNNNNNNNNNNNNNNNNNNNNNNNNNNNNNNNNNNNNNNNNNNNNNNNNNNNNNNNNNNNNNNNNNNNNNNNNNNNNNNNNNNNNNNNNNNNNNNNNNNNNNNNNNNNNNNNNNNNNNNNNNNNNNNNNNNNNNNNNNNNNNNNNNNNNNNNNNNNNNNNNNNNNNNNNNNNNNNNNNNNNNNNNNNNNNNNNNNNNNNNNNNNNNNNNNNNNNNNNNNNNNNNNNNNNNNNNNNNNNNNNNNNNNNNNNNNNNNNNNNNNNNNNNNNNNGGGCUCACUCAUAGGCGGUCGACCACAGUAGGGUCGGUAUAUAACUUACCAUCUGAUCAGAGGUUGCCCAAUAUGGGCUUGCCCACCGAUUAUAGCUCCAUAGUGGUGAAAAUACUAUAAUACUGUAUAUAUAUAUAUAUAUAUAUAUAUAUAUAGACCCUCCGCUCUCUUGACUGGAAGAAGACAAUACUCAAUUGAAUAUGAAGUCUCGAUAAGGGAGAAUACUGUAACUUAUAAGACUAGGAUAAUGUAUAUAAAUUCGGGAGUAUGAACUUCUCUUUAUGUCUCGUUAUCAAACACAUGUAAUUACGAGAUCAUGCCAAAAUGAAGGAAAGGUUUAGCCUUAACAUACCUGAGCCGAUUCUCUUGACAAUCCAUCUAAUACACGCCAAUUGCGACAAAACACGUAACAGCGGAUCGAAGUAGGGAAAUAUCCGUAUCAUAUUCUUGAGAAAGAUUGCAUCGUACUUCCUUAGAAUCGCAAAAUCUCACGUUGCUAAGUAUUAAGUAGUCUUGUAUGAGAUUUGAUUCUAGAAAAUCCCGUAUGUAAUUCGUAUGGAAUUAUAAACGAUUUUGACAAUUCACCAGCUCCAACCAUUGUCAAAUCACAUAUGAAAUCUUUCUGAAAUGUAUGCUUGCAUCUUCUAAUCUUAAGGGGAUAGGCAAACAUUAGCUUGCAUGUGUUGAGAGAAAUGGAUAUUAUUAUGCAAACUUUUAUUAGAAGGCUAAAGAGAAUAUGAAUCACUUUGUAUGCUUUAACAAUGUGACACCUUGUUACAUAGUAUAUGAGUCACUUAUUGGAUUUAUUAUCCACUUCAUGGGCUGCCACGUUGGUGCCUUUAACCUUAUCCAAAUAAUUCACCUUUUCCUUAAUUAACUCAUUAAUCCCCCCACUAAUCCAAUAAUUAAAUUAUUACCCACAUAAAUAAGAAUUAUCUCCAAUUACUUAAAAUACUACUUACUUUUGACACACUUUAUAUACCUUACUAUCAUGGUCAUAUGGUACCUUGUAUGGUACUAGUCCAUAAAUACCGGGUAUUGUAGCUCGGACCGUAUUUUAUCCCAAAUUAUCAAACUUCGACGAAUCUCAUUUUCUUCGAUUUGCUUACCCUCUCACCUUCACGAAUUUACUUAUCCCUUAUUUGAAAUAGCAUCAUACUUAUAAUCCCAAGAUAAUCUCAUUCCCGAGCUUUCGUCGAUUAACUUACGACGAAACUUUAACGUACAAAAAUGCGGGAUGUAACAUCUCAUUUUCGAGCUUUCAUCAAUUUAUUUAUGGCAUACUUUCACGUACAAAAAUAUUGGGAGUAACAUCAUUCCCCCCUUUGGAACAUUCGUCCUCGAAUGUUGACUGAUGCACUUAUCAUUUUCAUAACCUAUGUCUUCUGAAUACUCUAGUACUUUCCUUGCCAUCUAGGAAACUGUUCUGUGAAUAAUUCCAAAGGCCAAGGAAUUCCCCCCUUUAGGCCUCUUUCUCACACCACGACUUGUGGUCGGAAUACUUCUAAUCUCGUAACUGUUGCUGCCUUCUAUCAUGCAGCUUGUACGACUUUUUUUUUCUUGCAUGUGCACAUAUGCGACUCUUCCCUUUAGCUUUUAGCUAAUCUCUAGGCCUCACUUUGGGAACAUAUACAGAACUUGACAAUGUCCCUCUGGAAAUCUAUAGGUAUACUGAAGUUCUUCGCUCGGUACUUUGUCGAACUUACGAAUAUUGCUAUACCUUAUUUCAUAGAUCCUUUUAUCCAUCCGUAUGACUUUACUGCAUCUAGGUAGGUCAUACUAUACUGUAACUCUUACUUCGAUUUAUCGUUACUGAUAUCUACUACCUAACUCCAGGUUACUCUCGUUGCUUAUCUUUAAGACUGAUGGCCUAAUCUCAUCUCAUACUUUGUAAAUUUUAUCCAUCCAUUGUUGAUUCACCUCAAUAUUGAUCUACAAUCUACCACUGAUAACUUGAAACCUCUUACAUAAUCACUAGGGCUCACGUUGCAUCAUGGAAUAUUUGAAGUGAUUUUCCUGAUCCGCAUGCGGGCGAUACGAUACUAUACUUCCAUAAUUGUAUUUCAUAGCAUCCCAAUAUGAUUCUCUUUACGUGGGUAUUUUAAUUCUGUACAAUUCAUGAAAUCCCCUUUUUUUUCCUUCAAAUUAUUACUCAAUAGAAGGCCCAAACGUCAUCCUUUAUCUAUCACAAUCACACCCUCAUUCUGCUACCAGGGCAGCAUUCCAUCUGUUCUAAUGCUACUGGUCUUAGACUCAUUUGAGUUCAUUCAGGCUAUACUGAGCUUUCUAUAACUUAGAGAACCAUCAGCUCUCUUGUUUCCAUGGGCUUAAUCCCGAGGACUUAUCCAUUCUCGUCACCUUCUCACUCGUCCUUUCUUAUCCUUACUCCUGCCUUCCAAAAACUUUCUCGCUCUACCAUACUUUAGCUUGCGAUUUACACAUAUCCAUUUAUACUACUCGCAACCUUCCUUCAACUUGCUUUCCCCAAAGAUUUCCUUAUGUUAUUUUGGAACAUCAAACGAGGGAUCACAUCAUCUCUAACUCUUCUUUACUUUCUUGAUUAGGCCUCUUGAUACCUAGAAACCAUAGACUGGAAGAUAUGCCACUGUCGACGCCGCUAUCAUUCCUGGAUACCGGAUCUCUGCGCUUCUGGCCUUCUAUCUGAAGUAUGGACUAUUCGCAACCUUAUGCAUUUGAGUAGCUCGUACGUUGUUCACCUUUACCUUACUUACCUUAAAAUCUUACAUCACAUCUUCUAUCUCUUUUCAUGACCUCCAUUCCACAUAGGUUACUUCAUAUCCACAACUUGAAGCUCUUAUUAUAAUACUCGCACCUCUGGGGCAAUAAUCCGGUGGGAGCUUCAUAAUGAAUUCUUAUGAGGCUGGUACUCUUCUAACUGACUUUAUUGUAGAGCCAUUAUAGAAUAUGGCUGUCGUACUAUCUCUCUUAUACCUAUGAUAUUAAGAGUGAUUCUGCUAUGUUCUUAAUCACGAUUUCUAUAAUUUUCUGGGUUCAAUAAUCAGAUUCCUGAUUUUUUUUUAUUGAUGUAGCUCUUUUGUUUCCUCUUCCUCUGAUCAGCCUUCAUGUAGGCUUAAGCUAUCUUCCGAUCUGCGGCUCCUAGGAUUAGUUAUUACUUUAGCCUUUAAUGGGCGCUAUGGAAUAUCCAUGAUACAAUCUUCUAACAAUUCAAUCCUUUGUCUAUGCCCUGGGCUAAAUUCUUUCUUUUAAUUUAUACCGAAGUCUUCUAUGACUGUAUGAAUGUCAACAUAUAUGCUGCAUGGAUAAUACUCCUAACUUUUAAGUGCGUUCAUAACAUAACUAACUCAGGACCAUCGAUCGAAUAAUCCUUUUCGUUCCUUCUCAGCUUUCUUCAAACGUAAGCAAUUACUUUUCCUGGUCUUUCUGCCCCCUUGUUGCGUGCAUACCUAGCUUAUCUUAGUUUCCACGCAUGACGGAAUUUUCGUGCAACUCACAUGAUCUUGAAUAUUACUUUUGACUUUACUUCCCGUUCAUUAGCCACGACAGGUGCCACUUUCUCAUGGAGUGCAUACAAAGUUGUAGUGAGACUGUUUUUACAUGACCAUCUAUUCUUUAUGUUACUAUGCUUAGGUUGAAGCCUUCUUCCUUAUUUCCUCAGCUAGUCUUUCAUUGUAGUACUUAGGGAGGACCCCCGAUUCUUGCAAAGCUGCGAGCUUACUACCUUGUUUACCCGACUGAAUUUUUGAUGUUCUUUAUUACUUGUAAUUAUCCUUACGUACUUUCCUCUAUGCCCUUGUGCUCGUAGGGUUGCUUUUGAACUUAAAUUUUGAAUGUUUCCCAGUGGCACUCUCUUUUAUUUCUGUAACACUCAUAUUGCACAUUUUUAACCACCCAACUCCUAUCUGAAUAUUUCUCAAGGAUCACGAUGUCAUAACUGUGAGGCUGAAUUCACUAUAUUGGGUUUACUAUAUUUAUCUUGCACGAUCUGUUGAUUUGUCUGUAUCCUCUUGUCUAGCCAUAUCUAGGCUCUUCCUGAAUCAACUACUAACUACUAGUUGGCCCAUUCUCAUAAAUAUAUUCUGCGUAAUCCCUCUUGGGUUAUUUUCUUUGUCUUAACUUACCUCUUGCACUAGCUCCUUAUGUCUCAAGUGUUCAUUCACACUUAUUUAUCAAUAACAUCCUGGGGGAAACCCUUACCGCCUCUCCCCGACGUUGUACUUGCAUUAUGUUCUGGAGUCGUAGCAUAUCUGUAGGAUAUUUUGCCUUUUCAUCUGGUUCUUCGGGUUGCCUAACAUUCUUUCUCUACUAGGGACGAGAGCCAUACUAAGGUAAUAUUUAUCCCUUCCAGGAUUCCAAUACCUAUCUUUGUAGUACUCAUAUCUAGCUGUACUAUUUUAGAGUGCACCAUCUGGGUGUCUCAUAAGGAGAUCUAUUAGCAUAUCUGCAAUAUCUUUUGGAAAUGUCAGCUAACGCAAACAAUCCAUCCAUCAUUUUGGGUUACUCUAACCCCAAUCGGAUCCUGAUAUUCUGUCAUUCUCUUAAACUAUAUUUGUUAGCUCCCAUAGGGCAUAACUUAGAUCGGUGUGGCCAAUUGUACAUACCUCUGUUACUGUUGAAGAUAACUCAUAAUGCUUAUAUCUCUCUUCCUGAAUGGUAAAUAAUGAUAAUCUUUACUAACUGGGUACCUCGUACCCUUCUUCAUCUUGCUUCUUUUACUUGUUGAAAUUUGUAUCUAUCUUUGGAAUCUCUCAUUGCCUUUCACCAUAGGGGUGGAUAAAUAUUCUUGCCUUAAGGCUCCUUAUCAAGAGGCUUACACGUCUUAGUACACACAUGAUCUACUGAAGACCUUACAUAUAUCCAUCAUAGGAAUGAUGCAAACUCGAGUUCCUCUGACUCAACUCUUCCACAGCCACAUUCAAUCCCUUACCAAACGUCUUUCUAGAUGUAGGCAUCGUCGUAUGAAUAAGAUAGAGUUUAGGAAAUUGAGUUCUUACAACUAAGCUCUACCACACGAUCUAGAGUAAGAAGAAAGAGUGACAGUCCUAAAUGCCCUGUAGCCUCCUGCUUAUAAGUGUGGUGCACAACAUACCCAUAAACAAGACUCUACUAGACACGGCUUGUAGACUCUCUAGGAUAGAACUGCUCUGAUACCACUUCUGUCACGUUCCGAACAUGGGGGACGAGACCGGCACCCGGUGCCUCACCUAUCCUUGCGUACCAACUUGCGACUAAGGGACUCUGAACAUAUAAUGUCAUAUUUUGGCCAUGGGGCCACAUUGCUAUAUAGUUGUGAAGCAAAAUAUAAAACUGAACGGAAACUAACGCUGACUAAACAUCAAUAUAAAGCUGGCCGACUAGACCGUCAUAACUACUACAGCUGGCAAACCAACAAAAUAUACAUACAAGGCCUACAAGCCCAACAUACUGCACUAAGUGACAUGAUAUGUCUACAAGCCUCAACUGAUGGAUGUACUAUGAUCGGAACAGGGCCCCGACCUACCUAUAACAUAUAUACAUAUAUACACCAGAUGUACAUAAAACUCUAGACCUGGCAACUCCGAAGGAUGUGGAGCUUACCGAUCAAGCUAAACUCGGGAAACACCUACUGAGGAGGUCUACCCGUCUAUCUGUCUGAACCUGCACUCAUGAAAUGCACCGUCCCCGGCAAAAGGGAUGUUAGUACGAAAUAAUAUACAGAGUAUGUAAGGCAACAUAAUAACUGAAAGCUGAAAGUGAACUGAUAAUAUAAUAACUGUAAGUAACUAGGAGUCAAAGGUAAUCUGAAGAUAUGCUUAUCUGCUGAUACUGACUCAACUCUCUCAAUAUAGUAAGUAAAAUAGCUGUCCGGCCUUAUAAGGCUCGGUGUGUAUAUAUAUAUAUAUGCUCUGCCGUAGUAGGCUCGCUCAUAGGUGCUCGGCCAUACUAGGCUCUGUAUCUCGGCCAUUCUGGGCUCGCUCAUAAGCGCUUGGCCAUAGUAGGCUCGGUAUAUAACUUACUAUCUGAUCAGAGGUUGCCCAAUAGGGGCUUGCCCAACCGAUAAUAGCUUGAUGGUGGUGAAAAUACUGUAAUACUGUAUACAUAUAUAUAGACCCUCCGCUCUCUUGACUGGAAGAAGACAAUACUCAAUUAAAUAUGAAAUCCCGAUAAGGGAGAAUACUGUAACUUAUGAGACUAGGAUAAUGUAUAUAAAUUCGGGAGUAUGAACUUCUCUUUAUGCCUCGUUAUCAAACACAUAUAAUUACGAGAUCAUGCCAAAAUGAAGGAAAGGUUUAGCCUUAACAUACCUGAGCUGAUUCUCUUGACAAUCCAUCUACUACACGCCAAUUGCGACAAAACACGUAAUGACGGAUCGAAGUAGAAAAAAAUCCGUAUGAUAUUCUUGAGAAAGAUUGCACCGUACCUCCUUAGAGUCGCAAAAUCUCACGUUGCUAAGUAUUAAGUAGUCUUGUAUGAGAUUUGAUUCUAGAAAAUCCCGUAUGUAAUUCGUAUGGAAUUAUAAACGAUUUUGACAAUUCACCAGCUCCAACCAUUAUCAAAUCACAUAUGAAAUCUUUCUGAAAUGUAUGCUUGCAUCUUCUAAUCUUAAGGGGAUAGGCAAACAUUAGCUUGCAUGUGUUGAAAGAAAUGGAUAAUAUUAUGCAAACUUUUAUCAGAAGGCUAAAGAGAAUGUGAAUCACUUUGUAUGCUUUAACAAUGUGACACCUUGUUACAUAGUAUAUGAGUCACUUAUUGGAUUUAUUAUCCACUUCAUGGGCUGCCACGUUGGUGCCUUUAACCUUAUCCAAAUAAUUUACCUUUUCCUUAAUUAACUCAUUAACCCCCCACUAAUCUAAUAAUUUAUCAAUUACCCACGUAAUUAAGAAUUAUCUCAAAUUAUUUAAAAUACUACUUACUUUUAACACACUUUGUACACUUUACUAUUAUGGUCAUAUGGUACCUUAUAUGGUACUAGUUCAUAAAUACCGGGUAUUGUAGCUCGGACCGUAUUUUAUCCCAAAUUAUCAAAUUUCGACGAAACUCAUUUUCUUCGAUUUGCUUACCCUCUCACCUUCAUGAAUUUACUUAUCCCUUAUUUGAAAUAUCAUCAUACUUAUAAUCCCAAGAUAAUCUCAUUCCCGAGCUUACGUCGAUUAACUUACGAUGAAACUUUAACGUACAAAAAUACAGGAUGUAACAUCUCAUUUUCGAGCUUUCAUCAAUUUAUUUAUAGCAUACUUUUACGUACGAAAAUAUGGGGUGCAACAAGAUUGUGACUUCUUAUGUGAGUCAUGCAUUCUACGUGAUUUGCUGUGUUGCUUUAAUGUGCCAACCUGUGCCUCCGUGUUACUUGGCGAAUUGAAUUUUAAGAUGAAUUUACUUGCGUGAAGUCAUGAUCUCAUACUCUGUUGAGUUUUUGGUAAUAUAACUAUUUUAAAUAAAAGAAUUAUUAACAUGCUUUAUUUUGUGUGACUUUUAAUAUAGAACUCGUUAUCUCACUCGGUGUUUUGCUAUUUUUAAAUGAUUAUCACAUUUUACUUUAAUUGGGUUCUCAAAUUAAACUCAUUACCCUAUUUGAUAUUUUACUUUACAUGAAAUUGUUAUCACGCCUUACUUUAAUAAAUUUAAUAUUUAAUUCAUUAAUUUAUCUGAUAUUUUCCUUAAUUUAAAAAUGCUAUUUUACUUUACCUUAUUGAUUUCUAAACUAAACUCAGUUGAUACUCUAUUUUGUAUAAAUUGUACUUUACUUUACUUUAUUUUUUUUUUCUAAAAUAAACUCAUUAUCUAAAUUGAGAAUAGUAUUGGAUUUUCAUUUCAGAAUAAUAUUGUAUUUAGAAAUUCUAGUGUAUGUCGGUAGAGCUUAUGGCUCUGUACUACCGGUUCUGGGGAUUAUAUAACAAUUGUUCAGUUUUAGUUACGUUAUCCUAUUUAUCAGUUUAACUUUUAGAUAGUUAAGAUGGUUAUCUUUGUUAGAUCUCUUAAUGUAUUAGGCUUACUUAGUCUUAAAGACUAGAUGCCAUCACAAUUCCUAAGGUGAGAUUUUGGGUCGUGACAAAUAACAAUUCUCACCACAAGUGCCCAUAUGCUACAACUUGCCAAUAAUCAACAAUGUCGAUGUUUCAACAAUAAUAUCCUAUGGAUCAACCACAAUGUGCACAAGAAUAGCAACAAAAGCAAUGAAUGUAAAAUUCUCAACAAGAAGGAUAUCUCAACAUUAAACAACUUCGCCUCAACGUGAUAACGACUUUUACAACUUCAACACCAAUAACUCAAUAAUGAGAAAGAUAAUGUGUAACCACGAUACUAAAUAAGAAUAACUCACAAUGAAAAAUAUAGCAUAUACUGAUGACUUCAAAUAAGAAUAAUAGCAAUGAAAGAGACAACUAGUAACAAUAAAAGAGGCAACAAAUUCAACUAAAUCAUAAGAGCAAAUUAUCAAGUAGGAUGUAGAACAAGUGUUAACAAAGUCAAAGGCAUGUAAGGAUAGACUAACACAAGUAAGAAUAGAUUGACUAUGAAAAUUUAGAACAAGAUAUGACAAUUCAAUUAAAGCAUGAAAAUAGUCUAACUAGCCUAAACUGGUCGAAUACCACAUACAACCCAUGUACCCACUCGUCACCUUGAGCACACAGCUUUCACAUAGCACAAAUGACACAAUCAAUCCCAAAAUCCUAAGGGGUAGUUUUCUCACACAAAGUUAGGCAAGAUACUUACCUCAACUAGGCACAUUCAACCCUCGGAAAUAGCUUUCCCCCUAAAUUUUGCCUCCACACUGCUCAAAUCUAACCAAAAUCGACUUAAUAUCAUCAAACAAUGCAAGGAAAAUCAAUUACAAUAGAUAAAACUAUGAUCUUUACACUUUUCCGAAAGAGUCAACAAAAGUCAACCUGGGGCUUGCCCUGUUAAAACUCGGGUCUAAUGGUAGAUUCUGACUACCCAUGACCCCACGAGUCCAUAUAUAUGAUUAUUUUCAAAAUCCAUGUCCAAAUCAACUCUCAAAACUCAAAUUCUUAUUUUUCAAAAACUUGACAAAGUUUCACAAAUUUUCACUUUGAUUCACAUGAUUUUAAUGUUAAAAUCUAAGAUAUAUUGAUGGAAUAUGUUUGGGAAUAGAUUAGAAUCACUUACCCAAAGUUUGUAGAUAAAAAUCCCCUCUCCAAAUUGCCUCUACCGAGUCUAGGGUUCUACAAUGAGAGAUUGUGAGAUAAAAUCCCGACACCCAGCCCUUUUGAUUAGCUGCAGAUGUCGCAAUUGUGAGGAAAUCAUCGCAAAUACGGCCACUGACCUUCCUAUAGGGACAUCGCAAUUGCGAUAAAUGGGUUCGCAAAUGCAGACCCUGUCCCAUUUGCAAAAGCGACAGUUUAGUCGCAAAUGCGAGCUGCCCAAAAUUAUAAACCACUUCGCAAUUGCGAGCCAGGUAUCGCAAUUGCGAUUCCUGAGGCCCCUUGCUAAGCUCGCAAUUGCGAACCUGGUGUUCGCAUAUGCGAUACCUUAAGCAUCAGCACAUCAGAUUCGGCAUUUCAGUCCAAAACACUCCGAAACAUGCCCGAAACUUAUCAGAGCCCCCAAGGCUCCAACCAAACAUCCACACAAGUCUAAAAAUAUCAUACGAACUCGUUCGCGUGAUCAAAACACAAAAAUAAUAUCUAAACCUACGAAUCGAACACUAAAACGCAUAAGUUUCAAAGUAAACUUCAAGAAUCUCUAAAAUUACGACUAAACGUCCGAAUCCUAUCAAUCAACUCUAAAUGAUACCAAAUAUUGCUGACAAGCUUUAAAUAGAAUAACAGACCUAUUUCAAGUCCCAAAAUCAAAUUAAGAACUCGAUAGCUAAAAGUCAACCUACGAUUAAAAUUUUUAACUUCAAAUUGCCAAAUUUCAGCAAAACAACACAAAUCAACCUACAGACUUCCGAAAUCAAUUUCGGGCAUACACCCAAGUCCGAAAUCAUGAUACGAAGCUAUCAGAGAAAUCAAAGCACCAUUCCGGGGUUGUUUUUACAAAAGUUAAAGUUUGGUCAACAUUUCUAAUUUAAGCUUCUAAGUCUAGAAUCAAAGGGUCUAAAUCAACCUGAAAACUUCCCGGAACGAAACUAAUCAACCCCGAAAUUCAUAAAAUCAUAAACACACAUGUGUGAAGCAUCAAAAUGAGAAACGGGGCGCAAUUACACAAAAUGACCGGUCGGGUCGUUACAUUCUCUCCCUCUUAAAAUAAACGUUCGUCCUCGAACGUGCAUAAGGACAUAUCUGAAGUGAUGAAUAGAUGAGGAUAACGACUCUGCAUAUCAUGCUCGGUCUCCCAGGUAGCCUCAUCGACCAGAUGGCCCCUCCAUUGAUCCUUCACUGAAGCAAUGUUCUUUAAUCACAACUUCCGGACCUAUUUGUCCAAGAUAGCCACCGACUCCUCAAUAUAAGUCAAAUCAUCAUCCAAUUCAACUCCGCUGAAGUCUAAAACAUGAGACGGAUCACCAUAAUACUCCCGGAGCAUAGAAACAGGGAACACCAGAUGAACCACAAAUAAAUUAGGUGUCAAUGCAAACUUGUAGGCCACCUCACCAAUACUCUCAAGGAUCUCAAAAGGUCCGAUAUACCUAGGGCUCAACUUGCCCUUCUUUCCGAACCUGAUCACACCCUUCAUAGGUGAAACCCGGAGUAAAACUCGCUCUUCAACCAUGAAUGCAACGUCACAAACCUUAAGAUCCGCAUAACUCUUUUGUCUAGAUUGGGCUACAAAAAGAUGAUCCUGGAUCAACUUGACAUUCUUUAAGGCAUCUCGAACCAAAUCUUUGCCCAAUAACUUAGUCUCUUCUGGCUCAAACCAACCAACUGGAGAACGAUGCCGUCUCCCAUAUAAGGCCUCAUAAGGAGCCAUUUUAAUCCUCGAUUGGUAACUAUUAUUGUAAGCAAACUCCGCAAGUGGCAAGAACUGAUCCUAAGAACCCCCAAAAUUCAUAACAUAGGUACAAAGCAUAUCCUCCAAUAUCUGAAUGGUGCGCUUGGACUGUCCGUCCAUCUGAGGUGAAAUGUUGUACACAACUCAACCCGUGUGCCUAACUCACGCUGUACAUCUCUCCAAAAAUGCGAUGUAAACUGCUUACCCUGGUCAGACGCCAUGAAGUCAGACAAUCUCGCGGAUAUAAAUCAGAGCCAACUGCUCUGAAGAAUAGGUAGUCACUAUCGAAUUGAAAUGAGACGGCUUGGUCAACUAUCCACAAUCACCCAUACUGCAUCAAAUUUCUUCUGAGUUCGUGGGAGCCCAACAACGAAGUCCAUGGUGACACGCUCUCAUUUCCACUCGGGAAUCUCAAGUCUCUGAGGCAAACUGCCCGGCCUAUGAUGCUCAUACUUCACCUGCUGAUAAUUUAAGUACCGAGCUACAUACUCCACUAUGUCUUUCUUCAUUCUCCUCCACCAAUAGUGCUACCUCAAAUUCUGAUACAUCUUAGCAGCAGCCAGAUGAAUGGAGUACCAUGAACUGUGGGCCUCUUCUAGAAUCAACUCACGCAACCCAUCCACAUUGGGUACACAUAACCGAUCCUACAUCUGCAACACACCGUCAUCUCCAAUAGAAACCUCCUUGGCAUCGCCGUGCUGUAUCGUGUCCUUAAGCAACUCUAACCAUCUCCGCUGCCACAAUUUAAGAUCUUUCUUUUUGAACAGAUGCUGUAGACUCCGGUGGUUUGUAAAGACCUCACAAGGGACACCGUAUAAAUCGUGUCGCCAAAUCUUCAAUGCAUGAACAAUAGCUGCCAAUUCCAAGUCGUGGAUCAGAUAAUUCUUCUAAUGGCUCUUCAACUGCCGUGACGCAUAGGCAAUCACCCUAACUUCUUGCAUCAAUAUCGCGACAAGGCCAACACGUGACGCAUCACAAUACACAAUAUAAGACCUCGAACCUGUAGGCAACACUAACACUAGGGCUGUAGUCAAAGCAGUCUUGAGCUUUUGAAAGCUCGCCUCACAUUCCUUAUACCAUCUGAAAGGAGCACCCUUCUGGGUUAAUCUGGUCAUAGGUGCAGCAAUAAAUGAGAAACCCUCUAUGAAACGACGAUAAUACCCGAUCAAACCAAGGAAACUCCGAAUCUCAAUAGGGGAAGACGGUUUGGGCCAACUCUGAACUACUUCAAUCUUCUUCGGAUCGACCUUGAUCCCCUCACUCGCUACCACAUGACCCAAAAAUGUCACUGAAUCAAUCCAGAAUUCAUACUUUGAGAAUUUUACAUACAACUUCUUCUCUCUCAAGGUCUGAAGCACGGUCCUCAGGUGCUGCUCAUGAUCUUCCCAAUUGCUGGAGUACACCAAGAUGUCGUAAAUAAACACAAUAAUGACUGAAUCAAGAUAUGGCUGGAAUACACUGUUCAUCAGGUGCAUAAAUGCUGCUGGGGCAUUGGUCAGUCCAAAUGACAUCACAAGGAACUCGUAGUGACCAUACUGAGUNNNNNNNNNNNNNNNNNNNNNNNNNNNNNNNNNNNNNNNNNNNNNNNNNNNNNNNNNNNNNNNNNNNNNNNNNNNNNNNNNNNNNNNNNNNNNNNNNNNNNNNNNNNNNNNNNNNNNNNNNNNNNNNNNNNNNNNNNNNNNNNNNNNNNNNNNNNNNNNNNNNNNNNNNNNNNNNNNNNNNNNNNNNNNNNNNNNNNNNNNNNNNNNNNNNNNNNNNNNNNNNNNNNNNNNNNNNNNNNNNNNNNNNNNNNNNNNNNNNNNNNNNNNNNNNNNNNNNNNNNNNNNNNNNNNNNNNNNNNNNNNNNNNNNNNNNNNNNNNNNNNNNNNNNNNNNNNNNNNNNNNNNNNNNNNNNNNNNNNNNNNNNNNNNNNNNNNNNNNNNNNNNNNNNNNNNNNNNNNNNNNNNNNNNNNNNNNNNNNNNNNNNNNNNNNNNNNNNNNNNNNNNNNNNNNNNNNNNNNNNNNNNNNNNNNNNNNNNNNNNNNNNNNNNNNNNNNNNNNNNNNNNNNNNNNNNNNNNNNNNNNNNNNNNNNNNNNNNNNNNNNNNNNNNNNNNNNNNNNNNNNNNNNNNNNNNNNNNNNNNNNNNNNNNNNNNNNNNNNNNNNNNNNNNNNNNNNNNNNNNNNNNNNNNNNNNNNNNNNNNNNNNNNNNNNNNNNNNNNNNNNNNNNNNNNNNNNNNNNNNNNNNNNNNNNNNNNNNNNNNNNNNNNNNNNNNNNNNNNNNNNNNNNNNNNNNNNNNNNNNNNNNNNNNNNNNNNNNNNNNNNNNNNNNNNNNNNNNNNNNNNNNNNNNNNNNNNNNNNNNNNNNNNNNNNNNNNNNNNNNNNNNNNNNNNNNNNNNNNNNNNNNNNNNNNNNNNNNNNNNNNNNNNNNNNNNNNNNNNNNNNNNNNNNNNNNNNNNNNNNNNNNNNNNNNNNNNNNNNNNNNNNNNNNNNNNNNNNNNNNNNNNNNNNNNNNNNNNNNNNNNNNNNNNNNNNNNNNNNNNNNNNNNNNNNNNNNNNNNNNNNNNNNNNNNNNNNNNNNNNNNNNNNNNNNNNNNNNNNNNNNNNNNNNNNNNNNNNNNNNNNNNNNNNNNNNNNNNNNNNNNNNNNNNNNNNNNNNNNNNNNNNNNNNNNNNNNNNNNNNNNNNNNNNNNNNNNNNNNNNNNNNNNNNNNNNNNNNNNNNNNNNNNNNNNNNNNNNNNNNNNNNNNNNNNNNNNNNNNNNNNNNNNNNNNNNNNNNNNNNNNNNNNNNNNNNNNNNNNNNNNNNNNNNNNNNNNNNNNNNNNNNNNNNNNNNNNNNNNNNNNNNNNNNNNNNNNNNNNNNNNNNNNNNNNNNNNNNNNNNNNNNNNNNNNNNNNNNNNNNNNNNNNNNNNNNNNNNNNNNNNNNNNNNNNNNNNNNNNNNNNNNNNNNNNNNNNNNNNNNNNNNNNNNNNNNNNNNNNNNNNNNNNNNGAUCAAACCAAGGAAACUCCGAAUCUCAAUAGGGGGAGACGGUUUGGGCCAACUCUGAACUACUUCAAUCUUCUUCGGAUCGACCUUGAUCCCCUCACUCGCUACCACAUGACCCAAAAAAUGUCACUGAAUCAAUCCAGAAUUCAUACUUUGAGAAUUUUACAUACAACUUCUUCUCUCUCAAGGUCUGAAGCACGGUCCUCAGGUGCUGCUCAUGAUCUUCCCAAUUGCUGGAGUACACCAAGAUGUCGUAAAUAAACACAAUAAUGACUGAAUCAAGAUAUGGCUGGAAUACACUGUUCAUCAGGUGCAUAAAUGCUGCUGGGGCAUUGGUCAGUCCAAAUGACAUCACAAGGAACUCGUAGUGACCAUACUGAGUCCUAAAGGCAGUCUUCGAAAUAUCCGGAUCCCAAAUAUUCAGCUGAUGAUAACCUGUCCGCGAAUCAAUCUUUGAGAACAAUCUGGCACCCUGUAACUGAUCAAAUAAGUUAUCAAUGCGCGGUAACGAAUAUCUGUUCUUCACUGUAACCUUGUUCAAUUGCCGAUUAUCAAUACACAUGUGCAUAGAACCAUCCUUCUUCUUCACAAACAAGACUGGAGCACCACAAGGCGACACACUAGACCGAAUAAAACCCUUAUCUAGCAACUCUUGCAAUUGCUCCUUUAAAUACUUCAGCUUUACUGGGGCCAUACAAUAUGGUGGAAUAGAAAUGGGCUGAGUGCCUCGCAAUAAGUCAAUACCAAAAUUUAUUUCCCUAUCAGGUGGCAUGCCUGAAAGAUCUACUGGAAAUACAUCUGGAAAGUUUCUCACUACCGGAACUGACUCAACGGUAUGAGUAUUGGCACUGACAUCUCUCACAAAGGCUAGAUAAGAAUCACACCCUUUUUCAACCAUCUGCUGAGCCUUUAGAAAUGACAUAACCCUGCUAGGAACAUAAUCCAAUGCACCCCUCCACUCCAACCGUCGAAAACCUGGCAUAGCUAAUGUUACAGUCUUGGCGUGACAAUCUAGAAUAGCAUGAUAGGGUGACAACCAGUCCAUGCCUAAGAUAACAUCAAAGUCUACCAUACUAAGCAACAAUAGAUCAAGUCUGGUUUCAAAACCACCCAUAACAACUAAAUACGACAGAUACACAUAGUCCACAACAAUAGAAUCUCCCACAGACAUGGACACAUAAACAAGAGAACUCAAAGAAUCACAAGAUAUAUCCAAAUACGGAGCAAAGUAAUAUGACACUUAUGAAUAAGUGGAUCCUAGAUCAAAUAAGACUGGCCCCCCACCUCUAGCAGGCUGUACGGGUGGAGCGACAACUGAGACAACAACCAUGGCCUGAGAAGUCUGUGGACCUGACUGAAUCCGCGGAGCCUGAGAAGUCUGUGGAGGUGCAUCCCUCCUAAGUAUGGGGAAGUCUCUAACCAUGUGGCGGGUAUUACCAUACUCAAAGCAAGCUCUCGAUGGGAAUGGCUGCUGGGACUGGCUCAGGCCUGGUCGGCUGGACUGACUGCUAAAGGCACCUUGUGUAAGAGGUGCACUAGAAAGUGGUUGAGCAAAGUGUGCAACCUAAGAUCUUGGAAUAACCAGAGCACCACUAGAAGCUGGAAGUGAUGAGUGAACUAGACAGCUCACAUAGCCUCUUCCAUGACGGGUUGUAGCUGCAGCGUGGCUACCACUAAAUCCUCCAAUUUCUCAAGGUCUCUUGGCCUCCCUAUCCUCUCUCUCACGACCCCACAUACCUUCACACCUUCGUGCAAUCUCUACCACCUGCUGAUAUGGGGUAUCUGUCUCUAACUCUCGAGCCAUACUGAAUCUAAUACCAUAGUUGAGCCCCUCGAUGAAUCGAUGGUCUCGCUCUAAAACUGUAGAAACCAAGGCACGUGCAUGUCUGGACAAAUCACUGAAUUAGACAGCAUACUCUGACACUGUCAUAAUACCCUGGCACAACUGCUCGAACUCCAUGCGCCAUGCAUCCCUAAGGGUUUGAGGAACAAACUCUCUCAAGAAAAACUCUGAAAACUGAAUCCAUGUAAGUAAAGAUACAUCGGCUGGGCUUACCUUCUCGUACACCUGCCACUACUGAUAUGCUACUCCUGACAGCUGGAAAGUAGCGAAAGCAACCCCGCUCAUCUCCACAAUACCACCCAUGGUGUGGAGAAUACGGUGGCACUCCUCUAUAAAACCAUGUGCAUCCUCUGAAGCAAAACCACUGAAAGUAGGAGGGUGAUACUUCUUGAACCUCUUAAGUCUAAGUUGCUCCUCCUCAGAUGCUGUUGCCCUAACCUCGAGCUGAACCGGAACAACAAGCUGUACUGGUAUAACCUCUAGGACCUGAUCAAAAUGGACCCGCUACUCUGGAGUACAUGCCGCGGGAGUCUGAGCUCCUCCCUCAUCCUGAGAUGUGGUUGGUGCAAGUGGAAUCAACCCCGCUUGAGCUAAAGUACCAAAUAUGCUCAAGAACUAUGCGAGGGUCUCCUGAAGUGCAGAGGUGGCAACAGGCGCCUCGGGUGCCUGCCCCCUAACUGGAGCUACUGGUGGCUCCUUUGUCACAGCUCAAGCAGGUGCUCUGGCUGCCCCAGCCCCGGCCUCUCGCUGCUCUAGCAGGGGAUGCGAGUGUCUGAUCGUCGGAUCUAGCAGUGCGUGUUCUCACCAUCUGUGAGAGAAUUGAAAGUCAAGGUUAAGAUUUUGAAGUCAACAAUCUCUCACGAUAAGCAAUCAAAGAGUGGAGUUUUCCUAACAGUUCCGUAGCCUCUCAAAUAUAAGUACAGACGUCUCUGUACCGAUCCGCAAGACUCUGCUAAACCUAUUUAUGACUCGUAACACCUAUGAACCUAGAGCUCUGAUACCAACUUGUCACGACCCUAAUUUCCCUCCUUAGGAUGUCAUGAUGGCACCUAGUCUCUGAGACUAGGUAAGCCUAACAUUUUAUAAUAAUUUAACAAGAAUAAUCAACAACAAUACUAAAAUAGAACUACAAAACUCAUAUAGUCUCCCAAAAUAAAAUCUUAACAAUAACUUUCCCAAAACCGGUAGAACUGAGUCUUAAGCUCUACAGAGUAAACUAAAAUAUCUACUACAUCACUGUCUGAAUGAAAAUACAAAAGGAAGUAAAGAUAAAGGAAGGCGACUCCGAGCAGGCAUACCUUGAAGUCUCCAUAAAGUAGCUAACAGUCGCUCACUAACGUCCAGCACGAGUAGACGUACCUGGAUCUGCACAAAAAGAUGUGCAGAGGCAUAGUGUGAGUACACUACAAUGGUAUCCAGUAAGUGUCAAGCCUAACCUCAGUAGAGUAGUGACGAGGCCAGGUCAAGACACCUACUAGGAUAUAAAAACAGAAUGAAAAUGUAAUAACAAGAAGUAACAAAAAGCGGAGCAAUAAGUAAUAUGAAGCAAGUUAAUAACAUAGACUAAUGAGAUAAACAACAAGAAUCACAACGAGGUACCACCCAUGCAUAAUAAGAAUUUCAAUCGAGGUACCGCCUCGUAUAUAAUAAGAAUCACAAUUGAGGUACCACCUUGUAUUCACAUUUCUCAAUUUCAAUCACAAUCUUUACUGCCGCGUGAGCCUUACAUUUAAAUAGUUUUGAAAAUAUUUUUUUUUCGAAAUAGCUGCACAUACUUUAGCCCACCUUAUGACGUUGCGUGGCGUCACAUAAUUCUCUUACAAGUAACAUGCACAUAAGUCACCGCAUGCACAUUAACCCCUAUCCAUAUAUCACGGCAUGUGAAUCAAUAUCACAUCACACAAGAACUCGCACCAUAAGUGUCCAUAUGCCACAACUUGCCAAUAAUCAACAAUAUCAAUAUUUCGACAACAAUAGUCCAUGGCUCAACCACAAAAUGUACAAGAAUAUCAACAAAAGCAACGAAUGGCCUCACAACUUCGCCUCAACAUGAUAACGACUUUCACAACUUCAAUACCAAUAACUCAACAAUGAGAAAGAUAAUGUGUAACCAUGAUACUAAACAAGAAUAACUCACAAUGGAAAAGAUAUCAUAUACCGAUGACUUCAAAUAAGAAUAAUAGCAAUGAAAGGGAUACCAUGUAACAAUUAAUUCAAAUAAUGAUAAUCAACAAUGAACGAGACAUGUAACAAUAAAAGAGGCAACAAAUUCAACUAAAUCAUAAGAGCAAAUUAUCAAGCAGGAUGUAGAACAAGUGUUAACAAAGUCAUUUAAGUCAUGUAAGGAUAGACUAACACAAGUAAGAAUAGAUUGACUAUGAGAAUUUAGAACAUGAUAUGACAAUUUAAUUAAAGAUGGAAAUAGUCUAAGUAGCCUAAACCGGUCGAAUACCACAUAAAACCGAUGUACCCACUAGUCACCUUGCGUACACGACUUUCACAUAGCAUAAAUGAUACAAUCAAUCCCAAAUCCUAAGGGGUAGUUCCCCAACACAAAUUUAGACAAGAUACUUCCUCAACUAGGCCAAUUUAACCCUCUGAAAUAGUUUUUUCCCUAAAAUUUACCUCCACACGGCUCAGAUCUAACCAAAAUCGACUUAACAUUAUAAAACCAUGCAAGGGAAAUCAAUUAUAAUAGAUGAAGCUAUGAUCUUUAUACUUUUUUCAAAAAGUCAACCCGCAACUCGCCCAGUCAAAACCUAGAUUCUGACUACCCAUUAUGUAUGAUUAGUUUCAAAAUCCAAGUCCAAAUCGACUCUCAAAACUCAAAUUCUUAUUUUUCAAAAACUUGACAAAGUUUUACAAAUUUUCACUUUGAUUCACAUGAUUUUAAUAUUAAAAUCUAAGAUAUAUUGAUGGAAUAUGAUUGGGAAUAGAUUAGAAUCACUUACCCAAAGUUUGUAGAUAAAAAUCGCCUCUACAAAUUGCCUCCUACCGAGUUUAGGAUUCUAAAAUGAGAGAAUGUGAGAUGAAACCCGACUUCUAGCCCUUUUGAUCAGCUGCAGAUAUCACAAUUGCGACAUGGAAUCGCAAUUGCGAACCCUCGCAAUUGCGAAGAAAUCAUCGCAUAUGCGGCUACUAACCUUCCUACAGGGACAUCGCAAUUGCGAUAAAUGGGUUCGCAAAUGCUAACCCUAUCCCCCUUCGCAAAAGCGACAGUUUAGUCGCAAAUGUAAGCUACCCAAAUCCUAAACCACUUUGCAAUUGCGUUGCAGGUAUCAGAAUUGAGAUAACUGAGGCCCACUACUAAGCUCGCAAUUGCGAACCUAGUAUUCGCCAAUGCAAUACCUGAAGCAUCAGCACACCAGAUUCUGCAUUUCAGUCCAAAACACUCCAAAAUAUGUCCGAAACUCAUCCGAGCCCCCGGGGCUCCAAACCAAACAUCCACACAAGUCUAAAACAUCAUACAAACUCGCUCGCGCGAUCAACACACAAAAAGAAUAUCUAAAACUACGAAUCAAACACUAAAUGCAUAAGUUUCAAAGUAAACUUCAAGAAUCUCUAGAAUUACGACUAAAUGUCCGAAUCCUAUCAAUCAACUCCAAAUGAUACCAAAUCUUGCUGACAAUUUCUAAAUAGCACAACAGACCUAUUUCAAGUCCCAAAAUCAAAUUCUGAGCUCGAUAGCUAAAAUUCAACCUACAGUCAAACCUUUCAACUUCAAAUUGCCAAAUUUCGGCAAAACAAUACAAAUCAACCUACGGACUUCAGAAAUUAAUUUCGGGCAUACGCCCAAGUUCGAAAUCAUGAUACGAAGCUUUCGGAGCCAUCAAAACUCCGUUCCAUGGUCGUUUUCACAAUAGUUAAAGUUUGGUCAACAUUUCUAAUUUAAGCUUCUAAGUCAAGAAUCAAAAGGUUCGAAUCAACCCAAAAGCUUCCCGGAAUAAAACUAUUCAACCCCGAAAGUCAUAAAACUAUAAACACACAUGUGUGAAGCAUCAAAAGGGGAAACGAGACGCAAUUACACAAAAUGAUCGGUCGGGUCGUUACAUCUCAAGGUAAGGUGAGAGACUGAAAAAGGUAUACAUGAAACAAAGGAAUUAGGCAUAAGAUCAAAACUAGAACCUUGAUAAAUUUUAAAGGUAAAGAGGGUUUUAUGUAAUUUUCGGAUUGUUAUCUCCUACCCUACCUCAAUAGGUCGAGGUUUCCCCAUACUAUUCAUAUGACGACUCAAAUUUCUAACCUAUCAGUUUGAUAGAUAAAUUUCUUUUGUUCCAUACCAGUUAUAUACAAAUAACUAAAUUGGCUAAAUUGUUGUUGAGUGUUCUGUCCAAAAUGGGUGUUUAUCAUAUGUUGGAUUAUAUAGUUGGUUAAUUUCUUGUAUAUGGUCAAACGAACUAUAAAUUGACAGUAUUAUCAUAUAUAUGACAAUAUUAUAAAAAAAUUAUACGGACAAUAUAUAUGACUUAAACACAUUCCCAUUUAGUUUCGACCAAUCUAUAUACGGCCCUUCCCCUAGAGUUUUUAUUCACUGUUUCUCGUUUCCAUACUUAAUUUGCCUUCAAACCAUUAGAAUAUUAUCCAACUUUAACAUGUACCCUUUACUUGGCAAUGAUGCAUUAUAACCAAUUAGCUCCUUUUUGCAUAUGUACUAUCUAGUAGUAAUAACUUUUUCUUUUUCGUCAAGAUCUUAACAAAAAAGCUACCAUAAAACCACUAAGGAACAUACUUAAAAUAAAUAAAAUAUAUAAAAUGAAAAAGAACGACCCCUUCUUCCUCGAAAGUAGGACCCAAAAUUCAGAGUCCCCCUUGAAUUUAUAUUUGGACUAAGAUCUCCGUGUAAAUAGUCACAUCUUAAUUAUUUAGGGGUGCUAAUCGUAAAAAGAUAUCCAAGUCCCAUGGGGUAUAAAGAAAAUUUACGCUAUAAACAACUUUAUCAUAAAAGAGAAGCACCAUUUGAUUAUUUUUCUUUAUUAGAUCAAGCGAAUUGAUAGCGGGUCGAAGGGAGUACAAUAGGGCAUCAUCUAUCCGGGUCGGUGUCGAACUCCUUUGUCUUCAAGAGUUUGUUUAGUUGAUCGAGAAAGUAGUAUUUACCCGUAAAAAAGGUACAAUUGACUUUGUAAUGUGAUUUAUAGACACGUGAAUUAACUUGAUCCAAAAAUAUAAAAUAAAUAAGAACAGAGUCAAGAUUAUAAAAAUAACUUAAAAGAAAUACAAGCCUAGUUGUAUGAUGAGCCUCUCCGGAAGCAAUAAUAUGAACAAUAUUAAGAACAAAGGAAAGUGAAUAAUUUUAUAAUAUGAGAGCAAAUUAUAGCCUUUGAGUCAGAUGAUUUUUCAUCUGCUACAAUGGAUACUAAUUCUCCUAUUUAUAGCUCUAUUUAGGGAGACAAGAUCCCCAAAUCAAACUCCUAUUAAAUGAGAAUAAAAUUGCCAUCGAUGACUGCAUAACAAUUGGCUAUUAAUAGAGAGAUUCUUUGUAACAGUUGCUAAUCUUCUCGUCGUGAAGGGAGAUUGCAAUUAGAAUAAUAUCGAAAUUUUCGCCCCCAGUGAGGUGGAAAGGGUCACAUUCUCCAAUCUAGGAUUAAUGUAUGUUUAUACAUACCCAUUCACUUUGGGAUUGGGUCAAGGAAUCGAUCCAAUAAUUUUAGAAUUCUGCCAUCAUUACCAAAUCUGUUUGGCUCAAGCAGGCCCAUUAGUAUAGUGUACGUUGGCUUGCCUCCGAAAAUUAUGCCCCGAGAUCGGAGAAACCCUAACUCUCGCACAUAUGAUCAAUCUCUACUCUCCAAAGAUCUUCUUGGAGGCAUCCUAAAGCUCAGCAAAUGCGGUCACCACGCCCUUCUUACCAGUAUUGAUGAUGAUAACGAUCGUGGCUGGAUGGAACGGUACGUUGUCAUCGCUACCAAAUAUAUUCUCCCGACAACAGUACCUGCUAUUCCUGAAUCGUGGAACCUUUUUUGUAAGUCUUCGGAUAUCUUUUCCUUUCCGUAAAUAAAAAAAUUUCCUCCUUCAUUAACUUUGUAUUUUUUUUAUUCCGGCUACUCAUUGGGAACCACCACAAGUUCAGAACCUAGCCUAAUGGGUACAGAAAAUUUAGACAUUUCUAUACCGGAAUCUCGAAGGUGGAAAAAAUGGAUCCCAGAUUAAUUGAAAAGCCAAAAACCAUGGUAAGUAAAGGUUCUUCUUUCCUUCUUUAAUCUUUUAGCAUGAAUCAGAAUCAAUUUGUUAACUCUCUUUUUGCAAUACACAGGACUUCUGAAGGGAUCCGUUGUUUGCCCCGCCAUUGAGGUUCUCGAUGAUCCAAAGGAAGCCCAAAAGACAUUGCAAAAUAUCCUUAACUGGAGGAGAGUUCGUGAAUCCACUCUUGCUUCCGGUGAAGGAAACUCCUCCCGGAGUCCCCAACCCAAAGACAAGAAACCAAAGAGAAAAUGUACCUCCUCAGCUGGGACUCGGGAGAAGAAUGUGAAAGAAACACCAACCGGACCGGCUACAAUGGUCCUUGAUGAUGAAGGAAUAGAUGAUGAAGCGGCUCCCCUUCAGAGAAGAAAAAGAUCUUCAUCAGCUCAACUGGAAGCUCAUCCGAGUGAGCUUCAAACUCCACAACCAAAAGAAGUUCAAGGACUCUUCACGGAAAUGGGAUUGGCUGAAAACUCUUCAUCUCGUUUUUGAAUCCCCAUUAUUGCUUUCGAUCAAAGGAGUUCUACCCAUAACGUUCCUCCGCCAUCAACUUCUGAUCCAGCUACAACCGCAUCUCCUUCUACACUAGCUUUCCCCUCUCCACCGUCCCCAUCCGAACAGAUGGAAGAUGUUCCUUCCCCACGGUGACCCGACCAUGGAAAUUUGGGGAAUACUUACCCGACACCCACUCAAAACACUAAUGGAAAUAGGAAUGUCAUUCUCACAGUUUCGAAUGAGUGCCACAUACUUUUAAAGUCGGUAGAGGUUUGCCAACUAUCCGAAAUCGCUGGCCACGAAAAAAUACUGGAGAAAAAUAGAAUUUCUUUCUGCCUAGUGACUGAUAAACAACAACAUGCACUGUUCGACUCAGGUAUCAAUCUAACCUUCUUCUCUACCCUUUUUGUUUGCUAGACUUUGCCUUAAUAACCUUAGCUUUAAUCUUUUUAGGCUAACCUCCUUGCUUUCGAGGGCCUGCAAAGGUUGAUUUUGGAUAAAGAGGAACUUUCUAUGGAAAGAAAUCAACUUUUGGGGGAACAAAACCAGCUUGCCGAGCGCCUCCUUGUUUCGGAAGCAAAAGUUACACAAAUGGGCGAGUUCGAGGCUUGAUUACAGCAAUCUGAGCAAGAUAUAAUGGCCCACAACCAAGAAGCCGCCCAAUUACAUGAAGAUCUCAAGGACGCGAAGGCUAAGUGGGAUGAACUGCAUGAUGCUGUAACUGCGGCGGCCGAGCUUGAGUCUGCCUUUAUGGAGAAAAUCAAAAACUUAGAGGAGUAUUUCGGGAGAUAUGAGACCCAACUAGUGUAGGUUGGACUCUUGGGUUAUGAACACCCAAGAGAGAUAUUUUGGCAAAUUGGUUGAGCUAUCGGACUCCAAUUGAGUCGGUUUACGUUCGUGUGAGCUUGUAUUGGUUCGGUCUGCACUCGGGUAAGCUUGGAUUCGGAAUCCAAGGCGGGCCUGACAUUGAAUUUUGUUGACUUUUUAGGGAAAAUAUAAAGAUCAUAGCUUUAUUUAUUAUAAUUGGUUUCUCUUGCAUUGUUUGACGUUAUCAAGUCAUUGUUUAUUAGAUGUGAGCCGUAUUGAGGCAAAUUUUAGGGGAAAAGCUAUUUCGGAGGGUUGAGUUGGCCUAGUUGAGAUAAGUAUCUUGCCUAACUUUGUGUAGGGGAAANNNNNNNNNNNNNNNNNNNNNNNNNGUACGCAAGGUGACGAGUGGGUACACGGGCUAUAUGUGGUAUUUGACCAGUUUAAAUUAUCUAGACUCUUUUCAUGCCUUUAAUUGAAUUGUCAUAACAUGUUAUAUCUCUUAUUGUUAAUCUACUCUUACAUGAUCUAUUUGAUGUUGUUAGCACUUGUUCUACCUCUUGUUAUUUUGCUCUUAUAUGUUUUAGUUGAAGUUAUUACCUUCCUUAUUAUCUUGUUACCUCUUAAUUGUUGAAUAAAUUUUAAUUGAAGUUGCUAUUUCGUGGAAUAACAUCUUCGUUGAGUUAUUGGUGUUGAAGUUAUAAUAGUCGUUAUCACAUUGAGGUGAAGUUAUUAAUUGUUGAGAUACCUUUCCUUGUUGAGCAUUCUCAUUCAUUUUAUUAUUGUUGAAAUUCUUGUACACAUUGUGGUUGAGCCAUGGGAUAUUUGUUGUGAAAAUAUUGGUGUUGUUGACUUUGUGGAAAGUUGUGGCAUAUGGGCACUUGUGGUGCGAGUUGUGAUUGUGUUACGAUAUUGAUACACAUGCGGUGGUAUAAGGCUGGGGGUUGAUACGCAUGCAGUGAGGUAAGGUGGGCUUGAUAUGCAUGUUGCUAGUAGGGAAACUACUUGAAGCUACGCGGUGAGAUAAGGUGGGUUAAAAUGCGUGUAGCUAUUUCGGGAAAAAUAAUUUUUAAAACUAAAUGUAAGGCUCACGCGGUGAUAUAAAGAAAGAUUAUGAUUGAAAUUGUAAAAUAUGAAUACGAGACGGUACCUCAGUUGUGAUUUUCAUUAUACAUUCCAUGUUGGAACAACUUGUUGAUUUGAACGGUCAUUGUUCUUCCUUCAAUCAUUCAUCCGCAUUCUGAUUGUAUUUGGUUAUUCGUUGUUAUCUUGGUAUUGGAACGAUUGUGGUUUAUUGUGUGAGUCAUGCAUUCUACGUGAUUUGUUGUGUUACUUUAACAUACAAAUCUGUGCCUCCGUUAUAACUUGGUGAAUUGAUUGUCAAUGUGAAUUUAAUUGUGUGGAGUCACUAUAUCAUAUUCUGUUGAGUUGUUGGUAACAUAAUGGUUUAAAUAAAAGAAUUAUUAACAUGAUUUAUUCUAUGUGCCUCUUAAGAUACAACUCGUUAUCUCACUCAGUGCCUUAUUAUUCUAAAUGGUUAUCGUACUUUCACUAUAAUUUGGUUCUCAAAUUAUACUCAUCACACUGUUAGAUGUUUACUUUACUUAAAAUUAUUAUCAUAUUUUUCCUUAACAAAUUCUAUAUUUAAUUCGUUAAUUUAACUUAUGUUUUGAUUUGUUUAAAAAUGAUGCUUUUACUCAAUUUUAUUGAUUUCUAAAUUGAACCCAUCUUAUACUUUGUUUCGUAUAAAUUGUAUAUUAUUUUACUUUACUUGAUUUCUAAAAUAAACUCAUUAUUUCAUUUGACACCUUACUUUAUUCAAGAUUGUUAUUAUAUUUUAUGGUGUUUAAAUAUAUCUUUCGUUCAUCUAAAUUAAUAUUUAUCAAGGUUACAAAGUACAUGGUAGCACGUGGGCUUUUCCAUAUGAAGGUGAUUGUUAUUAUGGGCACGAAGUGCCAUAUGUGUAAGAUUUGGAAAUUGUGGUCCAUGACUUGUGCUUUAUGAGGUGUGGUGCCUCAGGGUAAUUCUUGUUGUAAGUCCAUGCGUUGGGAGCGAUUUGAUUAGUUGAGUUGUCAUCCAUUUUUCCUUAUUUGAGUUCAUUUACAUCUCAUCGGUGUUCUGAUUAUGUUGUUUCUUUAUUACUCGUUUACUACUUGUUGCCAUUUAUGUUUCUAUUACUUCAUUGUUGGUUGUAAAUCAAUAAUUUUUCUGCCGUUGGUCUUACAUUGAUGUUCUUUCCAUUAUUAGCUUAUGAUAUCUUGAACAGGUUUCUAUGUCUAGUAGGUGUCUUGACCUGGCCUCGUCACUACUCUACCGAGGUUAUGCUUGAUACUUACUGAGUACCAUUGUGGUGUACUCAUGCUAUACUUCUGCACAUUCUUUUGCAGAUCCAGGUAUUCUGAUUGUGUUGUUAAGAGUUACGUAUGCGCGGCGGGAGAAUUUAAGGUAUACCUGCUUGACGUUCGCAUGCCUCAGAGUCUCCAUCUUACUUCAUUAUGCUACUUUUAAAUUGUAGUUCAAAACAAUAUUGUGUUUAGAAAUUCUAGUGUGUUUUAGUAGUGCUUAUGAUUCCGUACUACCAGUUUUGGAAAAUGUAUAACUAUUGGCCGCUUGCGGCUAUGUAUGUCAUUUAAUUAUUUAUGAUAAAUGAUUAAAUAGUUCAAUUCUGUUAUUAAAUUAACAUGUGUUAGGCUUAUCUAGUCUUAGAGACUAGGUGCCAUCACGACAUCCUAAGGUGAAAAAUUGGGGCCGUGACACACUUGCUCCGAGUAUUCAGGGUGCUGAAGGAGAAGAAUUUAAGGAUGAAGGCCUCGAACUGAAAGCGGAAUAGCCUUCUCAUGAAAAGGAAAAUAAAGUCUCUUCUCUCCCUUCGGGUUCUGGCAGCAAAACUAACUAAUGUUUAUAUUUUUUUCCUUUCCUUUUGUAACUAUGCCAAAACUUAUUUACCGAGUUUGGCAUUUUAAUAAUGAAAGUAAUUUUUUGCUUAAGUGUUGUGCAAGAAAUAUUCUCUUUUAUUUAACUGACAAAGCUCAAGAAUUCUUUUUACAUCCGAUAAUUUUUAAUUUCGGGCAUUCACACUUUCAGAAUCUACCCUUUGACUAUGAGGGUUCAUAAGAGAGGACUCUUAUGUUUACGAUGCUCUUGAAGAGUACGUCUCAUGUUCAUUCUGGCACAAGCAUUUGCAGUUUUAACUAACUUUCAAAUGAAAAAUAAAUUAACUUAUCAUUUGGAUAAGAAAUAAGAUAAAAACAAAAUGACUUUGAUUUAUUCCUUCCAUAUCUAAAAGUACAUUUACAUAAAUAUUUAUUUGCUUAAAUAAAUAAAUCUUCCAAUAUAUGUGGCUAACUUGAACAACUUAUUUCUACGAGACUGAUCAUGCAGUCCCCGGUCCUGAUAAGAUAUAGAUCCCGGUUCUAACAAUCUCCUGUCUUCGUAACACUUCUAGUGCCUUAGUAUGUAAUAGUUCCCCCCCCUCCCCAGCGUUCGGAUGCUAAGUAUGAGAAUUCGAACACUGGAGAUCUUGUUAUCGCUAAUGACCCUUUCUUUGUAGUAUGUUUUACAUUGCUGGCUCAUUAAAAACCUUGCCAAAAAAACCCAAUUGGGAUAAAAACUAGACGAAGGUAAAAAGAGUGUAGCACAUACUUUCAGAAUCAGCAAGGAUCUUCAGUAGUAAUACCUUUUGAGGUGAGUCACGUUUCAAUUGCUUGACAAUUUAACUCCAUUUUUAUUCUCCAAUUGAUACGAACCUUUUUCCGGUUAUAGCAAAAAUCCGAUAAAGUCAUUCCCACGUUGGCCCCAACUUCCCGGCAUUAACCUCUCGAGUACUCUGACUUACCUUUCUCUGGAAUGUUUAAUUUGUAUGGCCUCAGUGAUGAGAAUAUUUUGUGUGCCACUUCUCACUAAAUCUCUGACUUUGAAAUAUCGAAGAUUUGCUCUGCGAUUGUAAUGUCUUUUCAUUAUUUAUUUUUAUACCACCAUCCUCAUAUACGCCAGAUUUUGAUGUCCUUCAAGGAAAUAAAGUUUAAUCAGCAGUGCUUCAUUAUUUGCUUCUUUGUUUGCUUGGUAAUACCUUAUGGUCGAUUUCCCAAUCUCCACCGGGAUAAAAGCUUUCGCAUCGUACACAAGUAAAAAUGGUGUUCCCCCCGUGCUCGAUUUCUCCUUUGUUCGUUAUGCCCACAUCACACCCAGUAUCUCAUCUGGCCAAUUACGUUUAGCAUCUUCUAACAUCUUUUUGAGAUUUUGAAUUAUUAUCUUGUUGGUAGACUCUGCUUGUUCGUUAGCACUUGAAUGGUACAUAGAAUAUGUAACCCGUUUGAUCUUCAAACCUUCCAAAAGGUUUGUAACUUUGGAACCUAUAAAUUGCAGCCCAUUAUCACAAACGAUUUCUUUUGGUAUUCGAAACCGACAUAUAAUAUGAUCCGAUAUGAAAUUCAUCACUUCUUGUUCUCCGAACUUUUUGUAAGCACCUGUUUCAAUCCAUUUAGUGAAAUAGCCAGUUAAAAGCAAAAGAAAUCUUAGCUCGGGUCCUUGUGGUAAGGGAUCAACUAUGUCCAUUCCCCAUUUCAUAAAUGGCCAUGGUGAUAUCACCGAAUGCAAAAGUUUUGCCAGUUGAUGCACUAACUGCACAUGACACUGACAUUUGUCACAUUUUUGUACAAAUAUCUUCACGUCUUGCUCCAUCAGGGGCCAGCAGUAGCCAGCCAUCAUCAAUUUGAGUACCAACGAGUCUGCACCGGUCCAAUGGUCCUUGAAAAGAUCUCCUAUACAAUUGACCAUCAAUAAGGCAAUAACGAGCUACUUUAGUGCGUAGCGCCUGGGGUGCUUUUGGAUCUUCAUGCAAUUUUCCAUGCCUUAAAUACUCUAUAAGCUCAUUUCUCCAAACCCAAAUUAGGUUGUUUGAGUUAUCUUCACAAUAUCCAUCCACAUCCAAUACCGAAUGCAACAGUUGAAUGACCGCACCGGAAUUAGUUCCUUUCAUUUUCAUGGAUGGCCCCAAAUUGGCCAAUGCAUCUGCCUCCACAUUUUAUUCCCUCGGAAUGUAUAUAAUUGACUAUUCCCUAAACCGAGAAAGUAAUACUUGAACCUUAUUCAAGUAUUAUUGCAUACGCUCCUCCUUGGUGUCGAAAAUUCCAUACACCUGGUUCACUACCAACUGGGAGUCGCACUUUAUUUCAAUUACCUUGGAGCCUAGUCCCUGGUCUAAUUCAAGUCCUACAACCAAAGCCUCGUACUUGGCUUCAUUGUUUGUUAAUGGAACGGUUCUAAUGGCCCGUCUCAAGGUUUCUCCUGAAGAAGUGAUAUUACUAUCCUAAGACCGGACCCUUUUUACAUUGGAAGCUCCAUCCAUAAACAAGAUCCAAACACCUGAUACCGUCCGUGAUACCAACACUGACUCAUUAGUAGUUAAAGGCAUAAGUCCCGGACUAAAGUCAGCCACGAAGUCAGCCAAAAUUUAUGACUUGAUCGCAAUCUUGGGUAUAUAGUCAAUGUCAAAUUCACUAACUUCGACUGUCCAUUUAGACAAUUGACCCGUUAAUUUAGGCUUAUGAAGGACAUUCCUCAAGGAAAAAGUUAUCACAACGGCUAUGGGAUGACAUUGAAAAUAAGGCCUAAGCUUUCGAGAAGCAACUACGAGAGCUAGGGAUAACUUUUAAAGUGUGGAUAACGUGUCUCCGCUCAUGAUAAAACUUUACUAACAUAGUAAAUAGGAAUUGCGUACCUUCCUCCUCUAAGACCAGAACAACACUUACUGCUACUUCCAAAAUUGACAGAUAGAUUAACAGUUCCUCUCCUUCCUUCGGUUUUGACAACAAAGGAGGGCUAGACAUGUACCUUUUUAUGUCUUUCAAUGCUUUGCUUGCAUUCCAAACUCCACAUAAAAUCGUUCUUCUUUUUCAAAAGCGAAAUGAUGACAUUUCUCCGAAGACCUUAAGAUAAACCUGCUUAGAGCCGCCAACCUGCCGGUCAACCUUUGUACUUCCAUCACACUAGUUAAUUGAUCUGAGAUAUCCUCGAGGGAUUUUAUCUUAUCGGGUCUUACUUCAAUUCCUAUUUGAGAAACUAAUAACCCCAUGAACUUACCGGAAACAACUCCAAAGGCACAUUUCUCUGGGUUGAGCUUCAUGUUGUAUUUUCUCUGAAUGUCAAAUAUUUCCUGAAAGAUAAUUCAAAUGAUCUCCUUUAUUAAGAGACUUAAUCAACAUGUUGUCAAUAUAAACCUCCAUCGUAUUACCAAUUUCUUGUUUAGAUAUUUUAUUAACAAGCCUCUGGUAUGUGAAUUUUAUUAUAAUGCCCGAAAAUAUUUUAUAGCAGUAUGUGCCAAAAUUUGAGAUAAAUGAGGUCUUCUCUUGAUCUUCCGGGCGUAUCCUAAUUUGAUUAUACCCGUAAUAUGCAUCAAGAAAACUCAUUAACGCAUGCCCGGUCGUUGCAUCAAUCAUUUGAUCAAUGUUUGGCAGCAGAAAAGAGUCCUUGGGGCAUGCCUUAUUUAAAUCUUUAUAAUCUACACACAUUCUAAAAUUCUUCUUCUUCUUUGGUACUACCACUAUGUUAGCUAACCAAUCAGGGUAAUUUACCUCUCAAAUUGAACCUAUAUUCAGUAACCGGGUUACCUUUUCUUUGACAAACCUGUUUCUGACCUCUGCUAUUGGUCAUUUCUUCUGCCUUACCAGAGGGAAUUUAGGAUCCAAACUCAACUUGUGGACAUCCACUUCCAAUAGAACACCUGUCAUAUUCGAAUACGACCAUGCAAAACAAUCGAUGUUAGCUUUUAGAAUAUCUAUAAUUUUUAACCUGAGUUCGGGACUCAACCCCGUUCCUAAAUGGAAGUUCCUUUCUAAGAAUUCUGUGAACAAGGCCACUUGUUCGAGCUCUUCUGCGGUUGACUUGGUCGCGUUCGUUUCCUCCAGUAACUGAAAGACUUCGGUACCUGAUAAAAAUUCGAUGACUCCUCUUCUCCAUUAUCUUCAACCCGGGUGGAAGAGGCACUGGCUCCUGUAGUUGCUAUUUUCUUGUUUCUGUCCCCUUGCUACUAGACAAGGUAACUGUGUUCAUCUCUCUUGCAGCUGGUUGAUCUCCUCAGAUCUGCUUGAUCCCUUUCGGUGUGGAAAAUUUAGCAGUUGAUGAUAUGUUGAUGGCACAAUCUUCAUUUCAUGUAUCCAAAGCCUUCCAAGGAUCACAUUGUAUCCCAUGUCACCAUCUAUCACUUUGAACGGAGUGGUCUUUGUUAUGACUUUGGCAUGCGUGGACUGCAAAAUCUCUCCUCGGGUCGUAACACUUGUUAAGUUAAACCCGGCUAAAAGCUUUGUUGCCGGAACUAUGUUUCCGAUUAACUUUGCUUGCUCUAAAACUCUCCAUUAUAUGAUAUUGGCUAAACUACCUGGAUCAACCAACACACUUUUAAUUUUAAAAUCUAAGACAUUAAAUAUUACCAAAGAAUCAUCGUGCAGUAAAAGAAGUCUAUCAACAGCCUAUUCCGUGAAGGUGAUGUCAUCAUCUAAAGAUUCUCGGAUCCUCUUGCCAUGAGUAACAUAUAUCAUUUUUAUCUUUGCUGCUGAAAACGUCACCCCAUUUACUUCGUCACCAUCGAAAAUCAUGUUUAUCAUCAUGCGAUAAGACCCCGUAGCUGGUUUUGCUAGCUCCCCAGCGUCUUUAUAUUUUUCCAUAAUUAUUUUUGGCCCGAUCACUUAGAAAUUCUCUGAGAUGACCAUUCUUUAACAAUGCUGCCACCUCUUCACGAAGGUGACGAUAGUCCCCAGUCCUGUGACCUUGUGUUACAUGGAUCUCACACCAUAAAUUAGGAUCUCUCUAACUAGAAACUAACCUUCUUAAUGUUUCUCAUAGUCGACACCUACUCUUCUAAACUGAUGUUAAAGUUGUAAUCGGAUAACCGAGGAUACGUUGAAUCUUGGGACCCUGAUGCUUCUUUCUCCUGUAAUGUUCUGCUACACUGACCAUGAUCCAUUCAUCUAUCGGAAGCUAACCUAUCCGAUGACUGAAAACUUCUAUUUCCUUACCCAUCAUCCCUCUCGUAAGGUUGAAAGAGACCUCUAGAAGAUCUCCGAUUUGCGUCAACAUCAACUUUAAACCUUUCCUGAUUCUGAUCACGAUUACAUCCUUUGGAAGAACCCGAGUAACUUAGUCGAUCAUCUUCUAUUCUAAUCUUUGACUCAUAGAGAUUGUGGACAUCUGCCCAUGUGGUUGCCUUAAAUUCUAACAAGUUUUCCUUCAGUUUCCUUGAGGCAUCGGAGUUCAAUGGGUUGAGACCCUUUGUAAAUGCUUCAGCUGCCCACUCAUCCAGUACUACCAGCAACAACAUCUUUUCCCUCUGAAAUCGAAUCACGAGCUCUCGCAAUAGUUUAGAUUCUCCUUGGGAUAUUCUGAAUAUACUGCCUUCUUUUCUUGGACCUUUCCUGCUCUAUCAUGAGCUUUAAUAAAAGAAUCUGUAAGCAUUUCAAAAGAAUCAAUGGAAUGCUCAGGGAAAAGAGAAUACCAAGUUAAAGUACCCUUCGUCAAGGUUUCGCCAAAUUUCUUCAACAAGACAGAUUUGAUCUCGUGUUGGGCCAAGUCAUUUCCUUUUACAUUCGUGGUGUAGGUUAUGAUAUUCUCCUGUGGAUCCAAAGUCCCAUCAUAUUUCAGAAUAUCCGGCAUCUUAAACCUUUUCGGAAUCAAAUCUGGAGCCGCACUUGGUUUGAAUGACAACUGCAUAUACUUCUUGGAAUCUGGUCCCUUUAGCACCGGUUGCGCUCCCGGGAUCUGUUCUAUUCGAGCAUGAAAUUCUUUAGCAUUUUGGUCCAUUCGCUCAUUCAUUUCCUUAAUGAAUCUCACGAGCUCAGUUUUGAAAGGGUCGUUAGCGUUGUUGUCAUUCCCGGAUCCACUACCGGUACCACCUGCCUCGUUAAAGCUGAACUCCUACCUUGGAGCAUCGUUACCGAUUCUUUGAACUGUUUGAUUUGCAGGGACGUUGGGAGGAAUCUAAACUCCUCCGUUAGAAUUAUUGGAAGCAGCCGAAAGCGCCUGCUUCAAUUCUAUCAUCACCUGGUCUUGUCUUGAGAGGUGAUUCAUAAUUUUUCUUUGUUGUUCUCUCAAGAUUUUGACCGGUUCAACAACGUGUUUAUCAUCCGCAUCAUCAGGAGUUGGACUUCUCACAUGACACGCAAAUUAACUUAAUCCAAAAAUAUGAAAUAAUUAAUAAUAGAGUCAAGAUUAUAAAAAUAACUUAAAAGAAAUACAAGCAUGGUUGUAUGAUGAGCCUCUCCGGAAGCAAUAAUAUGAACAAUAUUAAGAACAAAGGAAAGCGUAUAAUUUUAUAAUAUGAGAGCAAAUUAUAGCCUUUAACAAAUGAUUUUUCGUGUGCUACAAUGGAUACUAAUUCUCCUAUUUAUAGCUCUAUUUAGGGAGACAAGAUCCCCAAAUCAAGCUUCUAUUGAAUGAGAAUAAAACUACCAUUGAUGACUGCAUAACAGUUGGCUAUUAAUACAGAGAUUUUUUGUAACGGCUGCUCAUUGAAUGUUGUCUUUCUCAACCGAUGUAUUCCUUUCAAAUCUUUAUUAUCAGUUCCCAUGCCUUUGGAAUUUACACAUCACCGAGCUCAGGUUUGUAUCUGAUGUCAACUAUUUGCUGACUUAUACAUUACCUGUCUCCAGUUACACAUGUCACCUCGUAAUUCAUCCAGCUGUUGCUAAUCAAUUUUCUCCAUACAAGCAGUAGAACCGUAAAGCUUAGUCUUGAGUUGGAUUGCGGUCUCGCAAAGCUGGUAUCUUCAAACCGCCUGAGACUUUCCGGACUAUAGAUUAUAGUAGACUAUCACCCUAUCCAAAUUACAAUAUCAAGCUUGAUAUGAAAAAUUAUCUGCUAUUGUAAAUUAACUUAUUUUGAUAGUAUAGAAAAUCUAUAAGUUGUCAGUGUUGAGAAUUGUAACUCUAGACAGUUGAUGGCAUCGAUUCUAGGAAAGGAAAAAAAAACAACAAAAAACGAAUUUUACAUUAUCUAGUAGUAAGAUUCUUUGUAAUAAACUGGUGAUGGGGAAAGUUGCAUUGCACUUAUGAACUCAUCAUGAGGUGCACAAGGAGCGCCUGUCAAACAAAGAUUAUUCUUGUAUUCCAACAUCCUUAUCCUUUUCUACUUUUCAGAUACUCCAACUUAACCAAACUCCACUUCCAACCCCCCCCCCCCCCCACAGGGAAAUAAAUUCAUUAAAUCCCACUUUCCCUCCUAUGAGAAAGAAGGUUAUACUCUCUCCGUUUUAAAUUAUGUGCGAAGUUUGAUUGGAUUUAAAAUUUUAAAAAGUAAUUAUUUUAAAACAUGUAAGUACUUAUCUUAAACGAGAUUUAUGUGGCUAUAAAAGAUAUUAUUAUUAAGGAUAAAAUUAGAAAUUCAAAAUUAAAUGAGUAAAUGUGUCAUUCUUUUUAACAUGUACCACAUGAAAAUGGAGUAUACAAGAAAUUUUGGUGCUCGUAGUGCAUGAAUUGAGAAUCAUGAGAUCUCAAGUUUAGCAGAAACAAAAAUACUGCGUAAGUAUUUUUUCUUAUUUGUUCAAUUCUUGAUGGACAUAAUUACGUGAUAUCUAUUAUGAUGGAAGGUUGCACAUACCCCGUAAAUUUAACCAAAGUGCGUACACUCAAACCUUAUAAAAAAGUGAUACCCGUAAUAGUUUGCGGCAGAAUUCAGUAAUUAUCAUUUAACGUACGAAAAGAAUUGUAGUAAGGCAUGCUGCUGCUAGUCAUGUCGUAUAGUGCAUGAAAAUACACAAAGCAAAGGAAAGGAAAGAAAAGAAAGAAAGAAAGAUUACACUUUGUGUACAUACAAGCAUAUAAAAAGCUUGGAGAAAUUAAAGUAGCAGAAUCACUCCAACCUAUAAAGAAAAACCAACCACCCUUAGCCCAUGUGGUAAAACAACCAAAGCCAAACACAAACUCAAAUACUUCAGCUUUCACUACCCAUGCCUAAUUUCUUCAGUAUUUUUCACUUUCGUGUCUUGUCUUCUGAGGUAAAAACUCCAUAGUAAAACACAACUUCUGAUUGUUUUUCUUCUUACAUGAAACAGUGAGAGAUAUAUUAAAGGAGGAAAAGAGAUUAUAUAUAUGGACAGUAGUAGUAGAAUUAGGUUUUAUAAGGGCUUCUGGGGUUCACUUGUAGUGGUAGGAGUUGUUUGGUUAUUGCUAGUUGGAGUCUUAGAAAAUGGAAGAACAAAUAUGAAGAAGAACAAAGUGAUGCAAAAUAAGGUUCAUUCUCAUAUGGAUCUCAACUUCAAGAGUAUUAAAAGAAGAGUUCCUAAUGGUCCUGACCCUAUCCAUAACAGGUAUUGCAUUCUUUAAUUUCUUCCUCCCAAAUGUUCUUCAAUAGUUAUGUCCUCACCUCUCACAAUGAAAUGUAUAUAUAUAUAUAUAUAUAUAUAUAUAUAUAUAUAUAUAUAUAUAUAUAUAUAUAUAUAUAUAUAUAUUUAGGUUACAGACAAUAUUAUUGUAUUUUAACAUCGUAUAGCAUGUUAGUUACUACUUCUCCCAUUUUAUUUUAUCCGGUGAUAUUUAAUUGGGC
rnacentral:lncRNA from 1 species